UUUUUUUUUGUCUGUUUUCUGAAUUAUCCUUGCAAUAAAAAUACCCCAAAAAUAAAAGUUCUCCAAAUGUCCUGAAAAUGAAAGAUGAUUUUUUGUAGAAUAUUUAAGAAUUUCUGGCACUAAGAACACACCAGGAGGCCCCACCAUUUGGCCACGAGGGCACAGGCGCGCCCACCCCUGGGGGGCGCCCCUGCCUCGUGGGCCCCAUGUGGACCCCCUCCACUUAUUCCGGCACCCACUCACUUCGUCUUCCUCCAGAAAAUAUCCUCCCAUAGCUCAAACCCGUGUUCUAGCUUGCUUUGCUGCCAUUUUCAAUCUCCUUGCUCAAAGCUCCAUUCACAAAACUGUUUUGGGGGAUUGUUCUUCGGUAUGUGACUCCUCCCAUGGUCCAAUUAGUUUUUGUCCUAGUGCUUUAUUUAUUGCAAACUUUUGCUGCUAAGGUGACCCUGUUCUUGAGCUUGCAUGUCAAAUUUAUAUGGUAAAAAGUAGUUUUAAUGCCUGAUAUAGCUUCUAGGCACUUGUGGGAGUAGUUGCUAUCAAUCUUGUCGAGUUUGGUUCACUUUUAUCUUGAGUCACUAAAAUUUCAGAAAUUUUUCAGAGAAAGAAAAAUGCAUAGGAAAAUGUACCAAGGUGGUUCCUCAAGGAAGCAAGGACCAAGACUCGCGAUACAUGAGCCGGACUAUGUACCACCGAGGGAAGCUCAAGUGCGGCCUUGUGAAUGGCCGUCAGAGGAGUUUAUGGUCUAGGCAGGCAUCAAGGAUGAAUUUGACGCGUAUGUGCGUAAUGCUGAUCUUGAGGACUUCGUGUCAGAUAAGUGCCUACAGUACCACUACCUAACUGAUUCCCUUGUGAGGAGGUUUAAAUUUACAUCCUCGCGCAAUUCUCACACUGUUUUAUGUGAUCUUUAUGAUAAAUCAUAUACCAUGGACCUAGAAGAUUUUAAUACUGCUUGUAAACUCCUGCAGCGGGGCAAUGUUAGUGAACCUCGCAAAUCUGAAUAUAAAGACUUUCUUGCUAGUAUCACUAUGGGGGAAUCUAGAGAAAUCACACAAGCUACCAUAGGGAGCAUCCAUUUCCCUUCCAUACAUUAUUUUGCUCUCUUUAUAGGUAGAUGCAUUAACGGUAAAGAUGAGGCUUGUCAGAUGUGCGCUCCAGAUCUUAGUGUCCUCAAGAGUGUGGUAUUAGGUGAUAAACAAUAUAACUUGGGGGACAUUGUUGCACGAAGGUUGCAUCUGGCAAGUGGAGAUUUGUUUGGUGGAAUUUAUGCAACUCGUGUAGCUAAUUAUCUUGGUGUACCCAUACACGUAAAUGAUAUGGAGUUGCCACCUGCUUAUCUAGAUUAUAGUGCUAUGUUUCGUCAUCAGUUUCUUGAGAGGAAUGAACAGUUCCUCCAGUACCGACUAAUCUUUGACAGACAGCGUACUGUCCAUGUUGCCCUCCCUGUUCCUACUUUCUUUAACUUUCAGGAAAAAAGGAGAUAUGUUAUAACCAGGGAGGAGGUGAACGAGUAUGAGAGGAGGACGGAGGCAGCUCGCCUCUGAGCUGCAGCUCUUUAGGCAGUAGCUUCUGCAUCUCAGUACAACCGCAGCUACAAUUUUGGAUAUCUGCCAGGCCAGCAGUGGCCAUAGACCAACUUAGGCCAAAAGCCUAAGCUUGGGGGAGUACGUAUUUCUCACCGACAUUACAUUCAUGUUCACACACUCAUUCUAGUUGUCGGUGCUCAUACUUUUUCAUUGUACUAUCCAUGCUAGUUUAUUUUCUUUUCUAAGCCUUCUUCUUGUGCAUUUGAAAAACCUUAAGAAAAACCAAAAAAAUAGUUAUAGCUUUUAGCUAGUUUACUUUCCAUGCUUGUAGUAGUAGUAACUAAAAGAAAACCCAAAAAAAUUUGUUCUUCUUUUGCUUGUUGGGAGCUUUCCCGUGUAAAUACUUUUAUUUCUUUUCUUUUCUUUGGGGUUCGAGAGGAGAAGACCAUGAUGAAAUGUUGAGGGGCUCUCAUAUGCAUUAUUGUUGAUUUAACCAAGAGCCCAUAUUACCUUGUCUUCUCCCUUGUAUUAAAUGCUUGCAGAUUCCAGCUUAGUCCAAUGCACGUGCACUAUUAUUAUUAUCCACACUGUUCGGUCGUGCGAGUGAAAGGCAAUAAUGACGAUAUAUGAUGGACUGAUUGAGAUGAGAGAAGCUGGUAUGAACUCGACCUAUCUUGUUUUUGUAAAUAUGAUUAGUUCAUCGUUCCUGAUUCAGCCUAUUAUGAAUGAAACAUGUUUGCAAUGACAAUUAGAGAUUAUAGUUGCUCAUGCCAUGCUUAAUCAGCUAGGAGUUUAUAAUGGUUUACCUUGCGUGCCAACAUGCUAUUGAAAUGGUUGUGAUGUGGUAUGAUAGGGUGGUAUCCUCCUUUGAACGAUUUGAGUGGCUUGACUUAGCACAUGUUCACGCAUGUAGUUGAAACAAAAUCAACAUAGCCUCCAUGAUAUUUAUGUUCAUGGUGAUUUAUAUCCUACUCAUGCUUGCACUCAUUGUUGAUUAAUCUUAAUGCAUGUUCAUGACGGUUGUCGCUCUCUAGUUGGUCGCUUCCCAGUCUCUUUCUAGCCUUCACUUGUACUAAGCGGGAAUACUGCUUGUGCAUCCACUUCCAUAAACCCCAAAGUUAUUCCAUAUAAGUCCACCAUACCUUCCUAUAUGCGGUAUUUACAUGUUGUUCCAAGUAAAUUUGUAUGUGCUAAACUCUAAACCUUCAAAUGAAAUUCUGUUUUGUAUGCUCGAAUAACUCAUGUAUCAACUAGGGCUGUCUAUAUCUUCCAUGCUAGGUGGGUUAUUCUCACGAUGAGUGGACUCCGCUCAUCAUUCAUGAGAAAAUGGCCGGUAACCGGGAUGCCCAGUCCCAUGCUCAAAUCAAAUCAAAAUAAUUGCAAACAAAACUCCCCCAGGACUGUUGUUGGUAUGGACAGUACCCGUUGUUUCGGACGAGCCGUGGAGUGUGCUUGUUGGUGGUGGGGGAGUAUAAACUUUACCAUUCUGUUUGGGAACCGCCUAUAAUGUGUGUAGCAUGGAAGAUAUCGAGAUCUCUUGGUUGUUUUGUUGACAAUGAAAGUAUGCCACCCAAAAUAUUAUUUAUCUUUGUUUCAAAACUCGAGCUUUGGGACCUCUGCAAAUCCCUGCUUCCCUCUGCGAAGGGCCUAUCUAUUUACUUAUAUGUUGAGUCAUCAUGCUCUUAUUAAAAAGCACCAGUUGGAGAGCACCGCUAUCAUUUGCAUGCAUUGCUAUUAAUUUACAUUGAGUAUGACUGUGACUGGAUCUCUUUUACCAUGAAUUACAAUGUCUAGUCAGUCCUUGAUCUUUAGGGGUGCUCUGCAUUUAUGUUUUGCGGUCUCAGAAAGGGCUAGCGAGAUACCAUCUUCUUAUAUCAUGUUAUGAUUGUUUUGAGAAAGUGUUUUCAUCCGAGAUUUAUUAUUAUUGCUCGCUAGUUGAUUAUGCCAUUGAUAUGAGUAAACAUGAGACCUAAAUGUUAUUGUGAAUAUGGUUAGUUCAUAAUCUUUGCUGAAAACUUGAAUGUUGGCUUUACAUAUUUGCAACAACAAGAGCAAACAGAGUUUGUAAAAGUUUUUCUUUAUCACUUUUAGUUUGUCAACUGAAUUGCUUGAGGACAAGCAAAGGUUUAAGCUUGGGGGAGUUGAUACGUCUCCAACAUAUCUACUUUUCCAAACACUUUUGCCCUUGUUUUGGACUCUAACUUGCAUGAUUUGAAUGGAACUAACCCGGGCUGACGCUAUUUUCAGCAGAACUGACAUGGUGUUAUUUUUGUGCAAAAAUAAAAGUUCUCGGAAUGACCUCAAAAUCCACGGAGACAAGUUUUGGAAUUAAUGAAAAAUAUUGGCGAAAGAAUCAGCAUCAGGGGGCCCAUACCCUGUCCACGAGGGUGCAGGGCGCGCCUCCCCCCUGGGGCGCGCCCCCUGCCUCGUGGGCCCCCUGGGACUCCACCGACCUCAACCCCAACUCCAUAUAUUCACUUUCGGGGAGAAAAAAAUAAGAGAGAAGGAUUCAUCGCGUUUUACGAUACGGAGCCACCUCCAAGCCCUAAUCUUCCUCGGGAGGGCUGAUCUGGAGUCCGUUCGGGGCUCCGGAGAGGGGAAUCCAUCGCCAUCGUCAUCAUCAACCAUCCUCCAUCACCAAUUUCAUGAUGCUCACCGCCGUGCGUGAGUAAUCCCAUUGUAGGCUUGCUAGACGGUGAUGGGUUGGAUGAGAUUUACCAUGUAAUUGACUUAGUUUUGUUAGGGUUUGAUCCCUAGUAUCCAUUAUGUUCUAAGAUUGAUGUUGCUAUGACUUUGCUAUGCUUAAUGCUUGUCACUAGGGCCCGAGUGCCAUGAUUUCAGAUCUGAACCUAUUAUGUUUUCAUGAAUAUAUGUGAGUUCUUGAUCCUAUCUUACAAGUCAAUAGUCACCUACUAUGUGUUAUGAUCCGGCAACCCCGAAGUGACAAUAAUCGGGACCACUCCCGGUGAUGACCAUAGUUUGAGGAGUUCAUGUAUUCACUAAGUGUUAAUGCCUUGGUCCGGUACUCUAUUAAAAGGAGGCCUUAAUAUCCCUUAGUUUCCAAUAGGACCCCGCUGCCACGGGAGGGUAGGACAAAAGAUGUUAUGCAAGUUCUUUUCCAUAAGCACGUAUGACUAUAUUCGGAAUACAUGCCUACAUUACAUUGAUGAACUGGAGCUAGUUCUGUGUCACCCUAUGUUAUAACUGUUGCAUGAGGAAUCGCAUCCGACAUAAUUAUCCAUCAUUGAUCCAUUGCCUACGAGCUUUUCACAUACUGAUCUUUGCUUAGUUACUUUUCCGUUGCCACUGUUACGAUUGCUACAAAAACUGCUAUUGUUACUUUUGCCACCUAUACCGUUACUUCCAUACUACUUUGCUACUAAAUACUUUGGUAUAGAUAUUAAGUCUUUCAGGUGUGGUUGAAUUGACAACUCAACUGCUAAUACUUGAGAAUAUUCUUUGGCUCCCCUUGUGUCGAAUCAAUAUAUUUUGGUUGAAUACUCUACCCUCGAAAACGGUUGCGAUCCCCUAUACUUGUGGGUUAUCAAUCUCCAAGAGACCAUUGUAUUGAGAAUCAAACGAGAGAUAGGAAGACAUCUAGCUACUAACUACGGACCCGUAGGUCUACAAAGAACUACUCACGCAUCAUCGGAGAGGCACCAAUAGACAUGAUGCACCCCUCCGUGAUGAUGUCUAGAUUGGAUCUGGUGGUUCUGGACUCUACGGCGGCUGGAAUUGAUUUUCGUCGACUCCCCUAUGGUUUCUGGAAUAUUGGGGUAUUUAUAGAGCAAAGAGGCGGUUCAGGGGGCACCCGAGGUGGGCACAACCCACCUGGGCGCGCCUGGGCCCCCAGGCGCUCCCUGGUGGGUUGUGCUCCCCUCGGAGCACCCCCCAGGUGCUUCUCCUGCCCACUGGAUGUCUUCUGGUCCAAAAAAAUCCAAAAAAGUUCCACUACGUUUGAACUCUGUUUGGUAUUGAUUUCCUGCGAUGUAAAAAACAUGCGGAAAACAGCAACUGGCACUUGGCACUAUGUCAAUAGGUUAGUACCAAAAAGUGAUAUAAAAUGAUUGUAAAACAUCCAAGAAUGAUAAUAUAACAGCAUGGAACAAUAAAAAAUUAUAGAUACGUUGGAGACGUAUCAGGGUUGUGCCCACCUCGGUGGCCUUCCGCACCGCAUGUUUGCUCUAUAAAUACCCCAAUAUUCCAGAAACCCUAGGGGAGUCGACAAAAAUCAAUUCCAGCCGCCGCAAGUUCCAAAACCACCAGAUCCAAUCUAGACACCAUCACGGAGGGGUUCAUCAUCCUCAUUGGUGCCUCGCCGAUGAUGCGUGAGUAGUUCAUUGUAGACCUAUGGAUCCGUAGUUAGUAGCUAGAUGGCUUCCUCUCUCUCUUUUGAUCCUCAAUACAAUGGUCUCUUGAAGAUCUAUUCGAUGUAACUCUUUUUGUGGUGUGUUUGUUGGGAUCUCAUGAACUUUGAGUUUAUGAUCAGAUCUAUGUUUUUAUCCAUGAAAGUUAUUUGAGUCUUUUGAUCUCUUAUAUGCAUGAUUACUUAUAGCCUCAUAUUUCUUCUUUGAAUCUUUGGUUUAGUUAGGCCAACUAGAUCGAUUUUUCUUGCCAUGGGAAGAGGUGCUUUGUGAUGGGUUCGAUCUUACGGUGCUUGAUCCCAGUGACAAAAGGGGAACCGACACGUAUGUAUCGUUUCUAUUAAGGAUAACAAGAUGGGGUCUAUUUCUACAUAAAUAGAUCUUGUCUACAUCAUGUCAUCGUUCUUAUUGCAUUACUCCUUUUCUCCAUGAACUUACACUGGAUGCAUGAUGGAUAGCGGUCGAUGUGUGGAGUAAUAGUAGUACGUAGAUGCAGGCAGGAGUCGGACUACUAAUCUUGGACAUGAUGCCUAUAUAAUGAUCAUUGCCUGGAUAUCGUCAUGAUUAUUUGAAGUUCUAUCAAUUGCCCAACAGUAAUUUGUUUACCCACCGUAUGCUAUUUUUCUCGAGAGAAGCCACUAGUGAAAUCUAAGGCCCCCGGGUCUCUUCUUUAUUAUAUUUGCCUUCACGAUCUAUUUUUAUUUGCUUUUAUUUUCAGAUCUUUUAAUCCAAAAACACAAAAAUACCUUGCUGCUAUUUUUAUUUAUUUAUUUUAUCUCACGUUCCCGCGAGAUCUAUUUAUCCAAUCUACUACAAUUUUACCUAUCUUCUUACCCGUGAGGGAUUGACAACCCCUCUCUUACGUCGGGUUGAAAGUAUUUGUUCUUUGUGUGCAGGAGUUGUUUACGUGGUGUUGCGUGGUUCUCCUACUGGUUUGAUAACCUUGGUCUCAUCACUGAGGGAAAUACCUACCGUAGUUGUGCUGCAUCAUCCCUUCCUCUUUGGGGAAAUACCGACGUAGUUCAAGCCGCAUCAAAAGGAAUUUCUGGUGCCACUGCCGGGGAGACAUCAUCAACAUCUACCAGGUUCCUGAUCAAAAAUCUCAUCUCCUUGCAAUUUACAUUAUUUUCCAUAUACAUCUUGUUUUCCUCUCCCCCACUUCACAAACAUUUGCCGUUUUAUUCGCCCUCUUUUUCGUUCGCCGUUUUUCUCGUCAGAUCUGUUUUGUGUGCAACUCUAUUUUUCAUCUUUUGUCGUUAUGGAUAGUUCUUCCUCUAUUGCGUGCACCCCCAGAACGAAGUUCUUAAUUUCAAGCAAAGGGGAGGGGAGAAUCUAAAAGAUGCUUGGUACAGGAUUUGCAAUGCUCAUAAUAGAUCUAUUCGCAAGCAAUCUACCGUUGUUCUUCUUCGUUGUUUUCAUGUGGGCAUAACCACUUGGUAUAGAUUCAUCCUUGAUACGGCAGUGGAAAUUUCUUGAUGUGUCACUCUCUUGAUGCUUUUAAUGCUAUGGGAAAUUUAGUGGGUUCACCACCUCUUAUGAUCAAUGAAACAACUUUGACUCUCGAGCAUGUUAUGGAAACACUAGAUGCUAUUGGAAAGAAAAUGCUUACCGAAGAACAUUUUGAAAAUUAGGAUAAAAAGAUGCAUAAUUUUGCUACUAAAUUUGGGUCAAAAUGGGAGAAGUUUUUAAGUUGUUAAAAGAAAAGGGGACCGUAAUUCAUGAAAGAAUUGAAGAAAGCCCGUCUCGGAUUGAUAAACUGGAAGAAAUCUUUAGUAAUCUAAGUACGGACUUUUCUUCCGCUAAAACUAUCAAGAAAACUCCAGUAAAAAAUAGCAAGAUUACUCAAGUUACUAAGAACAAGGGUGCAACUUCUAGUAAUAAUAAAGGAGAUCUUAAAAUGAUUAGUAUUCACCCGAAUUUUGUUGAAGUUGUAAGACAUCCCAUUGAUAAGAAUGAAUUCCUCAAUUUUAUGCCUAGAAGUUUUGCUAUUUUACUUGCUAAUUCUUCAAAGAAAUCUGAUUGUGUGAUUGAAGAGUUGAAGACUAAAGAUGACAACAUUUAGAUCUUUCUAUUAUGCCUAGCUAGGGGCAUAAAACGAUAGCACUUGUUGGGAGGCAACCCAAUGAAUAAAAUUUAUUUUUGUCUUUUUCUUUCUGUUCUUGAGUGUUUGCACAAUUAUGCUACUGUUAUGAUUGUGUUUUUUGUGUUUUAAUUAGUGUUUGUGCCAAGCAAAGCCUUUGGGAUCAUGUUGGGUGAUAGUUGAUUUGAUCUUGUUGAAAAACAAAAACUUUUGCGCUCAGAAAAAUAAUUUUCAUAAAUCACAGAAACGUGCUUUUAAUCUGAAUGUUUUACACAAUAUUUAUAUACAAAUUUCCCACGUUGUCCUAAUUUUUCAGAAUUUUUGGAGUUACACAAGUAUACGAAGUUCCCUGAUUGCUACAGACUGUUAUGUUUUUGACAGAUUCUGUUUUCUUCAUGUUGUGUGCUUGUUUUGAUGAUUCUAUGGUUUCCUUUGAAGAGUUUUUGCCAUAGAAAAGUUGGAAUACAGUAGAUAAUAUGCAAAAAUAAAAUAUGAAUGGGUUUGCAACAGUACUUAUAGUAGUGAUUUGUUUUCUUAUACUAACGGAUCUCACGAAGGUUUUGUUGAGUUUUGUGUGAUUGAAGUUUUCAAGUUUUGGGUGAGAUCGCGAUGGAUGAAGGAAUAAGGAUUAGCAAAAGGCUAAGCUUGGGGAUGCCCGAGGCACCCCAAGAUAAUAUUCAAGAAGCAUCAAGCAACUAAGCUUGGGGAUGCCCCCGAGUGGCAUCCCCUCUUUCUUCUUACAACCAUCGGUAUUUUACUUGGAACUAUAUUUUUAUUCGUCACAUAUUAUGAGUUUUGCUUGGAGUGUCUUGUAUGAUAUGAGUCUUUGCAUGUUUACUUUUUAUUUUAAGUCAUGAAUCCUUGCAGCACACACCUAUUUGAGAGAGCCAAAAUUAUGCUAUGACUUUUUAGAAUUGCUCCUAUGCUUCACCUAAUUUUUUAGAGCCUUGGAAUUGCUCCAGUGCUUCACUUAUAUCUUUUUGAGCACGGUGUGCUUUGUUAUCUUUGAAGAAAUGCUAUCAUGCUUCACUUAGAUUAAUGUGAGAGAAAGAAAUAUAAUUCUCAUGUUCUUGACUUAUAUUUUUUUGAGCUUAUAACAAAAAAAUCAACAUAUGAAACUAGUUCCAAAGUGAUAGAUAUCCAAGGAGGGUACAAUAAAAACUUCAUGAAGAUCAUUGGAGAAAAUAAACUUGAUUCUUUGUAAUAGUUUUGAGAUAUGAUGAUAGUGAUAUGUGAGUCAUGUUGAUGAAUAAUUAUUCUUUAGUAAGAAUUUUGGUGUUAAGGUUUGUGAUUCCCUGUGCAAGCACGAAAGUCAAUACACUAAAAAAAAGACACAUCCAUGACAUUUUGGGCCGAACGAAAAAAAAUUCUGUCAUACAUAUGACACUUCUAUGACGAUAAUUGUGACAAAACCCGGUAUCAUCAUAGAUGUGGUGGGCUCCUACUUCUAUGACAAAAAAUCAUGACAGAAAAUGGGCUUUUCGUCCAGGGCGGGCCGGAGACGCAGCUGCAUGACAUUCUUUGGGCCGUCCAUGAUGGAAAAAACCAUGGUAUAAGCGAGGGCGAGGAAAAUUUCGGUGAGUUCCCGGUUACGGUGGGAGGUUGAGGGCUGAGCGAUGCGCGUUUCUCUCGUACACGUCCGCGCGUGUGUGCGAGGCGUUGGCUCUAAUUGAACUCGAGCGAGGCGUUGGGCUCUAACUGAACCCGAGCGAUUGCACUGCAGGCUACGCAUUACUGAACCCGAGCGAUCGAUUGAUGGCUGUUAACUGAACACGAUCGAGCGAUUCCUUCGCUACUGCUGCUAACUGAAGCCGAUCGAUGCUGCCUCUGGGAUGAACAGUGAGCGUUGCGGGGGGGUUUGGAUGAACAGUGAGCGGUGGCGUUGCCUCUGGAUGAACAGGACCCCGUGGUGUGGUGGAGGGCUGGAUGAACAGUAGACAGUGGAGGGGUGGUUGAACAUGACCCCGUGGUGUGGAGGGCUGGAUGAACAGUAGACGGUGGAGGGGUGGUUGAACAGUAGCCGGUGGAGUAGCGCGCGGUGGAGGCUGGAUAAACAGGAGCCCGUGGAGGCUAGAGGAGGUCGACGGUAGCCCGUGGAGGCUGGAGGAGGUCGACGGUGGAGAUGAACAGUAUCCCGUGGAGUCCCGUUUUGCGGUACGCCACACCCCUCCCGAUGAACAGGACCCCCGUUUCGACCGUAGGAGGUCCGUUUCGUCCGUUUUGCGGUACGCCACACCCCUCCCGAUCAACAGGACCCCCGUUUCGACCGUAGGAGGUCUGUUUCCUCCGUUCUGCGGUACGCCAGGCCUCGUUUCCAUCGCCUGUUCCGUCCAAGCCCUCCCGAUGAACACGACCACGCAUUCCGUUCCGACCCAGCCGGUUGGCUUCCACGCGUUCCGUUGCCUCCCGAUGAACNNNNNNNNNNNNNNNNNNNNNNNNNNNNNNNNNNNNNNNNNNNNNNNNNNNNNNNNNNNNNNNNNNNNNNNNNNNNNNNNNNNNNNNNNNNNNNNNNNNNNNNNNNNNNNNNNNNNNNNNNNNNNNNNNNNNNNAGGACCCCCGUUUCGACCGUAGGAGGUCCGUUUCCUCCGUUUUGCGGUACGCCACACCCCUCCCGAUCAACAGGACCCCCGUUUCAACCGUAGGAGGUUCGUUUCCUCCGUUUUGCGGUACGCCACACUCCUCCCGAUCAACAGGACCCCCGUUUCGACCGUAGGAGGUCCGUUUCCUCCGUUUUGCGGUACGCCACACCCCUCCCCAUGAACACGACGCAUUCCGUUGCCUCCCCAUGAACACGACGACGAUGCUGUUUCUCCGUUCUGACCCAGCCAUGUACACGAGCCCUGGCCAUACGUAUGCGCGAGUAGGCGUUCGAGACCCCGCCCGUAUGGACACAUACGUGGCCGUAUUUUCUUUCUUGCACCCUGGCCGCUGUACGUACGUGUACAUGCUACGUGCGCGCCUCUACUACGACACGUACGCGCCUCUACUACGACACGUGCGUGCCUCUACAUCCACCAGUAUAUAUGUACGUACACGUUCGCGACCAGAAUGACAACACUACGUACGCUUCGACCAGGUGGGUCCCGACUGUCAGGCACUUCCUUGCCUGCGAAGAUGUAGCUGGUGGGUCCCAGCAGUCAGGGGGGCGAAUCAUUUUUUUUUUGCCCGGACGCACUUCCUUGCGUGCGAAGAUGUAGCUGGUGGGUCCCAGCAGUUAGGGGCAAACAUUUUUUUCAUGAAAUACGGUGGCCCGUCCGAUGGGUCCCCGCUGUCAGGUGGAGGAAUAAUUAUUUUGCACGUAAUAAGGAGGCACUUCCUUGCUGCGGCCGUGGACCCAGCUGUCAGCCUCUCCACGUAGAGUCCACAUCCGAUGGAAGCCGUUCCUUGAUCACGUUGACCACGCCACGCUGAGAGCACCAGGGCGGUGGACGACGGCGAGGCCUAGCAAGGGGACGACGCGGAGCGGAGGAAGACGCGGCAAUGGAUGCCCACGCGUAGAGGAGUACGAGGGUUCACUGGUUUGCUGCGGUGUGAGGCUGCCGUCGCCGCAGAAUAACAGGGGGUGUGGGUGAGUAGAGGGAUGGCCUGGCCAGCGGUGGCAGUAGUAGGGGCAGUGAGGCCUCCGCCGCAUCGCAGCCGGCCACGGGAGGCAGGAGCACGAGGCACGACCAGCGCUGGUUUGGGCGGCUGGAGCAAGAAGACCAGAGGUUGAAGAAGCACUACGGUCGUUGGAUGGACAUCGUACGAUCACUGGAGCUAGAAUCGUGCAUAUUGACUAAGUUGACAAAGCCCUCCGUCCCCGUCAACUUAGUAGGCCCACAAGUCAGCCUGCCACUAUACUGGGUCCCAGCUAACAGGGGGGGUAUUCAUUUUUUUGUGUGUAAUAAGGAGGCACUUCCUUGCGUGCGAAGAUAUAGCUGGUGGGUCCGAGCUGUCAGUGGCGGUAACGUUUUUUUCGCGAAAUACAGAGGCCCUUUUGGUGGGUCCCUGAUGUCAGGUGGAGGGAUCAUUAUUUUGCGCGUAAUAAGGAGGCAUUUCCUUGCGUGCGGCCUUGGACCCAGCUGUCGGCCUCUCCACAUACAGUCCACUUCAGAUGCAUGUCGGUCGUUGACCACGUUGACCAGGCCGCACCGAGAGCACCAGGGCGGUGGACGACGGCGAGGCCUAGGAAGGGAACGACACGGAGGCAGGGAAGACUCGGCAGUUGUUUCCCACGCGGAGGGGAGUACGACUGUACGAGGGUUUACUGGUUCGUCUGCCGUCGCCGGAGAAUAACAGCAGGUGUGGGUGAGUAGAGGGAUGGCUAGGCCAGCGAUGGGAGUACGGUGGGGCGGUGAGGCCUGCGCAGCAGCAGAGCCGGCCGCGAGGAGGAGGGAGCAGGCAGUCCCGCCGGCGCUUGUUUGAGCGGCUGGAUCAGGAAGAGCAGAGAUUGAAGAAGCACGACGGUCAUUGGAUGGCCAUCCAACAGUCACUGCUUGUGCGUCAACCUUUUUUUAGGAAAGCCUCAAGUCUGUGGAAAACAACAUACAGCCCAUCUGCCAUUAUUUCUAAUAAUUUACAGCCCAUUUGCUAAUUAUUAAGGUUUUUUUGGAGCCCAUAUUCUUUUUGUUAGCAUUACAGCCCAUAUUGUGGCCACGGAUAAAAAAUUAUAGGAAAUUUUGCAUAUUUCGGUGCGGUCCGAACUGUUUUUAAUCCCGAAAUUUCGACUCACAUUCAAACUGAUUUUAAAAAUAAAUGUAUAUCAAUAUAAAAUCCAACAAAUUUUCCACGCAUAAAAAUUAAUGUAAUUUAAAAUCUCAAAAUGAAAAAAAAAGAUAUUUGAAACUAAUUGCCGGUUUGAUGUGUUUUAAAAAUGUACAUCCCAUUUCUCACUACUGAUGGGCCAUUUUCUCGGCUAGUCGAAUGAAAGCUCUCCUCGUCUUGAAAGAUUUGCAGCCCAACAGGCCUGACAAAGCGACUUACUUGGCAAAUCACAAAAAAACUGGGCUGUGGCCGUGGACCCAGCUGUCAGCCUCUCCAUGUACAGUACUCUUCUGAUGGAAGUCAUUCCUUGACCACGUUGACCACGCCGCGCGGAGAGCACCACGGCGGUGGAUGAUGGCGAGGCCUAGGAAGGGGACGACGCGGACCCGGGGAAGACGCGGCAGUGGAAGCCCGCGCGGAGAGGAGUACGAGGGUUCACUGGUUCGGCUGCGGUGUGAGGCUAUCGUCGCCGCAGGGCCUGGCCAGCGGUGGGAAUAGUAGGGGGCGGUGAGGCCUCCGCGGCAGCACAGCCGGCCACGGGAGGCAGGAGCAUGCGGCAUGACCGGCGCUGCUUUGGGCGGCUGGAGCAAGAAGACCAGAGGUUGAAGAAGCACUACGGCCGUUGGAUGGACAUCGUACGGUCACUGGAGCUAGAAUCGUUCAUAUUGACUAAGUUGACAAAGCCCUUCGUCCCCGUCAACUUAGUAGGCCCACAAGUCAGCCUCCCACCAAGGUGGGUCCCAACUAGCCGGGGAGUAUUCAUUUUUUUGUGCGUAAUAAGGAGGCACUUCCGAUGGGUCCGAGCUGACAGCGGGGGGAACGUUUUUUUUUGCAAAAUACGGUGGCCCGUCAGGUGGGUCCCAGCAGUCAGGGGGCAAACGUUUUUUCACAAAAUACGGUGGCCCGUCCAGUGGGUCCCUGCUGUCAGUUGGAGGAAUCAUUAUUUUCCGCGUAAUAAGGAGGCACUUACUUGCUGCGGCCGUGGACCCAGCUGAGACUCUCCACGUACAGUAUACUUCCGAUGGAAGUCGUUCCUUGACCACGUUGACCUCGCAGCGUUCAGUUGCAUGCAUGCGUCCAUGGGCGUGGUGCGUCCCCACUGUCAGCCUCUCACGUACAGUCAUCUUCCGAUGACUCUCGGUUGUUGACCACGUUGACCACACCGUGCCGAGCGCACCCAGACUGGAAUGACCCGGAGAUGGGGAAGACGGGGCAGUGGAGUCGCAGAUGGAGAGGAGUGGGAAACUUCACUGGUUCGGGUGCGCGGCAGCACAGCCGCGGUGCCGCCCACGGGAGACAGGAGCAAGAACAAGGUUGAAGAAGGAGCACGGCUGUUGGAUUAACAUCCAACGGUCCAGCUGCUAGAAUCAUUUGUUGAUUAAGUUGACAAAGCUGUGCGUACACGUCCGCUUAGUAGGCCCACAAGUCAGUCACCAAAUCUGACGGGUCCCAGCUGUCAACGAGAUGAAUAUUUUUUUUCACAAAACAAGGAGGCACUUCCUUCCGUGCGAAGAUACAACCAGUGGGUCCCAGCUGUCAGGUGGAGAAAUAAUUUUUUUCGCAAAACAAGGAGGUCCCUCCUGUAGCUGGUUCGAAUCCAAACCUAGACUAUGACUAUAUAUGGUGCUAUGCUACUCUGCAAGUAAUGAAACUGGCAUAUCCAAUGUUCGCUUCUCCUCUUCUCUACUUACCCUGCCUAGCAUCAGAAGCUCUGGCCGCAGCAACCAUGUUCGCUGGCUGCUCGUCCACCUGCUCUUGAGCAGGCAACAACCAGAUAUGCGCCAAGUCGCCACCCGUACCAUCGCAUGUGGGUCUCAUCACACCCCCGCUGGCACGCGCACCGCAGCCGAUUGCUCAUCGCAACCCGCUGCCAUUGGUGUGGUGCCACUGCUGCAAAUCACGCAGAGUCAUCCGUCGCGUCUCAACCACAAUCCGCAACCCUGGCCGAGUCUUCUACAAAUGCCCGAAUCAUGGGGUAAUAAUAUGUUUAAGUGUUAUUCUACUGCUUUCAGUUGCUGAUUUUUUUAAUAGUUUGGUUGAUGAUCUUCCAAUUUGAUUCGUGCAGAAAAGGGAAGAUUUGUGUGAUUUGUAUUUCUGGGAAGUUGCUGAUGUGGGGGAAUGCAACUACGCUGAUUAUUUGGUUAGCCGAGGAAUCCCAAUACCAGCAGGUUGGGGUGUUGGACAAGUAACUGAAGGAAUGGCAGAAGAGGAAGAUGCAGAGCAGAAGGUUAAAGAUGCAGUUCCUCUGAUCAUGGCCAAGCAACAGCUGCUGAACGGCCUUGACAGCAAUGAGGAGAUGAAAGAGCUUGUGAAGAUAAUGGGCAAAAUCAAUGUGCUCUGUAGGAUGAUUGUCUGUUUAUUUGCAGUGUAUGUAGCACUCGUGAUGUAUUCAGUGGCUACGACAUGAGCACUUUGCUGAAACUAGUAAUGAAUGAAACCUGUGUAGCAGGUUGGGCGUAGUGUUGUGAACAUCUAAUGAUUUCUAUUAACGGAAAUCAGGGGGUAUCCCCUUUUGCUCAUAUAAAUAAAUAAAUACCAGAGGCCCUGUCGGGUCAGCUUUGUUCUCAUUCGAAGAAGUCGAGCAAAUUGCAGUCCAACAGCAAACUAUGUCAUCAAAUUCAAGUUUCACAGCCAAAUAUGAGUACAACUAAACAACAAUGUCAUCAUGUUUUAGUUGUCAUACAAUCACCAAACACAAAUCAGCAUACAGAACAAGUGAUGUUCUCACAGCAAAAUAUUAAACAACAUGUUCAUCAGGUUUCAGUUGUCAUAGCAAACACAAUUUCACAUAGUAGAUAAAAACGUCUUCUGACAGGCAAAUACGACAAAAGCAAUGUAAUCAUCAUCCGCAGCAGCAGCGUCAACAUCUUCGCCAUGUGUAUCAGUCUGAAUCGUAAUCCCCCAUGGUGUCAUCUUCUUCUUCGUCCUCGAACGUUGGCUUCUUCUUGAUCAACUCUUGUAUGUCCACAGCACGACAGGCAAUCUUUUUGCCAGCGUCAUUGACGUGAUGGUUCUCAAAGAUAUUAGGAACAUCUGUGUUAUCUUGUACAUCAGGAGCAGUGUAAGCAUCAUCUUGUUGUGCAACUUCAUUAAACGAAUUCCUCUGCUCAAACCUUUGCAAUACUCUCCAGUCAUUGCUACGUGCAAAUGUGUCUUCCAAGAAAAAUAUCUUUGUUGCUUGAUUUGCCAAAAUAAAAGGCUCGUUGGUCUGGUACGCCGCCUUGACAUUGAUGGAUUUGAAAUAAUCAUCAGCUCUGGGUUUGUGAUCCUGGAAAACAGGUUAUACCAACGACAGCACAACAGAACCACACACCGAUGAUCCUCGAAACUGGAGAUAUACUACAACUGAACAAUGUCUGUUAUGUUAGCAUACAUUUCAGUUGUCUCUUUGUCAUACGUAUCCGUGCUCAUGAUGGCACUGUUUUGUGUCUUCCUGCCUUCGUCUCGUGCAAGGGUGUUGUAGCGCACAUCUCCAACAAUGCUAGAUUCAUAAUGUCUUACCCGAGUAUCAGGACCCAUUGCUAGUGAGUAAAGGGCAUCAUCAACUGCCUGCCCAUCCUCCCGCAUCUUCUUAACCUAUGGUUAGAAAAUAGACAAGCUGAUCAUCUUAUGUACUCAAUAUAUUAAAAAAAACUGACAGUGCACUUCAAAAGCUUACAUGGUUCUUGAACCAUUUCGCAAAUCCUGCCAUAACCAGUUUGUCAAUGUUUCUUGGAUUUUGCGGCAGUAACUCCUCUUUGUAGAUGCUGCACAACAUAGUGAUCGCGUCAAACAUCUAAAUAUAUAAGAAUGUGCUGCAACUUUAGUAGAUUACGAUGUAUAAGUUGCAGUACUGCACUUACUUGAUAUAAGGUAGUAUCUCAGGACAGUUAUUCAACACAUACCAAACCAUUUUCUCCAAAUCUUUAGGUUUGUCCUCUUGUCGACUCUUCCCUGUAACUCAAACAGAAUAAUCGAAAACAUUGAGCCCGGGAUUGUCUUCACCCACCUCUUUGCUAAGCUGAUCAGCUGUUUCAAUGUAUUUUGAGCAGAAUGUCAACGCUUCUGCAGCAAGGUAGGCCUCUGCAAUGGAACCCUCGGGUCUAGCUCUAUUCCUAACAUAGCCCUUGAAAGUGCCUAGCCGCCUUUCAAUAGGGUACAUCCAGCCAUACUGUACUGGACCUCUAAGUAGUGCCUCAUCAGGUAGAUGAACAGCCAAAUGCACCAUCACAUCAAAGAAGGCUGGAGGAUAUAUCUUCUCAAGGUCGCAUAGGAUAGUUGGUAUCUUGUCUCUAAGACCCUCCAAAGCAUCUAUCCUGAUAUUCGUACUGCAGAGUUCCCUAAAGAAUUGUCCAACUCUGCAACUGCUCUGUAUAAGUCAGGGCGGCCCAAUCCUCUAAGGAUAACAGGUAAAACCCUUUGAAGUAGGACGUGGCAGUCAUGAGUUUUCAACCCUUGUACCUUGUUUCCAUCUGCACUGACUCUCCUUUCAGGGUUGGAAGCAAAUCCAUGUGGGAAUCUCACACGUGACAGGACCUCGCAGAAUUCGUUUCUUUUUACCUUGUCCAAGACGUACACAGCUGGUGCCAUAUCCCGUGGUUUACCUUCAUCUUGCACCUGCAAAUCCUUUCUGAUACCCAGGUGUGUCAAAUCAAUCCUAGAUUUGAAGGUAUCUUUCGUCUUGCCUUCAAUAUUAAGAAGUGUGCCAAUAAUGAUGUCACAUAUAUUUUUCUCGAUGUGCAUCACAUCAAGAUUAUGCCACAGAUCCAAAUCUUUCAAUACUCCAAGUCCCACAAAGUGGACCUGCGGGUAAACAAUAAUCUCUCUUCUACCCUGCCAUGCUUCCUUUUCCUGCUACCAUUACCAGGAUGGUUUCCUGGUGUAAUAUGCCUGACCUUCUCUAAUUCCACUUGCAACUCAUCUGCGGUGAGCCUCUUUGGCGCAUCACGGUUUUCAUGCUUUGCAUUGAACACAUGUCUUCGGUAUUUUCUAGGAUGCGGCUUGUCCUUGGAAAGGAAACGACGGUGUCCAAUGUAACAGAUCUUGCUAAGUAUUGCGUAUGACAGCGGAUUCCUGUCACAGCGAACACAUGCAUUGUAACCAUGUGUCAUUCGCCCUGACAUAGUGCCCAAAGCCGGAUAAUCAUGGAUGCACCAAAUUAUAAUAGCACGCAGAAAGAAAUCAGCUGGUGGGCUGCUAUAUAGGUCUCGAGUGAGAACACCCUUCCAUAGCUGUUGAAAUUCCUCCACAAGAGGCUCCAUGAACAAAUCAAAAUCCUUUCCAGGACUUUUUGGACCUGGGAUGAGCAAGGCCAUCAUGUAGUUUGAUUCUUUGGUGCAGACAUUUGGAGGCAUGUUGUAAGGGAUAACAAGCACUGGCCACAUGCUAUAUGUGGCGCUCUGGUGGCCAAAUGGGUUAAAUCCAUCUGAAGCUAAGCCAAGUCUAAUGUGUCUCGAGUUAGCGGCAAACUCUUUGUGUUUACCAUUGAAGCUUUUCCACUCACUACCAUGAGAUGGAUGGCUCAUUACAUUCUGAUCUCUGUUCUCCUGGUUCCUAGAAUGCCACAGUACAUCCUCUCUUGUUUCAGCAUCAUGAAACAACCUCUGCAAUCUUGGUAUAAUUGGAAAAUGUCUCAGAACAUUAUGAGGAAUCCUCUUCACAGCAUCACCAUCUUUCCAUCUUGAUGAUUUGCAUUUCGGGCAUUCACUUAAGUUGGCAUAAUCCUUCCGGAACAGAACACAAUUAUUCUUACAAACAUGGAUCAUAUCAUAUCCAAUUCCAACUGCACGAAGGAAAUUCUUCAUUUUACUGUAGGUGUGUGGCAGCUCAGACGCAUCUGGGAAAGAUUCGCGGAAAGCAGCCAACAUCACAUCGAAUGAUUUGUUGGUCAUCCGCUCAGAUGUCUUCACCUGAAGAAAGGUGACCAUAGCUGAGAAUACUGACAGCUUAUUUCCUGGGGUGACAGCAACGUUGCAUUGUUCCAACAUGCGGGCCCACCGUUUUUCUUCUGCAGGUGAAAGUUCACGGAAUGCACGAGCAUUUCGUAGCAUUGUUUCAAUGUUGGUCAAACUCACUGGCUCCGCCACCACCACCUCCUCCUCCUCUUCCACCUGAGCAUCAGGCAGAUCAAGAUGGUGAUCUGCUGCUUCCACGUAGUCAAUAACAUUGAUGUUCACAGCUUCACCAUGAUGAACCCACCUAGUAUAUGUGACCGACAUCCCAUACAAGUGUAGAUGAUUUUGCACAGUUGACUGGGGUCUUGUAACUGAAUUCAUACAACUGCUACACAGGCAGAGCACAUCUGAUUUCGGACCACCGUACUAAGCUCUGAUAAAGUUCAUGAAGUUUUCAACCCCCUCGACAUAUGCAGCGGAGAAUCUUCGAGCAGAAGUUAUCCAAGUCCUGUCCAUCUGUUAGACAUACAAAUUAGUUCUUCUACUAGAUAUUACAGGAAAAACAUAUAUGCUUUUUUAUGAAGUCCAAAAAAAAAAUACCUAGGUCGAUGUCUAAAGCUAUGGCAAGAUAUUUGGACGAGCAGAUCUAAGUAACAAAAUAUAUGUAAAGCUAAUUCAGCAAACAGAUUUGAGUGCCAAAUUAUGGCAGGCUGUGCAGUCAAUGAGGCCGAGCACAUAGCCAUCAAACUAUCGAAGGCCAUCGCAGCAACAAAGAUCGAGUAUAAAACGGUGUAGAGCUAUUUCACCUAACAGAUUGGCUACUAGACCAUGGCAAUCUACGUCACAAUAAAUAUAUGGCAGGAUAUUUUAGCAACUAAUCGGCCUUGGCAUGCCAUCUCAGCUAAGCAGAUUGAGUGCAGAACAGGGCAAGGAAGCUUCUUAAGCAGAGCAUAUUGACAGUAAACUACUUCGGCAAACAGUGAAAUUAACAGUGUCUAUCAGCUAACAUUCAGCGCUACACCGACAUGAACGGGGCCUCAGUCUAGAAUGCGCGUACCGUGGGAGAAGCUGACCGCCGUGCGUCUCCACACGAACGCCGCCCGCGGUGGCGGCGCUGACCGUCGUGCGCCUCCACAAGAAUGUAGCCAGAGGUGGCGGCGCGGCUACAGGACGGCAGUCUACGAGAGCGUACUGUGGGAGCGAGAGGAUCGCCGAACCGCGGCGCCGACGUAUCGGCGCGGCGGGGAGGGCGGCUUUGGCGGAGCGAAUGGAGUGGNNNNNNNNNNNNNNNNNNNNNNNNNNNNNNNNNNNNNNNNNNNNNNNNNNNNNNNNNNNNNNNNNNNNNNNNNNNNNNNNNNNNNNNNNNNNNNNNNNNNNNNNNNNNNNNNNNNNNNNNNNNNNNNNNNNNNNNNNNNNNNNNNNNNNNNNNNNNNNNNNNNNNNNNNNNNNNNNNNNNNNNNNNNNNNNNNNNNNNNNNNNNNNNNNNNNNNNNNNNNNNNNNNNNNUUAUUGGCUAGUUGGCCGAAGGGCGAUUGAAUCGGAUUUGGGGGGAAUUUUUGGGUGUGGGGGGGGAGGAUUUUUGCGCGGUGGGCGGGGGCAGUUUGGCGCAUGGUCGGUUUCUCCAAGUGCAGUCCCACGUGUCAGUGAAGAGGCAAGCCGAAGCGCCUUCCGUUUGGGUGAGCCGUGUGCAGGACCGAACGUCUGUGGGGUGCAAUGCGACCGCGACAGGAGUGCUGUGAGUGUACCGCCUUUUUUCCUUUUAAACUAGGUGCUUCGCCCCCUCAAAAAAAAAUUAAUUGCUUCGCGCGAUCCAUCGAUACUACUACUAGUAAUCCGGUAAUCCCGAAUAAAACAGCGCGGCCGGGUCUUUUCCCGCGCGAUAUGCUGGGAGGUUUGCUUAGUUGGGUUUUUUAGGACGAGUAAUCCUACACCUACGUAAUCCUAGUUAAGUAAUUAACGUAAUGUGAAACGUGUGAGCUGUUGAUUGUAGAUUGGGGGGAGGGAGGGGCCCACCACCAUGAAAAUCAGGGGAGGAGAGAGAGAGGCAAUUUACAUUAACCGUUUCAUAGGUUCCCGUAGAUGUAGAAAGAUGUGAAAUGCGUGAAUGUGUAGUGGACGUACUAUUGGAGUGCCUAAGAUAAUUUGUGUAUGUAUAGACCCUAUGUGUUUAUUUUACUUCGCAUGUUAGAUUUGUCUUGGUUCAAUAAAAAGCAGAGUUGGUGAUGAUGGUGUGCCUGUCAUCCUGCAAUAUAGGCCGUCCGAUCUAUAUCUAACGGAUAGGAAGGAAACUAUGACAAUUUACCCGCACUCCUCCCCACAUUUGCACAUAAGGCUUUCCCUCGUUCAUCCUUUUCUCCCAUAAGAUCUUGAUCUUCCGUGCAACGCAUGGGCAUCUUGCUAGUACUCCUACAAUAUGUAUAUUAUUGUGAAAGUUCAUAUACACCGGCCGAGAUUAAUGCAAACACGGCAGAUUUUCAUUACAUUUCAAACUUUUAUAGGACAGAAAAAUAAAAGAAACCCGACCCUAAACCUAUUCUACGGCGGCGACCAACGUCCUCCAUCUGCGAUCUCUAUGUACGGGGGCGGGGUUCAAGACCCGUGAAGUGAUGGUGCGGUCUCCGGCGAAGAAGAGUAGAACACGGGAUACGGACCGGCCAGUUGGCACACCAUGCCCUGCCGCCUCCCAUGCCCUACUCAUCCUCGGAGGAGUCCCCGACCUCGGCGGUGUCGGACAUUGGAUGGCGGCAAGUAGGACGCGUGGUUGACGGUGCUCCCGUCGUCGGCCGCCAGCGUGGCCACCGCUUGUGCGGUCGCGUCCGCGUCCGGCUACGCCGCUAUUGCGUCGCGAGAGGCGACUUGAGCGAGGGCGGCGACCUCGAGCUUCAUCCCCGAAGACAAGCUCUCCCAUAGAGCGUUCGCACUUGCGGUCAUGGCGGAUGUGGUGCCAGGUAGGAGGACGAUGCGCUAUGGUGUGGAGGUUAGCUGGGCGUUGCCGCUUUAAGUAGCGCAUUCCGGUGAGGCCAAGCGUCCGGGUGCGUCAUUAAGUCGCCGGAGUUGGUUCCUCGGGCACCGAGCCUCUUAACGACGACAUACGAAUGGACGACAUGAAUGCGGGCAGCUAGCGCCGGCUGGGAACGCACCGCGCGACGGCGCGAGGGACGAUGGUUUUGGUGUGCCAGGGUAGUCAGCUGCGGUCGUGGCAACGUUGGAGAUGCCCUUUGCUCAUAUGCGAUCCCCGCAUCAUUGAAAAAGCAAGACGACCCGGCAUGGUCUCAGGUCCAAAGGAUGCAGUUGGCCGCGCUACACCACUCCGCGGACGCGUCGCGGCACCCCGUGCAUCCUCGACGAGCCGGGUGUUGGGGUGUGUUUGGAUUGUGGCCAAAGUGCACCUUACCAAAAUUUUGGUCAUGACCCAAAGAUUGGUCUUUGUUUGGAUGGUUGCCAUUUUUUUUGGCAUGCCAAUGAACUCUAGCCAACUCUAGUUCAUUUUUCUUGCCAAUGUCGGCCAAAUCAUGGGCAACCAAUACCUCAACCAAAAUUUUGGUCAUGACCCAAAUAUUGGUCUUUGUUUGGAUGGUUGCCAUUUCUUUGGCAUGCCAAUGAACUCUAGCCAACUCUAGUUCAUUUUUCUUGCCAAUGUCGGCCAAAUCAUGGGCAACCAAUACCUCAACCAAAAUUUUGGCUACCCAAUGCUUUAAUGGGGCAACCUUGGGCACAAACCAAACAUACCGUUGGUCGUGCCCCAGCACUAACGCCACCCUCGGCACACUGAAACCGACCGUGUCUAGCGACGAUAUGAGCGUGUCGCUCACCGCAGUCGCCGUGUCCAUAGGCGGUGAUGGAGUUGCGCCCCAUUGUUGGCCCCAACGACCCACAUGAAUGGUUGUCGGUGGCGAGGAGGUCGUGGGCCAGCUCCUCCAUUGGACUAGUCUGCGCUACGUCGUCCCGACGGGUGUGCCCCACAUGUCGGUUUCCCUGUUUUCCCGGCCAUAUUCGAGCGUCAGUGCUCCGCGUUGCACAUUAGGCCUUUCACUAUGUAGGCCAAGCGAGACAACUUAUUGUUUAUUUGACCCGUUCAAGUAUAAUCAUGUGGCGUUUGCUUAUUUCUCAUUCCUCUCCAACCCUCUUCUCCAUCGAUCAUGUCGCCCUCCAGUCGAGUCCAUCCUCCCGCAUGCCUCAUUUGAACAUUCCUCCGAGUAUCAUUCGCCAUGUACCCACCCUAGUCCUCUUUCAAUAGAUCUCCGGACCCCGAGAUGAAAUCGAGAGGGAACGAGUGGGGGCACGUGAUACCUAAGGCGGAUUCAAAAUUUUGAACCGGUGAUCAUAGCAUCCGCAAAUCAUAUAUAAAGGGUAUUCAAUGUUCGUUUCGUUUUUGAAUGUACAAUAUACUCCCCCUAUCCUUUCUAGUUUACAUAUAAGUUUUAUGUGUAGUCAAAGUAUCUCUACUUUGAUCAAAAAGGUAUCAACAUUCAACAACGCCCAAUCAAUAUUGUUAGAUUCGUACGUACUCCUAGAUUUGUACUCGAGAUGGUUUCCAAUUUGACUAUUGACAAGAUUAAUAGUACAUGAGAUGUAUAAUGUGAAAAUUAUAUCAUUGGAAACUCCUUUCACAUACGAAUUUGACCGUAUGCUUUGUGUAAGUUGCAUGUCAUAUAUUAUUACUCUAACAUUUGGUCAAAGUUAGCCUCGAAAACGCAUUAGACCCUGUAUGCUUUGUGUAAGUUGCAUGUCAUAUAUUAUUACUCUAACAUUUGUGUAAGUUGCAUGUCAUAUAUUAUUACUCUAACAUUUGGUCAAAGUAGUAUAGUGGAAGUGGAUACUCUGACGUAGGUAUCCCUACCUUACCCUCCCUUUCGGUCACUUACUGGCGGACCCCAUGCUUGCUAGGCCCCGCAUGUUAGUUACUCAAUGGGUUCGGCCACGUCAGGGGAUCCUCAUCCGUAGUAUACUCCCUCUAUUUUUAUUUACUCCGCAUAAAACGGAGGGAGUGCUGGUAUAAUAAAUGACGCGGGCGGGGGAGGGGGAGGGACGUUGGUUUGCUCUCAACUGCGGUCCCACAAGCAAGCGAAAACGCAAGACGAAGCGUGUUCCAUUCGGUGAGCGACGUGGAGGGUCCAGCGUGCCAGGCUGCAACACGAACGCGACAAGAGCGAUGUACAGUCAAAAUCGAUUGACCGGUCGUCACCAGAACCACUAUUCACACCAGAACCUUCGCUGCUCGGCCUACGCCAGCCACUGCCCUAAAACCACACCAAAUCUCUAGCCCAUUCCCCCACCUUUCGAUCCCCUAGCCCGCAUCAAGCGUCCCCUAGUUCGCCGGAAAGCCAUGGUGCGCCGCAAGAUCACUUACAACAAGAUGUUGACGCCGGAGCGCCGCGCAGAAAUCGCGGCGGCGGUCGGCGCCACAGACCUCCGUUCCCAAGCUCUCUUUGCGGCGGGCCAAUCCCCGAGUUCUCUGGAGCCAAGCUACGAGGAGGAGGAAGCCGAUCCAAUGUUCAUGGCGGAGGUCGCGGCGCAGAAGGCCCCCGAUGGGUAUGAGACGAUGGACGUCGACUUCGUGCCGGUGUCCGAGUCCCCCAUGGUGCAGGCGGACCAGCGGUUCAACAUGGCGAUACUAAAGGAGGACCGGGAGGCAGAGGCUCAACUCGACGCGGAGCGCGCGCAUGCCGCUGCCAUCGAGGCUCUCCUGCAGGCGGAACCGGAUGUCGUGGAUGUGAACCGGGCGGCGGAGGCUCAACUUGAGGCGGAGCGCGCGGAUGCUGCUGCCAUCGAGGCCCUCCUGCAGGCGGAACCGGACGUCCUGGACUUGAACCGGGCGGCAGAGGCUCGAUUCGACGCAGAGCGCGCGGAUGCCGCUCUCAUCGAUGCUCUCCCGCAGGCGGAAUCGGACGUCCUGGACUUGAACCGGGCGGCGGAGGCUCGACUCGACGCGGAGCGCGCGGAUGCUGCUGCCAUCGAGGCCCUCCUGCAGGCGGAACCGGACGUCCUCGACAUGAACCGGGCUGUGCUCUCGUCCGUGCAGAGCGCCCGCAUGCUCCACUUGAACGAGUAGCUGGAGGCCGAGGACAACCACGGUGCGGAGACACACGUCGGCAACGACGGCUGGUUCACGCCGGCAGCCAAAGACGACGAGGCCGUCUCGUUCCGCGAGCAGUGAUAGUUUUUCUUUAUGUUGUUGUUUUUAUGGAUCUUUUGCUGUGUAAAAGCAUAUAUUUGUUAUGCAAGUCACCUGACUUGGGUCAGUCUACCAUUGCAGGCGGUUGGAUGAAUAUCCUACGUCUCCUAACCCUUCUUUCCUUCUUCCUCACCUUUUCUUCUUCCCCAACAGACCACCGCACGGGCCGUACGGAUACUCCCCAACAUGCGGUUGGAUAAACAUACUCUAUGAACGAAAAUUAUGUGUCAGCAAUAGGAUGGCUGAGUUUGGUUUGUUCACAUGCGACAGCACGUGUCAUUGAGGGUGCGUUCCCUUGGUUGGGUUUGCGGCGUGCAGAAGCGACUGUGUGAGGGUGCGGUGCGACCGCGGCAUGCAGGAGCGACCGUGUGAGGGUGCGGUGCCACCGCGACAGCCGUGCGCAAGUGUACCUCCUUCUCAUUUUGAAAACUUUAGUCAAGCUUGGCAAAAAUGUGUGGCGAAGUUUGGCAAUGCAAGGCCUAGACCCAAACAGGAUAAGUACGUACGUAGUAGGAGUACUAGUGUUAAAAAAGAAAGGCGGGGUUUUCCUUCACGGGAUUUAAUCGAUACAAAUCCUCGUUUCAUGUGUCAAUUAAUGCGUAUUUUUUUCUCCAAAGACCAAAGAGCUAACCAUCUCACUCCUCAUCGCUUGAUUAAUGCAGCGCCAUGCAAACCAACCUUCUCACUUCCGCAUGCAUGCAGGGGAUAUUAAUGUCCUUGGUUGCUAACCCCAUCAAUUUUGCCUCGAUUAGUGUUAGUGGCCCUUUGCAAAUUGUAAUUUUGAUAUAUUGGCCUUGUGUACAAAAAAAUGGAGGUAGUAACUAUAUUUGACUUCCUUCCCCAUUGCGGUGACGUCGACGAUAUCUUUUUUUUGGUGGUUUGGCGAAGUGCGUUCGACGGAGAACACCAUUGAGGGAGACCAUGGUAAGUCGUUCGCAAGUGCCGCCUGCAAGCCGAGACAACCGCCUUAUUUGCAUCCAGGAAGUCCUUUGCUAGUACUACUAGGAGUACUAGUGCGGUGAGAUGGUUUCUCGAAGAAGACAAUGGAGAAGCGGAGUCAGCGAAGAGUGAAAUGAUGGUUGCUUCGUCCGUGCUUUUGUGAUUUGGCGCCUCACUGCUUUCUGAUUUGUGAUAGAAGGGACAGGGGAGUAGACUCUGUGCUCUAUACUGUACUACAUGCGUCCAAGCAUGGGAGAAAGAGGAGAGACGUUGCAUUUUUCUAUUCCUUCAAUCAAUCAAUCAGGGAGCUUCGGUUCCAUCUUUUUGGCUUUGGCAACACCGUCCACAAUGGUUCCCACGAUGCCAAAAGCUAUUUUCACAUUUGGCUACACAUUGUGGAUGCCCUUAACCGUACCACUUGGUUUUGUGUCACGACCGGUUUUCCAAUAAAAAUAUUUAUUGAAAGACCGAUCCCUUUUACGGACCAGUAGAGCAGAAUUACUUCUUACCGGUAGACAAAAUCUCGGUCACAGAAGAAAAAUACCAGGAGUACUGAAUAUAAUACAAAGUUGAGCGGAGACUGCCCAACAAUUUAUUACAAGCGCGCCGAUAAAACAUAACGGCAGAAAGGGUGGCAUAACUACUAACUCACGAUAAAAACGGUGGUGGAAGUAUCACAGCGAAGAGGGUGAUAUGACUCCUGAAAACUAACAGCUCUUCGGGCGUCGGAGUGAGGCUCGAGGAGACUUAUUGCGGGUGGCGGAAGCGUAUAUGGUACAAGUGACCAAUAUCCAGGAUCGCACGGGACUGACUGGGAUUCCUCUAGGCGUCGAACUCACUAUCGAACUCUUCAUCCAUGAGAUCGCCUUCGUCAACAUCUGGCCAAAUCAACAAGCCAGGUGAGUACUAUGAAAGUACUCGCAAGACAGUUCGGACAUAAGAUAUAACAAAUGUAAACAUGAUGCAUGCGAACAUAUUAACAAGUGCACUCAGACAAAGGGACUAUAAUGCGUGAGAGAUAAAAGAGAAGUCGGGCGGUAGUCCUCCUGAAAUCCCAAAGUAAAUACUGAGGGCCAAACGAGUGUCUGAAUGACUCCUCGAGAGGAAAAAUACAGGAAUAACAAUGCCGCAGUCGGGCGUCAAGGCGACACCACAUAAAGGGCUUAUAAUAGAAUAUAAAAGACAGUGCGUGCCACAGUCGGACGUCUAAGCGACAUCACUUAAAGGGCUUAUAUUGAAAGAAUAAAUAACAGUGCAUGCCACAGUCGGACGUCUGAGCGACAUCACAUAAAGGGCUUAUAUUGAAAGAAUAAAUAACAGUGCAUGCCAUAGUCGGACGUCUGAGCGACAUCACAUAAAGGGCUUAUAUUGAAAGAAUAAAUAACAGUGCAUGCCACAGUCGGACGUCUGAGCGACAUCACAUAAAGGGCUUAUAUUGAAAGAAUAAAUAACAGUGCAUGCCACAGUCGGACGUCGGAGCGACAUCACAUAAAGGGCUUAUAACUUAAUAUCUCAGUAGCUCAAGAAUUUAAAUCAUAUCAAGGGAAUAAUCAGGUAUGAGAUAACAAUAGGGGUUAGCCAUCCACAGGAAUAACGUUCAACCAAGUUUUCCACUCAAGUUUGUUCACCGGGGAUUGUACCAUGAGAACUUGACAUAGAUAUGGAUACAUGGGUCACGGUCUUUGACCAUGGAUACGAUGACCUGGAAGGAUUUGACUCUGCAGAGUUUGUACUUUAACCACAGCCAACGGAUUUCAGUAGUCACGGGGACUAGUUCCGUUUACGGUGUUUUGGAAGAAACACAUCUAACCAGUACACACCCAUUCAACAUUCCGAAGCCAGGAAUCACCCGUUCAAGAAAAACCUUGAGACGGGGAGGCUACAACCUCGCGUAGCAUGGGAUCAAAUUUAUAUACGCGCGCUCUAAGGGGUGCCCCCCUCUCGGUCCCAACCGGAAACACCCAUGCCCCCUGACCGGAUGACUGGCUUUAAUCCAGGGCCAUGGAACCCUCAUCCCGGCCCCUCUAAUUGGUGUGUACACGGAAAGAGGUUACCAACUUACUAAACCGCAUUCUGGCAGAAAACAUGUGGCAGCACGGAAGGGGGAAGAACGAUAACGUGACUCCGUCCACGUUAACGUCGGAAUUUAUCGGACAUCGUAAGGCUGGCAUGCUACAACAAUACCACCUUACUGCCUUUCAUGUCACCACAUGACUAGGCCAUCUCUCAUCAGAGAUCACAGUAACUUCGGAACACACGGGUAGUUGCCUUACAUGCAACGAAAUACUCACCGAUGCUCAUAUGCCAUGCACAAACCAUUCAAGCAAACAUGCAAAACACCCGUCAUAUCAAAGGUUCAAACAUGCUUGCCUGGUUCGGAGAAGUCGGAGUCUAGCUCGGCGAAGUUCGCGGCUCCGUCACCUCUUCCGGAACCUACAGUAUAGCGAAAACGUAUACUAACGUGAAAACCAACGCGUGCAUAAAAGUUGUCCCAAAUUUUUUUCAAAUAAAUACUAUAAAAAACUAGACAAAAAUAUAAGACUGUCAGAAAAAGAAUCACUCAAAAAUCACUUUUUAUUAAAAAGUUAUAAGGGUUUUUGUCCAGGGACUAAUAUGUGAUGAAACAGAAAAGAACCAGGGACUUAAUUGAGAAAACAGACGGUUCGAAGAGAAACGCGCCAGCCCACAGAGAAAACGUACUUGCCCGAAGGCGCCAACAGAAAACGCUUCGGGGGAGAGAAAGAAGAGAGGCUGACGUGGGGGUCCCACAUGUCAGGUUUAAAUCCUCGCCGGCGCCCGAAGGCUGCGGUGGUCGCCGGCGUCGAACCACGGCGAGUCAGGGAGAUCGGAGUGUACCAAGAGGUUCAGCGUGUUCUUCCGCGUUGGUGGGUGGUGGACUUGGUCGUCGGAGAGCACCACGUCAAUGGCGACACUUUCUCCGGCGGACGGCGGCUCGGGCGAUGGUGGAGAACUCCGGUGGGUGCUGCAAACUCCGAAUUGAAGCGCGGGUCAGGAGAGUGGAUGCAUAAGAGAGCUACUGGCAAGAGUUGGGGGUUAGAGGUGCACGCACGGGGAGCGAAUCGAGCUGGAUCCCGUGGCGGGUCGCGACGGCCGGAGUUGAGGAAGAAGGCUUCCUCGGGGCUCUUCCAGUGGCUAGGUGUGGUGCUGGAGGUGUGCAGAGGUGGUGUGGGUUCGAGUUGGAGCUCGGGGCCUCUAUUUAUAGGCGGUUCGAGGGGGUGGCUGUGAACGGGAUCGCUCCGGCGAGCAAUUACGGCGAGGCAAUGGCUUGGAAGGGAGCUUAGGUGGCCAGGCAGCAUCAGGGAGAUGUACUAGUGCCGUUCCCCCGCUAAUCCUGGUCGGUCUUGGCGUAAUGGCGCCGGUCCUCGAUGGGGUGGCCGUACGGGCACGGCGGCGGCAGAGAGCACGCUCCGCACCUGGCAGUUCACGACGAGGGUGGCAGCGCGCACUGGGGAGUGGAGGGCCACGCGGCGACCUCCGGUGGCUUGGGCGGCGCUGGGUGGCGCCAUCCAUGCUGUGCCUCUCUCUGGCGGCCGCAAAGCCGCCGCUGGCGUCGGUCAUGAGGCGGCGCACCUCCUCCUGCUCGUCGCCGACGCCCGCAACCUUCCAGGCGCUCGUGCGGUGCAGAGGACAAGGGGGAGGGGACAGGAAACACGGCGACGCCGGGGCACUGGCGAGAUCGACAACGGACACUGAAGAAACGACAGUAGUUUCAGACAUUGUUAACUGAACUUGACUGAACAUUAGAGAAACAGUGUCCAGUAGGUGUUCGAUCAAAUGAUUUGGCAAGAAGAAAAUUUUUCCUGGAGCUGGGAUUUGGUGAGGUGACCUCUCAAUGCACCCAGAGGCUGCCUGAUUUUUCUCAGAUUUUUAGGAGAAGGAUUUGAAUGAAUUUCAUCAAAUUUGGCAAAUCUGGUCCAAACUUGCAGCAAGUAUAGUUUGAAAAUUUUGAACUGGAGACCAGUGGAUCUUCAUGGAUCUUGGUUGAGGGUCCAAAGGACUAGCUAGUGAAAUUGGUUUGGAGACAAAACUCAAAGCAGAAAGAGUAGCUCCUUUGUAAACCUCCAAGGAUCAAGAUAGAAGGCAGAAAUUGUUUUUGAUAAGAAAUAAAUGGAAAUAAAUAUAUGGAGAGGUUCAACUUGCUGGAUUUGAGGUAUAUUAUGAUCCAAAGGUGGGGAAAGGUUUAUGGGAGUGGAUUUGCACUAAGGUCAUGGCAAGAGAGAUUUUUGAAAGGGGACACGGAUCAUUCCAAAAGCCAUAGGGCCUUUUAAAAGAAUUUUUCAAAAGACAUUUUUUUCCAAGUGAAAAGCAUUUUGGUUUGAGUCCAAAUAAAAAGGGCAAACCUCCAAGACCAAAAAUCAAGUCUUGGGUGAAUCCAAAUGAAGCACUUGCCAUAAAGGAAAGUUUUUGAGAGGGAGAGUUCUUUAGAAGCAAAUUUAAAUACCCUCCUCAAAUAAAAUAAAAGUUUUGAAAAAGCCAAAUAAAAUUUUGGGUGUCACAUUUUGCUCCUGUGUGCUAUCUAUACAAAUCUCAAUUAUAUUGAUCUAAAAAAUUAUAGAAGCAAGAUUAGUAAAAAGGAGGUGAUUUUGCCGCGCGGAUGGCGGGGGAGGUUUCUUAUUUGAGCAAUGCUACAUCCACGUAAUGGUUUACGUAAAGUUACGAACUGAUGUGAUGUGGGACUAUUUGAUCGGAUUAAAGGAGAGGAUUAGGCCCACCCCACCUGAAAAUCAGGGGGGCAUAUAUAGAUUAGAUGGAAAGUAUACGUAGCAGCUACGUAGCCCGUUGUAAGUCUAGGAUUAGGCUUCUUAUUUUUGGAGGACGUUGUCCAGGCGGUUUGCUAACAUGCGGUCCCAUGUGUCAGUGCUUUACCAAGCCGAUCCGCGUCCCACAUGAGGCAGAACAACGGCAGAAGCAACAUGUGGUUAAGUUGAAGAAGAUGAGGGAGAAGCGGAUUCAGCAACGAGUGAAAUGAUGGUUGCUUCGUCCCUCCAACUUAACUGCGGGAAAGGUGCAGCUUGUGAUUUGAUGCCUCAUUGCUCAUUACUACACCGGCGCCAUGACUGGGGUGCUUCACCCCGGCUGCUCUGCACUGUAUUCCGGUAUGGCACGUGGACCCGGUAGCUUGAUGUCCCACAUGUCGGUGAAAGGGACUAGAAGAUUUAUGAAAGUGAGCGCUCCACUCUUACGACGGAGGAGUAGACGACAUGACGGCCCAGUGAACUGUCACUUGUAGUACUGUAUAGUACUAUAGUUUUGCUAUUUCGCACGAUCCAUCGAUACAAACCCGAUUAAACAGGAAAGGGCGGGAUUUUUCCCGCGCGGUAGAUGAUACUGGCCAUACAUUUCAAAGGCAAUUUUAAUGUAUGCAAACUGAAUAAUUAUAAGUAACAAUAUGAUAUCUAGUAAAACUAAAAACACAUAUGAUUUAUUGUGUUAGAGUGUAGUAGUAGUGCUGUAUUGCAUAGUUGUUAGAUGUAACAUGCGAGAACGUGUAGAGAUGUAGUUUUGGAGGGCCUACAGAGAGAAAAGCGUAAUACGGUCACCGAACUUCAGAAUAAGCUGAUUAAGGUUACUAUAUACGUUUUGCGGUGAUUAUACGGUCACUUGCUCACAGUUCAGCAUCGGAUUGCACUCUGUUGACCGGCCAAAUAGUCUGUGUGGUGCCAUGUUGACUAGUUAAAUUGACCACGUUCCUUGUGGGUCCCACCUGUCAGUUCGCGUAGGCAAAAGGUCAGAUAAACACAAAUUUACGCAGGCGCGACAAGGCUCCAACCCGUGCGCGGGAAUCACCUAGUUGUGUAUGUGUCCGUCAGGGCCUGAUGUGUGCGCAUGCACGUGUAGGUUGAGCACUUGAACGUGAGAGUGUGUGUUGGUCGUGUGGUGUACUGGUGUGUGCAUGCAUGCGUGCGUGUGUGUGUGAGUGUUGCGUGCGUGCGUGUGAGUGUUGCGUGCGUGCGUGGCUGCGUGCGUGCGUGGGUGCAUGUGUUUGUGUGAGUGUUGCGUGGAUGCAGUUCGUGUGCAUGCGUGCGUGUGUGUGUAUAAUCACCACACCAGCUCUUGUGUGUUAAAACAGACGGCUCAGCAUACCAAUACAAGGCCACCUUGUCCGCUGUGCCCGCGGUCAUGACUUCGAACCACCGUCCAAAUAUUUUUUUGUCGUUUGUUUUCAUUCUUACUAGCAAGAUGCACGUGCGUUGCACGUAACAUCAAGAUGCAUUUGUAUGACUUGUUUAUCUUGUGAGAGAAAAGGAUGAACGAGGGAAGGCCUUAUUUGCAAAUGUGGAGAGGUGUGUGGGUACCUUUUUGCAAAAUUGCCAUAGUUUCUUUCCUAUCCGUCAGAUAUAAAUCGGACGGCCUAUAUUGCGGGAUGGCAGGCACACCAUCAUCACCAACUCUGUUUUUUAUAAGAGUGUAUUUUAUGUAUUUUAUAAGAGUGUAGAUGUAGAGUAGAUACAAGUCGACAGGUGGGCACGAUGGUAGUGAGAUAAUGUGAUGCAACACUAGAGGUGCCACGUGGAGCGUUUAACUGGUCAACUACUCAUGUCAUGAGCAAAUACAGAGUUGUACGGUGAGCCCGUGACUGCAUAAUAACCACUAAACGUAAAUGGUGACCGUAAUGAGUGGAUUCUGAAGUCCAAUGUAUGUAUCGUGCUUUCGCUUCAAAUACAAUGAUCGUCAUUGCAUAUAUCGCGAGAGAAAGAUGAAACAUGCGUGAAUUUUCUGGGGGCUUACUUUUAGAGGACCUGGAGAUAGUUUUGUGUGCAUACGUGAAAGGGGCGUACAGGGGGGGUAUGCAAUGGAGAGAGAGGUGCUCUUCGUUUCUCUUUAUUAUGACUAACUUUGUAUAUAGUAUAAAAAUAUACAAAUUCACAUUGCGGAAUAAAUAUCAUUGUUGGCACCAUGCAAUGCAAAUUAGCAUUCGUACUCCUCCAUAUAACUUUGUAAUGUUGUAUAUAUGUAGAAACUCUUAAAUAAUUUUUUGGCCACACUUUAUUCAAAAGGAAUGUUGUAUGCGAAAUAAACGUGAAGAGAGGGCUUUUUAGAUCAAUGGCGUACGUGAUGUAACAUGUGUAAAUGUGUAGUUGAUGCAUUUGGUGGGGCCUAGAGAGGUAUGUGUGUGUAUUACGUAUUCGAGAGAGGCAUGGAUAGAGGGGCCGACGGGGGGCGUGGGAGAGAUAGCACGAGAAAUGAGAGUGGUCUAGAGAGAGAGACGAAUAUGACGUCACGACAAGAGAUUCCCUUCCCUUGAGUGUGUAUAUGCAAGGGGGAGGGAAUAGAGGCACCAGGAGAAAUUUUCUGUGUGUGUGGUGUUUGUGUUGGUAUGUGUGGGUGUGAGAAGAUAAUGAGACGUGGGGGCAGAGGGUGUGUCACCGCGUGAGGGCCGGUGGGUCGAGGUGAGGCCCUUCGUUCGGUUCUGACCUGCGCCACAUUGGUCGGCCCGUGACGCAUUUAGGAAGACCCAUGGAUGACUAGUCGUACAAGACAAAGAUACCAGAAUUGUGAAGGACUCUAUGUCCACUGACAAAGCCAGCUAGGAUUUGUAACCCUAGGUUCUCGGACUAAGGUAACCCCUUUAUCUCUGAUAUUACUAUUCAUCCAACCUAACUUUAAGGGGCAUCCUACAGAAUGCUCUGCUAGAAUCAUACUCGUCGAUUAGGAAGAGAGGUGUGAGACAAUGCGUGAGAGACAGGCGUAAAGAUAAUGUGCGUACAUGAGACACGUAGGCAGGUCCAUGUAUAUAGAAAGGGUCGAUGAGGAUUGUGCGUGUGUAUGUUUGCGAGAGGAAGAGUGCUUGUGAUAAAGGUUAGUGAAAACAGUUGUAAAUGGUUACGAGAGGGAGGGAGGGUUAUAUCUAGAGCAUGUGUGCGAGAAAGACACCUCGGGAGAGAGUGUGUGAGCAUGUGUGAGAGACCACCGAUGGAGAGUGAAACUACACGUAAAAGACUGCUCUACACAUUGAUUAAAGAUAUAAAUUGUAUCCAAAUAUUAGGAUGGGAUCAUGAUAUUUGCAAUUCGCGUAAGGAGCGGUCAUUGAUCCAUCAGACAUCUAGAUUUUAUCGAAUUUGAGCAUGUCUAUGUUAUUAUUCAACACAAUUGAUCCACAUAGUUAGUAUUUUGAACUCCAGACAAUGCACCGCUUUAGCAAUCGAAUAUAAACGUGAAAGUUACACAAUGGACAUUAUAAAUAGCUACCUAUGAACUAGCAUACAUUUGAAUUCAACUUAAGGUGGUUUAAAAAAAUCGAAUUCAACAUGAAGUCCAUUCAAUUAUUUGAAUUUGAUAUCAUGGCAUUUGUAAACCAUACCUAAAUUAUGGGGGCACCAAUCUUUGCUCUGAUUUUGUACAUAAUAGCAUAUGUAGUCGUGUACAAAAUAGAUUCAAAUUUAGCUCCUCCAUUCCAAAAUAAUCGUAGUUAUAGGAUUUUCAAGUGUCAAAAUUUCAAAAAGAAGCGGAUAAUUUAAUGAGGUUUUCAAACAUACAAGGUCAAAUAUAACGUUGUCUAUUUAGGUCAAUCCUCAUAGUUCAAGAGUCCUCUAAACGUGAAUGCUUGUGUUUCAUAAUUUCGAACGAAGUGCCAAAAGAGCCUCUACUCGCCCGAAACCGCGUGAGACCAAUGUUUGGUAGUACAAGGAAAUUACUUUUCUAAUAACUCCGACCCGUGAAACCUACCGGUCCGACGUCCAAAGGUCUAAACCGGGGUAGGUUUGUAGCUUCAUCUAGACGCCACGCAACCGCAUCCGAAAAACAUUCAUACACAAUGGCCGCCUAAGCACACAUGCGCGCGGCCGAAAUCGCUCCCGCCCACUAUUUGGGACACCUGGGAUUACCAUCCUACCCCCGACCCGCAGUAGGUCCAAAAUUUAAGAGGGGGGCAAAGUUUGUACUUUCCCCAAAUUUCAAACAAGCGCGUCCAUCUUCUGUUCAAAAAAGCCAAAAACAAGCGCGUCCCAGACCGAAACAUGGUCCCCCCCCACCCGUCCGAUUCCCCAUUCGUACUCCGUGGGCGCCAAAACUACCUCUCCACCAGCCACGAAACCCCGGCGUCCUCCGUCCGCCACCCCAUCCCACCCAUCAACUGCUGCCCUCCUCCAUCACGCCGAAGCCGAUACCCCGACAUCGUCGUCCACCGCAACCUCAACCGCAACGCCCUCCACGGCUAGUAGUUGAAGCCGAGGCCGAACCGUCCAUACCCGAGCCAGUUCAACCACGUCGUCCUGCGCCUCACCGCUGCCGCUCCAACUUCGCCACCCUCCACCGCACCGGAGUUGUUCCUGCUACGCCGUCCUUCGCCGCCUCGGAUCUGCUUCCCCUCCGCCGACAUACGGCCACGGCAACACAGUCAACAAUUUGGCCAUGGGUUCGUCCAAGCCUGCACCCUCCGGAACAUCGGUUUCUCCGGUAAAAAGAAGAAGAUCGGCGCGACAUGUGGAGGUGACCACACCGGCAACCGAAAAAGGUACUCCUCUUCCCUUAUUCAUGCAAAUCUUAUGUCUCUGCUUGCACGGUAUUCAUCCACAGAAGACACUAGUUGACCGCUUCUUCUUGAUACUAGAUGUUCCUAGUAACUCGCGAUGCACAAGGUUUCUCCUCAUAUACUAUUUCACCUUAGCUAGAGGUCCGUCGCCCCCCUGAAUUUCAAUUUCUGGCCAGUUGAUUCCCAAUUAACGGAAGCAUUCCCCGGCGUAACAGGCGCUAGUACGCCUAUUACGCCGGGGAAGCAGCGCCUUGGUGUUUAUCUUAGGGGCGUGUGCAGCCUAGAGCUAUUGGCGCCCGAUCUGGAGGUCGGCCGGGAUUAAAGGGAUGGCCUGGGGGCGCUGCCAAGCACGGCGGUGGUGUGAGGUCGAUGGGAGGGCGGGGCGGCGGAGGCAGGGGUCUGGGCCAGUGGUCGCUGGCGGUUCGAGAAAGAUCGUCAACAGUGACUGGCGGGAGGUAGACGAAGGCCAUCUGCCCGUUCCUUAUAGAUCGGACGGUUCAUUAAAAAAAUCGACUGACCUAUUUAUUUUCAGUCGACUGUUAUCUUAGAUAUGACCACAUGUGGUGGUGUGCUGGAGGAGUACCUGCAUUUCCUGUGCUCAUAUAUUACAAAAUCAUACGGAGUAGAAUCUAAUUUUGUUUGCCAUGGAAUGUUGUAGAGAUAUCAUAUGUCUCCUGUCAUUUAUUUUUCAGCCACCUGCUAUCUGCUACUUUUACAGUGCACUAGUUCUGCACACACUUCACCCUUACUCUCACUAUUGUGUUUUUAUGCAAGGGUAUUUCAGACUCUGCUGCCAUGAGAGAAGCCAAAAAGAAAAGAGAGAAGUCGCUCCAGCUUUGUGUGCGGUUAGGCAAGACACAUUACAGCGCUAUAAAGGGUGCAGUGUCAGCAGAUGGAGACAGUAAACGUAACUCUGGAGUUGAUGACCUCGCUCGCAAUGAACCACCAUCCCAGGUGCUUGCUUUAACUUCGCGGUGUCAUAUGUGGUUGCAUGUACCAUAUGGUUUCUAGCUUGUAUUCGAAAGGCCGAAGUCGGUAAGAUAAGGAAAGAUAUUUUUUAACAUGAACCACCAUCCCGUGAGCACCAGAACACAAAUAGCUAGUCAGGGCACUGGCCGAGCCAGUGACAAGCCCAGCAAAGAUAGGCAUCACCUGGAAGCCAACUAAAAAGCUGCGAUGGUGGCGAAGCAGCCCGCCUCCCACCAGGCUCUCAGGUCCUAGAUGAUCAUGCUCACCACUCCAGCCGGAUGUCUAGCUUGUAUUGCUUCCAAUUUGGUUAAAUUGCAUCUGCUUAGCUUACACAUUAUACCUUUGAAUAUGACAUGCCUUUCUGUUUUUGGUACAUACUAGUACAUCUGUGUAUUAACCAUGUUCUUACAUCAAACUAAUGUUCUUAUGUAUCCCUCAUCAAUCACUUAUGACGAGGCAGGCAGGCAAGGGGACUACUCCUCAUUUAAAGAAUGCAGCGUCAGCCUCCCGACAUGAUUCUCAAGAAACAGAAAUGCUAGAUGAAGAUAGUGAACGUAGCUCUGUAGUUGAUUACAACAUUUCCCCUACACUAGCAUCGCAGGUGCUUGCUCUAACUUGGCAGCGUGAUAUGUGGUUGCAUGUUGCAUAUGGUGUCUAGAUUGUAAUUCUUCCAAUCUGGUUAAACUGCAUGUGCUAGUCUGCUUAGCUUAUACAUUAUACCUGUUAAUGUGACAUGCCUUCCUGUAUUUAGUACAUAGUACAUCUGUCUAUUAAGCAUGUCCUUACAUAAAACUAUUGUUUUUUUUGUAUCCUGCAUCAAUCAACAUGACAAGACACCUUUAGUAUAUGCAGUGCGAUAUUAGUUGCAUCUUUCAUAUGAUUUAUAGCAUGCGCUGCUUCUAAUUUGUUGAAAUUCCAUUUAUGAUGGGACGCUUUUAACUUGGCAGAGUCAUAUUGGUUGCAUCUUUCAUGUGGUGUCUAGCUUGCAUUGCUUCUUAUUUGUUGGAAUGGUUUCUGCUUAGUUUACACAAACAGUUGUGAACAUGCCAUGCCGUCCUGUUUUUCGUACAUAUUCCAUCCUGGUAUCAUGUGUUUGCCUUACAUCAAAGUAGUGAUUGUCAGUAUCAUGCAUGAAUGAGUUCUGAAGAGAGAAUUUUAUUGCUUUUUCUUGUCGGUUUUACUUGACAAUUCAAAAUCAAUAAAGCGGAAGGAAGUUAGCAAGGCAGCGGAUAAAGGUGCUCCUUCCAAACGGAGGGCCUCUACAGUUUCUACUCCUCCACACCCCCAAGAUGAUUUCCAAGACAACACAUGCAUAGACACUCAACAAAGCUGUGUUUAUGAUGAGCACGUCUCCCCUAGUGCAGCAUCACCGGUGCUCCCUCUAACUUGGCACUAUUAUAUGUGGUUGCAUGUUAUGUGUGAUGUCUAGCUUGUAUUGCUUCUAACUUUGUUGAAUUCCAUCUGCUUACUUUACACAUUAUACUUGAAUAAGACACGUGUUCCUGUUUCUAGAACAUACAAUAUAUGUCUAUCACACCAUGUUCUUACAUCAAAUUACUACUGUUGUGUAACCUGCAACAAUCACUUAUCAUAAGACACGUUUGACUUCGGAGUGUGAUAUAGGUUACAUCUCACAUUCUUUUCUAGCUUGUACUACUAAUUUGUUGAAAUGGCACAUAUGACGAGACAGUUUUAACUUGGUAGAGUGAUAUUCGUUGCAUCUUUCAUAUGGUGUCUAGCUUUCAUUGCUUCUAAUUUGUUGAAAUGCCUUCUCCUUAGUUUACACAUCAUAAGCUGUGAAUAUGCAAUGCUGUGAAUAUGCAAUGGCACUAAUGACGAGAGACCUCUAACAUGGUAGUGUGAUGUUGUUUGCAUCUUGCAUAUGAUUUAUUUCUUGUACUGCUUCACAUUUGUUUAAACGCCAUUUAUGAUGAGACACUGUUAACUUGGCAGAGCGAUAUCUGUAGCAUCUUUCAUAUGGUAUCUACCUUCCAUUGCAUUGCUUCUAAUUUGGUGAAAUGUCUUCUUCUUAGUUUACACAUCAUAGUUCUGGUUAUCUCUUCCGUCCUGUUUUUCAUACAUGUUACAUCCUCCUAUCAUGUGGUUGUCUAACAUCAAAGUUCAGUUCGUCUGCAUCACGCAUCAAUUUUUUCUGAAGAACUAAAUUGUUAUUCAUUUCUCUUGUCGGCUUGACUUAACAUGGCACAGAGAAAGAGGAAGAAACACAGAAUGGCAGGGAAUGAGAAGCGGAUGAAUCCUGCAGAUUCUGCUGGUACUGAUGGUGCAAUAGAAGGUCAAAGUCCAGCGGAAAAUUCUACAAACACGGCAUCCCAUGCUACACGAGUUGCAAAAAAAGCCAAACAGAAACAAAUAGCUGCCACCAAACAAGCAGAGACAGCCCUAGUUCUUGCAACACCUACCACAGUACUACCAGCUGCAUGACUUACUCGUGCGUCAACUGAGCUAGCAGCACGUUCCCAAGCUCCCUUACCACCUGACACUACUUCCCAAGCACUCUUGACACAAGACGAGUUGGCAAUAUCAGAUGAACCUUGUGAGCUUCAACAGCAAGAAGGUAGUUGCUGGAGUCAAGUUACAGUUGCAUGCUUCUUUAUAUGUAGUCUCACAGUUUGAUGUACACUAACACUUCCUAUGUUCGUUGUUGGACUAGCACCUAGGCGCAAGAGGAAACAAACAUCAGGGAUAAUGCUCGAUAGGUUAACUAAAUCUAGAGGAGGAAGAAUGGAGAUCCGUUUUAUGGCAGGUUUAAAAAGGCCACGUGAUGCUACAGAGUCAGCCAAGUUAGUAUCAGAGGCAGCGGUUGCCGUUAGGUGUCAUGUACGUAUCCUCCCAACAUGGAUUUAGUACAGGAAUGACAAAGACGAAACCCAGUUCAACACCUUCCUCGACCAUUUAUCUGUAAGUAUGGUUAUGUAUGGAAACUAGUAAUAUCGUCUUGCUCUGUCCCAUACUUUUUAGGUUGCUGAUAAUGAGACUCCCAUAAUUUUCAACAGAUGAGGUUCAAGUUGGAUAGCCAAGAUGAUGCAACCAGACAAGCUUGCACCCAUGUUUUCAAGUCUACUCUGCGACAGUAUCGGUAUAACUUGACGAAAACUCACUUUGAAGGCAAGGCUAACAGUGAACUUUCCCAAACAUCUCCAGUGGAAAAUAUAUCAGAUGAAGACUGGAGGGGCCUUGUUAAACACUGGUCUGAUCCAAAGUAUCAGGUACAUUAUAUAUAUGUGAUCAGAUCACAUGUUGAAGUCCUAUUUACGCAUGUGCCACACAAAUCUGUCUUCUUGUAGGUGAACUGUUCAAAGAACAAGGCCAACCAUACGAAAGUGAAAUUGCAACAGACGACAGGAUCUCGUAGCUAUAUUGAACACUGCGAGGCUCUUGUAAUUAGCUGAUGUUUCACUCUUUUCGCUGUACCAUAUUAUCAGAUCUAUAUUGACUUGUUCGAAAUGCAGAGGAAAGCCCGCAAGGACCAAAAAGUACCUGAACCAAAUGUUGUGGAAAUCUUCAAGGACUGUCACACCAGUAAGAAGAAGGGCAUGACUACACCAGUCAAAGCCGCUGUUGUAAGUCCUUAAUCCUCAUGCCUUUUAACUACUACUUACUCUGACUUGUGCCUUGAACUGCAUGGUUUGCAGCCAAUGUCUAUUACUCUUUUCAAUUUUAUACACAAUUGUCUUAGCGUAUCAUUGCACCUUACAAGGUUUAAAAGAGAGGAGUGAUGUUCCUUUGAUCUUGACCCGUAAUCUAGUUCCGUGCUGGACUUGCCCACACAACGUUACAAUUGCCUGUUUGUCUGUUCUCAGUUGUUUUGUGAUAUGAAUGAUGUCAUACUAUGCUUACCGUAUUAUAAACUUCGUCUCUUUAUCCUUAGCCCUGAAUACAAUGUGAAGAAAUAGACAAUACAUUAGCGAUGGUACUUGGUCAUAUGUUUGGAACCUGGUUUUAUUAUGUACUUUGCAAUAAAAUACAACUAAUAUUUUACAUGGGUUCACCAGAAUAAGUUCUGUAUAUAGACCAAAGCUAUUUUGUUUGGUUUUGCUGCCUCCUUAAUAUCUUCUGUUCUGGUACUACUAAUGUAAAACCUCAACUUUUCAUCAAGCUAUGGAAAAAAUGGUGGAACCGCCACCUUCUGAAGGUGGCGAGGCAACUAUAACCGCAAUGUCAGCUCUUGCUGCAGUGGGUCAGUACCUAUCCACUAACAGUGCCAAAAGCAUGUUCCUGCGUAAUACUGGGUUGGUUGUUAAGGCAAUAUCAUCCAAACUGCCUCAUGAUGAAGAUAUGCAAGCUCAAAGCAAUGUUGUAUCUGCGCUCCAGACACAAGUCCAUUCCCUAAUAGAGACCCUUUGUGAAACAAGGAGAAACAUUGCUCAAUGUCGUCAAGAUAUGCAUGGUUUUGAAACCAGACUAUCAGACAUUUGCUAUGUUGUUCAGGAGCCUAGGGGAAAUGAAGGCGAGGGUUAUGGUGCUCCAUCGGACAAUACAGCAUGAAAACGUAACAGUCAGGUCAAAUGAACUGAGCUUCUGAACUUCUGGUGGUGCAUUUAUCUGCUAGACUAUUAAGUUUUAUGCCAACCUUCCUUUUGUUAUAUAGUUGUAAUUUGUUUUGGUGCGAUACAAAAUUUAUUCUUAACGUGCAGCCACCGGCUGAAGAAAACAGCAAGCCAUUUUUGUAUAGUGUAGGGUGUUCCCUAUAUUUGCACUGGUGGCGAUCUUUGAUGCCGAGUGGAUGUAAUCUGUGCAAUCGCCUUAAUAGCCUAGCGUUAGUUUUGGCCUUAUUUAUUUCCUAGUCUUCUUUUUCCCUGGUUUGCUAGUGGCCGCAACUACCAUGGGCCAUAUAUGGGCUGUAGGAUCCAUGGGUCUCCUACGGGCCGUCGAUAAAUGGGCCUGUAAUCGGUGGGCCUCGGGCCGUCGGAUAAAUGGGUCUACAUGGGCCGUAAUCGGGCGUAAUUGGUAUCGGCCCAGCACGGUAAUAGGCCGUUAACACGCCGUAGGACAGCAAAGGCUUAAUUCUGUCACAGGCAUAACGGGUCAUUAAUGGGCUAGAAUAUAGGACGGGCUGGAAACGGCGCAACGGGUUAACAGGCCAGAAACGGGCCGACUCUUGCCAUGGGCCGAAUUUGGCCCAUUAGGGUAACAGGCCAGUAACGGGCCGACUCUUGCCAUGGGCCAAAUUUGGCCCAUUAGGGGAACAGGCCAGUAACGGGCCGACUCUUGCCAUGGGCCGAAUUUGGCCCAUUAGGGGAACGGGCCAGUAACGGGCCGUAAGUAAUCGAGGGCCGAAAAGGAGCCCAAGAACGUAUGGGUCGUCAAUAGGCCGAAAGCUAACACGGGUUGGAAACGGCCCAUGUAAAUCAUGGGCCGUUAACGGGUAUAAAGAAAAUUACUGUUCAUUAUGGGCUAGAGUCACCGUGGGCCUGUAAAAGGCCGAAAGAUACGAAGGCCUCAUAUGGGCCGAAAGACGUCGUGGGCCAUACAUGGGCCGAAAGUGAAAUGGGCUGGUGUUAUAUUCGACGGCCCACAUGACGUUGUUGGGCCGAUUUCCUUUAGGGCCUAACGGGCCGUGAGUUAACGGGCCGUAAAAUGGGCUAUUUGCGAAGAGACCGUUAACAGGCUUUUCAUGGGCUAGCCCGUUAACUUUUGACCAAGUCAAACGGGCCGGCUUUGUAAGCUAAAUGGGCCAGUGGUGGGCCGUGGCAUGUGUCGACAUAUCAUAGGCGCCUAUCUGACCCACUGACGAGCUGACACAUGUUUCGUCCGGCCAAUAAGAAUUUUACACGUGGAAAUUUCCCAUUGGUCGGGGCUAUUAACGGGUUAUCGGAUCCAAAACCCGACCCGAUAGCUUAACGCGUUCCGUUACGGUGGAUGCCACGUGUCGGUCACCCUUGACGAAAGCACUUCUGUGACGCGCGAUUUAUCGUCAUGGAAGUGGACACUUCCGUGAUGAUAAUUUUGGUAAUGUCAUGGAACACUUCUACGACAGCACAGGUAUGACUAUCUUGAUUCUGUCAUAAAAUCGUCAUGGAUGUACAUGCAUGACAAAAAACGCGACCUACUGUGACAAACACGUAUCAUCACGGAAGUGUAUUUUUUUGUAGUGAUAGUUAUGCAAUGAAAUUACAUCCUACUUAUGGUGCACUAUUCGGUGUUAGUUAUGCUUAAUGCUCUCUUAUGAGAUUUUUCGUUUCUUGGAUGGAUAGUUCUCAAUCUUUUGCUAGCCUUCAUUUGCACUAAGUAUGAUCACUACUUGUGCAUCCAAAAUCCUUUAAACCAGUCUUUGUCACAGGAGUCCACCAUACAUACCUAUAUGCGGUAUUCUUUUGCCAUUCUGAGCAAAUUUGUAUGUGCCAUCUCUAAUUUUCAAAAUAAACUUCUCUUUUGUGUGAUCAUACCGCUCAUGAAAUAGUAGGGGGUGGCUGGUAUAUUUCCAUGCUAGAUGUGUUAUUCUUAAGAUGAGUGUUUAUUCACUUGUCAUUGCACGAGAGUACGACAAAGGUAUUAGGGAUGCCCAGUCCCGAAAUGAAAAAUGAAUUUACAUUAUGUUGUCAAAUAAUAAAUUCCUUGGAAAGUGUUGGUAUGGAAGGCACCCGUGGAUACGGUUAGCCAUGGAAAGUGAAAGUAUGGUGGAAAAAGGAAUAAACUUUAUUUUCUGUUUGGGAACCGCCUAUGAUAUAUCAAGCAUGGAAAGUAUUGGAAACUACUCGAUUGUUUUUGUUGACAGGAAAAGCAUGCCACCCGAAAUGUUUUUAUCUCUACCUUUUUCUCUUUGAGCUCUGGCACCUCUACAAAUCCCUACUUCCCUCCGCGAAGGGCCUUUCUAUUUACUUUAUGCAAUUUUUAUUUUUACUUGAGUCUCCAUCUUCUCUUAUAAAGCACCAACUAAGGGGCACUAUGAUCGUACUUGAGCAUUGGGUGUAGCUAAUAUGCAAGUGUGUUUCAUGAAUGGAUCAAUGAUUGAACAUAAUGGGCUAGGGAUAACUUGCUUUAGUGUUGAUAUUUUAAAAGACAUGGUUGUUUGUUGAUAUGCUUGAGUAUUAAAGUCCUCAUGUCAAAACUAUACUAUUGCUUUGAACCAUAUAAAAGUCCAAAUGUCCAUGCUACAAAGAAAAGAAUGUGUGAUGAACAUGUUAGGCAGCAUUCCACAUCAAAAAUUCUGUUUUUUAUCAUUUAACUACUCGAGGAAGAGCAGGAAUUAAGCUUGGGGAUGCUGAUACGUCUCCAACGUAUCUAUAAUUUUUUAUUGUUCCAUGCUGUUAUAUUAUCAUUCUUGGAUGUUUUACAAUCAUUUUAUAGCAAUUUUAUAUCAUUUUUGGGACUAACCAAUUGACAUAGUGCCCAAUGCUAGUUGUUGUUUUUUGCUUGUUUUUUACAUCGCGGGAAAUCAAUAUCAAACGGAGUCCAAAUGCAGCGAAACUUAUUGUGGAUUUUUCUGGACCAGAAGACACCUGUUGUGCCAAGAAAGUACCUGAGGGGAGCUCCGAGGGGAGCACAACCCACCAGGGCGCGCCUGCGGGCCCAGGCGCGCCCAGGUGGGUUGUGCCCACCUCGGUGGCCUCCCGCACCGCCUCUUUGCUCUAUAAAUGCCCCAAUAUUCCAGAAACCCCAGGGGAGUCGACGAAAAUCAAUUCCAGCCGCCGCAAGUUCCAGAACCACCAGAUCCAAUCAAGACACCAUCACGGAGGGGUUCAUCAUCUUCAUUGGUGCCUCUCCGAUGAUGCGUGAGUAGUUCAUUGUAGACCUACGGGUCCGUAGUUAGUAGCUAGAUGGCUUCCUCUCUCUCUUUUGAUCCUUAAUACAAUGGUCUCUUGGAGAUCUAUUUGAUGUAACUCUUUUUGCGGUGUGUUUGUUGGGAUCCGAUGAACUUUGAGUUUAUGAUCAGAUCUAUGUUUUUAUCCAUGAAAGUUAUUUGAGUCUUCUGAUCUCUUAUAUGCAUGAUUACUUAUAGCCUCAUAUUUCUUCUUUGAAUCUUUGGUUUAGUUAGGCCAACUAGAUUGAUUUUUCUUGCCAUGGGAAGAGGUGCUUUGUGAUGGGUUCGAUCUUACGGUGCUUGAUCCCAGUGACAAAAGGGGAACCGACACAUAUGUAUCGUUGCUAUUAAGGAUAACAAGAUGGGGUCUAUUUCUACAUAAAUAGAUCUUGUCUACAUCAUGUCAUCGUUCUUAUUGCAUUACUCCGUUUCUCCAUGAAGUUAAUACACUAGAUGCAUGCUGGAUAGCGGUCGAUGUGUGGAGUAAUAGUAGUAGAUGCAGGCAGGAGUCAGACUACUAAUCUUGGAUGUGAUGCCUAUAUAAUGAUCAUUGCCUGGAUAUCGUCAUGGUUAUUUGAAGUUCUAUCAAUUGCCCAGCAGUAAUUUGUUUACCCACCGUAUGCUAUUUUUCUCGAGAGAAGCCACUAGUGAAAUCCACGGCCCCUGGGUCUCUUCUUUAUUAUAUUUGCCUUCACGAUCUUUUUUUAUUUGCAUUUAUUUUCAGAUCUAUUAAUCUAAAAACACAAAAAUACCUUGCAAAUUAUUUAUUUUAUCUCGCACUCCCGCAAGAUCUAUUUAUCCAAUCUACUACAAUUUUACCUAUCUUUUUACCCAUGAGGGAUUGACAACCCCUCUCUUACGUUGGGUUGCAAGUAUUUGUUCUUUGUGUGCAGGAGUUGUUUACGUGGUGUUACGUGGUUCUCCUACUGGUUCGAUAACCUUGGUCUCAUCACUCAGGGAAAUACCUACCGUAGCUGUGUGAUACGUCUCCAACGUAUCUAUUUUGGAUGUUAUCAGUUUUGGAUGUUUAAUGGGCUUUAUUAUGCACUUUUAUAUUAUUUUUGGGACUAACCUACUAACCAAAGGCCCAGUGCAAAUUGUUGUUUUUUUGCCUAUUUCAGUGUUUCGUAGAAAAGGAAUAUCAAACGGAAUGAAACCUUCGCGAGGAUCAUUUUUGGAACAAACGCAAUCCAGGAGACUUGGAGUGGACGUCAAGGAAGCAACGAGGCGGCCACGAGAUAGGGAGGCACGCCCAGGGGGUAGGCGUGCCCUCCACCCUCGUGGGCCCCUCGUAGCUCCACCGACCUACUUCUUUCGCCCAUAUAUACUCUUAUACCCUGAAAACAUCCAGGAGCACCACGAAACCCUAUUUCCACCACCGCAACCUUCUGUACCCGUGAGAUCCCAUCUUGGGGCCUUUUCCGGCGAUCUGCCAGAGGGGGAAUCGAUCAUGGAGGGCUUCUACAUCAACACCAUAGCCUCUCUGAUGAUGUGUGAGUAGUUUACCACAGACCUUCGGGUCCAUAGUUAUUAGCUAGAUGGCUUCUUCUCUCUCUUUGGAUCUCAAUACAAAGUUCUCCUCGAUCUUCUUGAUGAUCUAUUCGAUGUAAUACUUUUUGCGGUGGUUUGUCGAGAUCCAAUGAAUUGUGAGUUUAUGAUCAAGUUUAUCUAUGAACAUUAUUUGAAUCUUCUUUGAAUUCUUAUAUGCAUGAUUUUAUAUCUUUGCAAGUCUCUUCGAAUUAUCAGUUUGGCUUGGCCUACUAGAUUGAUCUUUCUUGCAAUGGGAGAAGUGCUUAGCUUUGGGUUCAAUCUUGCGGUGUCCUUUCCCAGUGACAGCAGGGGCAGCAAGGCACGUAUUGUAUUGUUAUGAUCGAGGAUAAAAAGAUGGGGUUUAUAUCAUAUUGCUUGAGUUUAUCCCUCUACAUCAUGUCAUCUUGCCUAAUGGGUUACUCUGUUCUUAUGAACUUAAUACUCUAGAUGCAUGCCGGAUAGCGGUCGAUAUGUGGAGUAAUAGUAGUAGAUGCAUAAUCGUUUCGAUCUACUUGACACGGAUGUGAUGCCUAUAUACAUGAUCAUGCCUAGAUAUUCUCAUAACUAUGCACUUUUCUAUCAAUUACUCGACAGUAAUUUGUUCACCCACCAUAAAAUAUGCUAUCUUGAGAGAAGCCACUAGUGAAACCUAUGGCCCCGGGGUCUAUCUUCCAUCAUAUUAAUCUCCCGCCAACGUGCUAUUUCUAUCGCUGUUUAUUUUGCAAUCUUUGCUUUUCAAUCUAUACAACAAAAAUACCAAAAAUAAUUAUCUUAUUAUCUCUAUCAGAUCUCACUUUUGCAAGUGGCCGUGAAGGCAUUGACAACCCCUUUAUCGCGUUGGUUGCUAGGUUCUUAAUUGUUUGUGCAGGUACUAGGGAUUUGCGUGUAAUCUCCUACUGGAUUGCUACCUUGGUUCUCAAAAACUGAGGGAAAUACUUACGCUACUUUGCUGCAUCACCCUUUCCUCUUCAAGGGAAAACCAACGCAUGCUCAAGAGGCAGCAAGAAGGAUAAUGGCGCCGUUGCCGGGGAGAUUUGCACCAAGUCAAGUCAACAGUUGAUCUCCCAGCAACUAGCCAUUUCUGGCGCCGUUGCCGGGGAGAUCUACGCACAAGUCAAGACAUACCAAGUACCCAUCACAAACUCUUAUCCCUCGCAUUACAUUAUUUGCCAUUUGCCUCUCGUUUUCCUCUCCCCCACUUCACCUUUGCCAUUUUAUUCGGCUUUUUUUGUUCGUCUCUUUUUGCUUGCUCCUUGUGUUCUUGGGUGUUUGUGUGCCUAUUUGCCCUGAUGGCUUUACCAAAAAGUGUUGAUCCUCACCUUAGAAGGUUGGAAGAGAUCGAAAACAACGUUAGAAGCUUUAUGUCUUUGAAGUUCGAGCAUAAUAAUUUCUUCAGAAAUGAGCUUAAAGAACAAAAAAGUUUUAUGGAGUGCAUUAAUAAAGAGCUUGAUGAUAUGUCUAAGGAAUUUUAUGGUUUGAAAUCUCAGUUUGCUCAGCUUGAAAAUUUGGUAGGCCGAAUUUUGGAUAAGCAGGCCACCUUAGUUAAUAAGAUGGCCGCUAAACCGGAAGAUCGAGACAUUAAUAAUGAUGAAGAUCUAAAAGUGGUUGAUGUGUCUCCUAUUAAAUAUUUGUUUCUAAUAUGAAUCUUGAUAAUGAUGGGACCGGAGAUGAGUCAACUUCAGUUAAAAGGCGUCCCAAUGAUUCGGAGUUUUUAGAUCUUGAUGCAAAAAUUGGUAAAAGUGGGAUUGAAGAGGUCAAAACUUUACAUAGCAAUGAACCCACUAUUUUGGAUUUCAAGGAAUUUAAUUAUGAUAAUUGCUCUUUGAUAGAUUGUAUUUCCUUGUUGCAAUCCGUGCUAAAUUCUCCUCAUGCUUAUAGUCAAAAUAAAGCUUUUACUAAAUAUAUUGUUGAUGCUUUAAUGCAAUCUUAUGAAGAAAAGCUUGAAUUAGAAGUUUCUAUCCCUAGAAAACUUUAUGAUGAGUGGGAACCUACUAUUAAAAUUAAUAUUAAAGAUCAUGAAUGCUAUGCUUUGUGUGAUUUGGGUGCUAGUGUUUCCACGAUUCCAAAAACUUUGUGUGAUGUGUUAGGUUUCCGCGAAUUUGAUGAUUGUUCUCUAAAUUUGCAUCUUGCGGGUUCCACCAUUAAGAAACCUAUGGGAAGGAUUAAUGAUGUUCUUAUUGUUGCAAAUAGGAAUUAUGUGCCCAUAGAUUUUAUUUUUCUUGAUAUAGAUUGCAAUCCUACAUGUCCUAUUAUUCUUGGUAGACCUUUCCUUAGAAUGAUUGGUGCAAUUAUUGAUAUGAAAGAAAGAAAUAUUAGAUUCCAACUUCCAUUAAGGAAAGGCAUGGAACACUUUCCUAGGAAGAAAAUUAAAUUACCUUAUGAAUCUAUUAUGAGAGACACUUAUGGAUUGCAUACCAAAGAUGAUGAUACCAAGAUCUAUUCUCGUUUUUAUGCCUAGCUAGGGGCGUUAAACGAUAGCGCUUGUUGGGAGGCAACCCAAUUUUAUUUUUGUUCCUUGAUUUUUGUUCCUGUUUAGUAAUAAAUAAUUCAUUUAUCCUCUGAUUAGAUUUGUUUUUAUGUUUUAAUUAGUGUUUGUGCCAAGUUAAACCUAUAGGAUCUUCUUGGAUAAUAAUUAUUUGAUCUUGCUGAAAAAGUCAGAAACUUUAUGCUCACGAAAACAAUUGUUAAAAAUCACCAGAACGUGAUAAAAUACUGAUUCCAAUUGCAGUAGAUCAAUAAACAAAUUAUCUAGGCUGUCCUAUUUUGGCAGAAUUUUUGAGUUAAAUAAGUUUGCGUUUGAUACAGAUUUCUACAGACUGUUCUGUUUUUGACAGAUUCUGUUUUUCGUGUGUCGUUUGCUUAUUUUGAUGAAUCUAUGGCUAGUAUCAGGGGGUAUGAACCAUAGAGAAGUUGGAAUACAUUAGGUUUAACACCAAUUUAAAUAAAUAAUGAGUUCAUUACACUAGUUUAUUGUGGUGGUUUGUUUUCUUGCACUAACGGAGCUCAUGAGAUUUUCUGUUGAGUUUUGUGUUGUGAAGUUUUCAAGUUUUGGGGUAAAGAUUUGAUGGAUUAUGGAAUAAGGGGUGGCAAGAGCCUAAGCUUGGGGAUUCCCAAGGCACCCCAAGGUAAAAUUCAAGGACAACCAAAAGCCUAAUCAUGGGGAUGCCCCGGAAGGCAUCCCCUCUUUCGUCUUCGUCCAUCGGUAACUUUACUUGAGGCUAUAUUUUUUUCACCAUAUGAUAUGUGUUUUGCUUGGAGCGUCUUGUAUGAUUUGAGUAUUUUCUUUUUAGUUUACCACAAUCAUCCUUGCUGUACACACAUUUUGUAGAGACACAGAUGAAUCUGAAUUUGUUAGAAUACUCUAUGUGCUUCACUUAUAUUUUUUGAGCUAGAUAAUUUUGCUCUAGUGCUUCACUUAUAUCUUUUAGAGCACGGUGGUGGUUUUAUUUUAUAGAAAUUAUUGAUCUCUCAUGCUUCACUUAUAUUAUUUUGAGAGUCCUUUAGAACAGCAUGGUAAUUUGCUUUGGCUAUAAAAUUAGUCCUAAUAUGAUAGGCAUCCAAGAUGGGUAUAAUAAAAACUUUCAUAUAGAACGCAUUGAUAUGAGAAGUUUGAUACUUGAUGAUUGUUUUGAGAUAUGAAGAUGGUGAUCUUAGAGUUGUGCUAGUUGAGUAAUUGUGAAUUUGAGAGAUACUUGUGUUAAAGUUUGUGAUUCCCGUAGCAUGCACGUAUGGAACCGUUAUCUGAUGAAGUUGGAGCAUGAUUUAUUUAUUGAUUGUCUUCCUUAUGUGUGGAGGUCGGGAUCGCGCGAUGGUUAACUCCUACCAACCCUUCCCCUAGGAGCAUGCGUGUAGUACUUUAUUUUGAUGACUUGUAGAUUUUUGCAAUAAGUAUGUGAGUUCUUUAUGAAUAAUGUUGAGUCCACGGAUUAUACGCACUCUCGCCCUUCCACCAUUGCUAGCCUCUCUUGUGCCGCACAACUCUCGCCGGUACCAUAAACCCACCAUAUACCUUCCUCAAAACAGCCACCAUACCUACCUAUUAUGGCAUUUCCAUAGCCAUUCCGAGAUAUAUUGCCAUGCAACUUUCCACUAUUCUGUUUAUUAUGACACGCUCCAUCAUUGUCAUAUUGCUUUGCAUGAUCAUGUAGUUGACAUCGUAUUUGUGGCAAAACCACCAUUCAUAAUUUUCAUACAUGUCACUCUUGAUUCAUUUCACAUCCUGGUACACCGCCGGAGGCAUUCACAUAGAGUCAUAUUUUGUGCUAAGUAUCGAGUUGUAAUUCAUGAGUUGUAAGUAAAUAAAAGUAUGAUGAUCUUCAUUAUUAGAGCAUUGUCCCAUGUGAGGAAAGGAUGAUGGAAACUAUGAUUCCCCCACAAGUCGAGAUGAGGCUUCGGACUUUAUGAAAAAUAAAAGAGGCCAAAGAAGCCCAAAUAAAAAAAGGAGGCCAAAGAAGCCCACCAAAAAUGAGAGAAAAAGACAGAAGGGACAAUGUUACUAUCCUUUUUCCACAGUUGUGCUUCAAAGUAGCACCAUGAUCUUCAUGACAGAGAGUCUCUUAUUUUGUCACUCAUAUACUAGUGGGAAUUUUUCAUUAUAGAACUUGGCUUGUAUAUUCCAAUGAUGGGCUUCCUCAAAUUGCCACAGGCCUUCGUGAGCGAGCAAGUUGGAUGCACACCCACUUAGUUUCUUUUGUUGAGCUUUCAUACACUUAUAGCUCUAGUGCAUCCGUUGCAUGGCAAUCCCUACUCACUCAAAUUGAUAUCUAUUGAUGGGCAUCUCCAUAGCCCAUUGAUACGCCUAGUUGAUGUGAGAUUAUCUUCCUCCUUUUGUCUUCUCCACAACCACCAUAUUCUAUUCCACCUAUAGUGCUAUGUCCAUGGCUCACGCUCAUGUAUUGCGUGAAAGUUGAAAAAGUUUGAGAAUACUAAAGUAUGAAACAAUUGUUUGGCUGAAACCGGGGCUGUGCAUGAUUUGAAUAUUUUGUGUGAUGAAGAUAGAGCAUAGCCAGACUAUAUGAUUUUGUAGGGAUAACUUUCUUUGGCCAUGUUAUUUUGAGAAGACAUAAUUGCUUAGUUAGUAUGCUUGAAGUAUUAUUAUUCUUAUGUCAAUAUUAAACUUUUGUCUUGAAUCUUUCGGAUUUGAACAUUCAUGCCACAAUAAAGAAAAUCACAUUGAAGAUUAUGUUAGGUAGCAUUCCACAUCAAAAAUUCUGUUUUUAUCAUUUACCUACUCGAGGACGAGCGGGAAUUAAGCGUGGGGAUGUUUGAUACGUCUCCAACGUACCUAUAUUUUUUUUAUUGUUCCAUGCUAUUAUAUUAUCUGUUUUGGAUGUUUAAUGGGCUUUAUUAUGCAAUUUUAUAUUAUUUUUGGGACUAACCUACUAACCAAAGGCCCAGUGCAAAUUGCUGUUUUUUUGCCUAUUUCGGUGUUUCGCAGAAAAGGAAUAUCAAACGGAAUCCAAACGGAAUGAAACCUUCGCGAGGAUCGUUUUUGGAACAAACGCAAUCCGGGAGACUUGGAGUGGACGUCAAGGAAGCAACGAGGCGGCCACGAGAUAGGGAGGCACGCCCAGGGGGUAGGCGCGCCCCCCACCCUCAUGGGCCCCUCGUAGCUCCACCGACCUACUUCUUUCGCCUAUAUAUACUCUUAUACCCUGAAAACAUCCAGGAGCACCAUGAAACUCUAUUUCCACCACCGCAACCUUCUGUACCCAUGAGAUCCCAUCUUGGGGCCUUUUCCGGCGCUCCGCCGGAGGGGGAAUCGAUCAUGGAGGGCUUCUACAUCAACACCCACUAGUAGAAAAAGGGGCUUUUACCCCGGUUGGUAAGGGCCUUUUGUCCCGGUUUUCGAACCGGGACUAAAGGGUCGUUACUAAAGCCCUAACCCUUUAGUCCCGGUUCUUACACGAACUGAGACAGAAGGUCCUCCACGUGGCCGCUGCUGCCAGCCCAGGCAGGGGGGCCUUUGGUCCUGGUUGGUGCCACCAAGUGGGACCAAUAGACAGGGCCUUUUGUCCCGGUUGGUGUCACCAACCGGGACCAAUAGGCUGUCAGGACCGGGUUUUCGGGAUAUUAAUUCUCCAGAAAAUGGCCCUUAUGCUCACCAGCCCCAGGAUUACUGUUAGCUGAUGAGGCACCAACUUGAUACAAGAAAUUCCAAGCAAGUACAAAAUAUGUAGUACAAGGCCAUUGUGGCCUAUGAGUACAACACUUGGUUUCUAGUGGUUGAUGGCGGAAGCGGUUUCUGGUUCAUCUGCGUCUAUGGGACUCCAUUUCCCACAAGAACAGCUGACCAGGAUAACUCAUAUCUUCGUGAGGCCGCUGGCAACACCGCGUAGGUUCCGGGGCCGUCGUCGUAACACUCUUCUCCGUGCAAGAAAUUUGGCCAAGACAAUAGCCAGGGACAAGCCAGUGAGUACGUUUGAAUGUACUCGCAAACAUCAAGAACACGGGUAUAAUAUAUCAAGGGUAAUCAUGUUCCGAAAAUAUUCUAUGAUCAUAAUGUCAGUCACGAGAUAAACAAAAUAUUCAUGAUGCACGCAUGUGGGUAAUAUAUGAAUAUGCAAUAUAGAAAUAGUAUGUAGUGAUCGAGUGUCUGAAAUGACUCCUCAAAAAGGGGUGCAAAUAAAUUAACAAUGCCGCAGUCGGGCGUCUGGGCGACACCACAUAAAGGGCUUAUAAAUAAAAGAAAUAACAGACAUGCCACAGUCGGGCGUCUAUGCGACACCACAUAAAGGGCUUAUAUAUAAAAGAAACAACAAGCAUGCCACAGUCGGGCGUCUAUGCGACACCUCAUAAAGGGCUUAUAUAUAAAAGAAACAGCAAGCAUGCCACAGUCGGGCGUCUAUGCGACACCUCAUAAAGGGCUUAUAAGGGAUAAUCACAGUGAAUAUCCAGGAGGUAGAACCGUCCCAGGGAUACUCAAUAAUACAACUAAAAUGAAUGGUUAGUCCACAAUAAUAAUGAUCAUAAUCCAUAUAUGUCACAGUUCAUAAUCAAAGUUCUGGCUUAGCAGUUUUUCCUCCGAAGACCGACACUAAGACCGACACUUGACCUAUCCCAGACUGUAGUCCUUAACCAUGGACACGGCUAUUCGAAUAGAUGUAUAAUCUCUGCAGAGGGUGUACUCUUUACCCACGGGUAACGGAUUUCUUUAGUCCAUCGGGACUAAUUCCGUCUACGGUCUUUUGAUUGAAAACACGCCUGACCUGCACACACCAGCUUAACUUACCGGUGUCUGGAAUCACCCACAACACCUGUCAAGCCAAACUCUAAGUGGGGAGGCUACAACCUCGACGUAGCAUGGGAUCAAAUUUAUAUAUGCGCGCUCUAAGGGGUGGCCCCCCUCUCGGUCCCAACCGGAAACACCCAUGCCCCCAGACCGGAUGACAGGCUUUAAUCCAUGGCCUUGGGACCCUCAUCACGGCCUCUCUGUACGGUGUGUGCUAGACAGGGGUUGACAACUUACUGAACUGUACCCUACCUAUGGCAGGGACAAGUGGUAGUACGGAACAAGUAUGGGGGUUACUGGACAAGACUCGAUCUACGGCCGACUCAGGAGGUUCAAGUAUUCUCUGCAUGAUUAGCAUAACAAAAGUAUUUCCAUUAACAGGUAAACUUACCACUCGUCAAGCCUCACCAUGCCAUACCGGACAUACUCGUCCCGACGAGGUACUAGGGACAAGCCCAUGUCUACCCAAGACCACGACUUUCCCGGUAUGCAAGGGAAGCUUACGAGGAUGAAUACCAUCACCAACAUAUCCAUUUAUCACAGCAAAGAAAACUCCACUAUGCACUCAUGCAUAUGAUUUUUAUCGUCACAUAAAAUAGCGUAUGCUCCAAGUCAAGUUGAUGUUGUAAACGUAUCGACAACAUCCAAAAAAAAUAUAAAACCAGGGUUCAGAAUGCUUGCCUUCAAGUGUAUGCAUGUGGGGGUGCACUUUUUGAAGGUUGCCUUAUUCUCCAAAAUCCUAUUUCGAAAAAUAUUCAAAUAACACACAUUUCAAAAACAGUACAAAAAUUUGUCCCAAAUAUUUUUUAAAUAAAUCUUAAAAUAAACUAGGUGAAAUUUGAGAGAGGUAGGAAAAAGAAUCAACUUAUUUGGAGUUUUAUUUUAAAAGUUAUAGCCAGUCAAAGAUCAGUCAAAGUUCUAUUUUAAUAAAACCAGAAAAAGGAAAACGCUUCGGGGGAGAAUACGCUUUCGAAGCAGAGAAGACGUACUCGGGACUCUUCGCUUUCACUUAAACAGAGAGAACGGCCGCGCGGGUCACUGACAGUGGGUCCAGGGGGCCCUCUGGUCAGGUUUGACCGUUCUUCCUCUCCCUCCUUUCUCUCUGCCCGAACGGGGUGGGGUUCCGGCGAUCGCCGUCGGUGAACGGCAGCUCCCCACGGGGUCCCGAGGACAGGGAUGGAUCCGCCAGACUGGGGCGGUCCUCCCGAUGGGUGCUAGGCGGGUGGGGACAGAGAAGGUCACCGGCGGCGAGCUUCGCGGCGGACGGUGGUUCGGGAGCAGAGUGGGUUUUGGGCUCCGGGGUUCCUUGGUCGAGGCCGAGGCGCUAGGCAGCUCCGCACGACUAUGGGGAAACUCUCGGUGGCGUUGGGUUGGCGGGGGAGGGCCUGGCUGCGGCGUAUUGCACCGGAGCUUGGCGGCGGCCGAACUGGCCGGAGACGAAGAGGAAAGCCCCUCCUCGUUGAUUGCUGGCUACGGGAGUCCUAUGGGGGUGGCCUGGGUUUGUCUGAGUGCUCGGCUGAGCUCGGGGUCCCCUUUUAUAGCGCGACGGGGCUGGCUCCGCGGCGGUGGAUAAGAUCGACGACGAGUCGCCGUUGCUGUAGCUGCAGGGCAUCGUGGCGGCGACGAGCGCGUGCCGACGAGCAUGUGGAUAAGCACGGGCUGUUCCCCGGGGGCAGCUGGCGCGCGCGGGUGGCUUGGGUGGCGCCGUCCACGGCAGAGCCUGCUGCCGACGCCGGCGUGCCGCCAAGGGAGCUCUGCCGGCGACGCAGUAGGGCGCCAGUGCGGCUUGGAGGUUUGCUGCGAGGGGGCGAGUGUAUGGCGCGGCUCUACAGGCGAGCUGGGGCCAGGGACGAGACGCGUCGAGGGUGGCAGUGCGGCGUGGCGACUCAGUGCGCGCGCGUGCAAAACGUGCGCUCUGGGCGCGCCCAGAGCACGCACGCCAGGUGCUCGACGAAAUCCCAGCGCGCUCUAGAGAGCUUGGGUGAGGCUGGUAGCUAACAGGCCAGGGUUAGGGAUAGCUAGGAGGCUAGUGGACAUGCUGGAUAGGUCAGGGGCUCAAGUCCACAAUGCAAGCUAGGAGACAUGCCCAAAACUGUUCCUGCACACAGGGUGUUCGACAGAAUGCCAUGAGCAUCUAGGCAAUUCUUGGGGUGGCCAAACUCUCCAGAUCCUAGUCUCUUUAGGAGCUAAGGAAAGUGGUAAGGUUAGUUUGGCAAAAACAGAAAGUUGAUAGUGCAAGUUUUUGAGAAAAGCAGUUUUGGGCAGAAACUAAAGGCUAUCAUUGCAUGCACCAAAAAUAUGCCAAUGGGUCCAAUCUCCUGGACUUAAGGGUUUGGAAAGGAGAACUAUAAGUAGGAAAAAGCUCAAGGGCACUAGAGCAAAAUAAAAUCGGGUUGCAGUACAAAUCACCAAACUGGACCAGAAUGAAGAUGAGGUUGAAUCACUCAAAUUUUUCAAAGAAAAUCACUGGGUUUUUGCAUGAAGUUGAAUUAUAUGCAUCUCCUGGCAUCACCAAAACACUUGGAAGAAUUUUUAGAAGAAUAUUUAAAUAGGUUGUAGUGCAAAAAGGAGCUCCAAAUUUAUGAAAGGUCAUUUUAAAAAGAAUAAAGCUCAUGGAAAAAUAAUUAUGCAAAUAAAUCUACUGAUAAAGAAUUGAUUUUAUAAAGAGGGCAUACAAGUCCAAUGAUACAUUGGGAAAGUUUCCACUAGAGGUAAAAACUCACAAUAUCAAAGAGAAGAGGGUUCUGAAAUCAAAGGAGAAAUCCAGAAAAAUAAAAAUUUUAUUUCCUGGCAAAAUUUUAAUUAAUAAAACAAGGUCAAAUUUUUGGGGCGUUACAUAGGCAUCCACGCGUCAGCAUUUCAGGGGCUGGGGUUUUUGUUUUUUUUGAAAGGGGGGGUUGGGGGUUUUGGGGGGUUAAUUUAGGUGUUUCAUAUAUUGUGUUAGCUAGCUAAUUAAUAGAGAGAAGUGUCCUCUCUUAUCUCCGUGCUUGGUCGACGCUACGUACUAUAUACGUAUGGAGAGGACUAGACAUGCUAGCUAGUAAGCAAAUGAAGGAAACAGAAGAUCGUCAUGAACAUAUGCAUACAGAGAGAAGUGAUAUCGACCACCUCUCCUUCUCCGAGAGAUUGGUCGAACAACAAGUUCUCGUAUAUCUAUCUGACACUACCGGCUACAUAUAUACAAUAAUUAUCUCUUACAAUAUAAUCUCCUAAUUAAAUUGUAAGAACACAGGGUCCACAUAGUAUUCUCCGUUUUCAGCGAUCACGUGGUCAAGGAAGAAUGCCGCCAAUUCCUCUUGAAUUGCUCGCAUACGAUCUUCUGCUAGGAGUUCAUCCCGCAUCCGAAACAUCUAAUUUGAAGAAGGGGGUCAAUACAUAUAUAUAUAUAUAUAUAUAUAUAUAUAUAUAUAUAUAUAUAUAUAUAUAUGAAUAAAUGAAACUCGACACAAAUGAUGGUAAUAAAAUAAAAUUGUGAAUAUUAUUUCUUACGCACUUCAUAUUGUUCGUCAGAGUAGCCCCGCUCACAGGUCGUGUGGCGGAUAGACUCGCAAACGUAGUAUCCACGGAAAUCAUUCCCUUGUUCCUGCCACAACCACUUUACAAGAAAUAGAGGUCAAUCUAACUGAUAAGCAAGCAUGCUAAAUGGUAUUGAUGAAACUAGCACUUGAAUCACUAGGAGAUGUGCGGAACAUGCUACUAUAGUACUUACUUUCGGGUGUCUAAAUUGCAGCUUCUUCGGCAGUCCCGGAGCUUUUGUGGUGAAUUUUCUCCAAACCCUGCCAGACAAAGAAAACAAUUACUUGAUAUCAGGAAAUGAACAAAGUUGCUGAUAUGGUGGAUAAUGAUCGAUUUAACUUACUUCUCGAGCAUUUGAGUAAUGUCCGCAUAGUCCUGGGGAUCUUUUCGUCUCGAGUCUAAGAAGGUUACUACUCCCUGCUCAAGCUUAAUCUCUAGGAGAAUAUAGUGGAAGCUGCGCAUGCAUGCAUAAGUCAUCAAUUACAUUACCAUAACCUGGACUAAUAAGGGAAACCGAAUAUGCACAAGACAGUAACACUCACUUGAAGUUGUAAGGAAAGAGUAUUAUAUCUUUGUUUUGAUUUAAUACCAACGAUCGUAGCAAGUUGGCCUCGGCUUCUUUGGCAUGUUUUUCAACCGUAUAUGCAUCUAUGAGAUUUGUGUUAAUGAACCCAAUAUCACCGAUUUGUCUUUUCUUCAAUUCGGCAAUCUUCAAUCUGCAUAAUAUAGUGAGGAUAAUUAUAAAUACAUGCAAUGAAAGAGCUGACCUAUAUAGAGAGACUUAAUGACAGAAGUAGUACUACUUACAGACAGUAGCAAUUGAUCGUUGAUUUAUCGAGGGCCUUUUGAUUGAAAAACUGGAAGAACUCCUCAAAUGGAACAUUCAGCAGUUCAAUUCCAACGAGGUCAUGCUCCGGUUUAACUCUCAGCGUCAAAGUAUUCAUCCCAUCAGACUCUCUGCAGUUUUUCAUGUACCAAUCAUGUAAUCUUCGCAUCAUCGUUGUUAGAGAUCUUUCAUCUUUGACGAGAGGCUUCCCGUAAUGGUAUUUGUGUUCGUCCACCUCCAUGAUUUCAUAAUGUACAUCGUCGGGCAGGUAAUCUCCAAGAUUGCUAUAACCGGCCACCAUCCUCGGAUCAUUAGCGACGAUGUCUUUAGACACCUUGAGCGGGGGGCACGAUUGGUUCGCUUGUUCGCCGAGCUGGGCAAUUUUUUUCCCAGCUCGUCGUUCUUUUAACCUUUGAUCACUGACAGUACUUCCUGACCGCUCUGCUUCGACAAAUGUCUUUGCAAUAAUGCGCUCAUAGUUGCCUUUCGGCAGAGACUUUGGUGGUUUUGUCAGGGCAUCCAGAGUGCGCUUCGCUUUCACCGGAUCUACCUUCUCCUCCGGAGGUGGAUGUUUCUUUGCUUUCACCCCUUCAAAGAAGUUCUUCACUUCGGCUCGCACGAUCUUCGCGUUCUCCUCCUCGGUCCUCUCGUAUGGUAACUUCUCUGGAGUCUUCAGAGAAGGACCGAAUCUGUAUUGCCUCGCGCCUCUGGCAGCUGUACUGCUAGACGCCGGCAGAGCAGACGGAGCGGUUGCGGCUGUCUUCUUUCCUUGCUUACGAGGCGGAGGAGAAGGACUACAACGCGCUGGAGCAGCCGGAGCGGCGGCGGGUCUCUUCCGCCCUUGCUGACGAGGCGGAGAAGGAGGAGGCUGGCUGCUCUGGCACGCCGGCGCAAGCGGAGAAGGAGGCGGAGUGCCGCCACACGCCGGAGAAGGAGGCUGAGUGCCCUGAUCACUCGCCGGAGGAGGAGGCGGAGAAGGAGGCUGAGUGCCUCCACGCGCCGGAGAAGGAGGCUGAGUGCCCUGAUCAUUCGCUGGAGGAGAAGGCGGCGGCAGAGUGCCCUUACUCGCCGGAGGCGUCUAGUUCGGAAGGUUAAUGAGCUCCUUCCGCCAUAGGCACGGAGUCUUCAGAGCUAAACCCAGCCGAGUCUCCCCUUCACCGGUAGGGUGGUCAAGCUGGAGAUCCUCAAAUCCCUCCGUUAUUUCAUCCACCAUCACCCUAGCAUAUCCUUCUGGAAUUGGCCGGCAGUGGUAGGUUGCGCCGGGUUCAAGAGGUAAAACAGAGCCAACAGCUGCCUUGACUUUGAAGUUCUGCCAUUGCGCCAUAAGGUGGCAAUGUUGAGACUCCGUGAUAGCAUCCACGGGGUAGCUAGCAGGAGCCGUCAAGACAUGCUCCGGCUGAAGCAGCUCGGUGGAAGCCACGCUGCUUCUCCACUGAGAUGGCGGGGUAGCUUCGGGGGUAGUUUCGGCAUGUCGAUUGCCAUCUCGUUCCUCUAGCGCUUGAACCCUUUCGUGCAGCUUCUGAAUUUGGGUCUGCUCCAUAUUUUUCCUCCUCUCCUGGCUUUUGUAACCGCCUGCGUCCGGAAAACCAGCCUUCCAAGGAACGGAGCCUGGCGUGCCUCGUGUCCGUCCAGGGUGCUCAGGAUUCCCGAGGGCCAUUGUGAGCUCGUCGUUCUCUCUGUCUGGAACGAACAUCCUUUCCUGCGCUGCAUCGAUAUAUUGCUGAAUCUUCUUGACUGGUAUUCUCAAAAGCUCGUUCGUCCAAACGCACCUCCCUGAUACAGGGUCCAAGGUUCCGCCAGCCCCGAAGAACCAAGUCCGGCAACGGUCUGUCCAAUUCAUUGUCUGUGGUUCGGUCCCUUUUUCAAGCAGAUCAUUCUCAGCCUUGGCCCACUUAGGCCGGGCUUUGAGGUAGCCACCAGACCCCGUGCAAUGGUGAAGCUUCUUCUUCGCAGCAUUCUUCUUGUUUGUUGCUGACAUCUUCUUACUCUUUUCCGAUGUCUUGUGGGCCACAAAUGCGGGCCAGUGAUCUCUGAUCUUCUCAUACCGGCCGAUGAAUUCUGGUGUCUCUUCUUUGUCGACAAACAUUUUCAGCUCAUUCUUCCACCUCCUGAAUAGGUCGGCCAUCUUCUUAAGAGCAUGAGACUUGAUUAAUUGCUCUUUAACUGGCUUCUCCGGAUCCUCCUCUGGCGGUAGGGUGAAAUUUGCCUUCAGCUCAGUCCAAAGAUCAUCUUUCUGCAUAUCAUUGACAUAAGACACCUCAGGGUCUUCCUUCUUAGGCUUAUACCAUUGGUGGAUGCUGAUCGGGAUCUUGUCCCUAACUAGAACCCUGCACUGAGCAGCAAAUGCAUCCUUUGUCCGGAUGGGUUCAAUCGGUUAGCCAUCGCGCGCGAUUGCUGUGAUCUCAAACCUUUCAUCCGAGCGCAACUUUCUCUUCGGGCGUCGUCUCUUUACCGAAGUUGUGCUCGAUCCGGAGGGCUAGAAAAAAUAAAAAAGACGAGUGUUAAUUAAUAUGUGUACAUACCAAAACAAUGAAUGCAUCAAUUAGCUAGUCAGCACAGGCUUAACUAAUAUAUUUACCUGGCCGGACUCUGUUCGGUCACCGGAGCCGUCACCACGGGCUCCUUCUUGCACCAGCAUUGGGUCACCGGAGCCAUCAUAAUCAUGUCUUUCCUCCUCCACUCUUCGAUCACCGUAGCCUGCUUCUUCACCCUGUUCUUCCAGACCAUCAUUGUCGUUAAGAUACGACAAGAUAUCACCUCCGGCUAAGAUUAUGUCCCCCAACACCUCUUCUGCUUGCUCGUCUCGUCCGUGCUCCAUUGUUUCUGCAAAUAUUACAACAUGGCAAUUAUUACACAAACAUGACAGCAGGUGGAUAUAUUAGUGCAAACAUGGACCUAGCUUAUUCCGGGUUUGGGGUGGCCUCGGCAACGCUUCAAGGGUAGGGGCGCGGCGGGAGGGGGUAGGAGAUCGACAUCGUUUUUUUCUAGGGUUUGGGUGUCCUCGAGAGUUUUGGUCGAGCGAGAGGGCCGGGGGGGUGCUCCCGUGGUAUAAGUUAUCACGGUCGAGAGGGGGUAUAAAUAUCGACCGUCCAUCAUGUCGAAGUUAUCUGGGAGGGAGUUAUAUAUAUCGACAAUGACGACAUACAUACAUGGGAAAAUAAUGUUAUCGGGGAGGGGGUAUAUCGACCCCCCCCCCCACGUGUUGAAGUUAUCGGGAGGGGGUUAUAUCGACAAUGAUGACAUACGUACAUGGGAAAAUAAUAUUAUCGGGGAGGGGGUAUAUCGACCCCCCCUCGUGUUGAAGUUAUCGGGAGAGGGGUAUAUCGACGACGACAGACCCGAUAAAACAUAAGAAAACGAAGAAGAAACAAAAAGAGGAGAAGAAGAAAGGAAUAGAGGAGAAGAUCGAAGAAAAAAAAAAGGAGAAGAAGAAAGGAAUAGAGGAUAGAAGAAGAAAAAAUAGAAUUUUUUCUAUUUUUUCUUCUUCUCUUCUAUUCCUUUCUUCUUCUCCUCUUCUUUUUCUUCUUUUUUCCUCUUCUUAUUUAUUUCUCCUCUUCUUCCUCUCCUCUUCUUCUCCUUUCUUCCUCUUCUUAUUUUCCUUUUUCCUCUCAUUCAUAAAAAAUGUUCAAAUAGAAAAUUUUGAAAAAAAGUAAAGGUUUUGCCUAAUGCAUUGUUCAUAUGAAUAUACAANNNNNNNNNNNNNNNNNNNNNNNNNNNNNNNNNNNNNNNNNNNNNNNNNNNNNNNNNNNNNNNNNNNNNNNNNNNNNNNNNNNNNNNNNNNNNNNNNNNNNNNNNNNNNNNNNNNNNNNNNNNNNNNNNNNNNNNNNNNNNNNNNNNNNNNNNNNNNNNNNNNNNNNNNNNNNNNNNNNNNNNNNNNNNNNNNNNNNNNNNNNNNNNNNNNNNNNNNNNNNNNNNNNNNNNNNNNNNNNNNNNNNNNNNNNNNNNNNNNNNNNNNNNNNNNNNNNNNNNNNNNNNNNNNNNNNNNNNNNNNNNNNNNNNNNNNNNNNNNNNNNNNNNNNNNNNNNNNNNNNNNNNNNNNNNNNNNNNNNNNNNNNNNNNNNNNNNNNNNNNNNNNNNNNNNNNNNNNNNNNNNNNNNNNNNNNNNNNNNNNNNNNNNNNNNNNNNNNNNNNNNNNNNNNNNNNNNNNNNNNNNNNNNNNNNNNNNNNNNNNNNNCCAACCGGGACUAAAGGGGGGGCAUUGGUCCCGGUUGGUGCCACGAACCGGGACCAAAGGGUGGCAUUGGUCCCGGUUCGUGCCACCAACCGGGACCAAUGGCCUUGCACAGCGGCGUGGUGGUGGGAGUUUAGUCCCACCUCGCUAGCUGAGAGAGAGCCGCACCAGUUUAUAAGGUGCGGUGCGCCUGAGCUGUCGAGCUCCUCUCUAAAGCAGGCUUACGGGCCUAACCUCUUUGUACAUGCAUGUGGGCCUACUGGGCCUUCUGCGGGCCUGAAUCCUGGCCCAUGGAUGGGUUUCUAGUCGUAUUCACGCCGUGGUGGCCCAGUAGGUGGCAUAAUUUUUAUUUUUUGCCUGUUUUUUUGCUUUAUUUAUUUUGUUUUGUUUCUACUUACAACAAAAAACUUAUUUAUUUUAUUUUAUUUUGUUUCUAAUUACUUAUUUAUUUUACUUUAUGAUAUUUCUUUUUGCUAUUAAAGUUUCUAACAAAAAAAGUUCUUUAUGAAAAUUAUUUUUGCUUUCAAUGAUUUUGAACAGAAAAUACUUCGAUAAUUUUAGUUGCAUCAAUUUUAUAUAAUUUUAGUUUCAAUAAUACUAGAGGUUGCUUAUAAUGUUUUGAACAGAAAAUACUUUGAUAAUUUUAGUUUCAUAAAUUUUAUUUAUGUUAUUAAAGUUUAUUUUAUUUUGUUUCUACUUAUAUAUUUUAUUAAAGUUUAUAUUAUUUUGUUUCUAAUUACUUAUUUAUUUUAUUUGUUAUUUUUCAUGCACCAUUUUUCAUGCAUUUACUGAUUAUUUUGAGCUAUAAGACCCUAAAAUUAAAAAUCAUUUCAAAUGAACUCUGAAAAGGUUGAAAGUUGGCAUGGUAUCAUCAUUUCAUCCACAUAGCAUGUGCAAGAAAGUUGAGAGGUUUACGGCAAAAACUGGAUGCACUUCGUGUACAAAACGGACAAUCUCUUUCGAAGUAUCAGGAUUUCAUACGGAAACUCGUCUGUUACAAAGGGAUUUCAUUUUUUUUAAACUUAUUUGAACUCCUGACUUUUUGUGUGUUCAAAAUGCACCAUUCAAAGCCACAUCAUCAAUUUUCAACCCUUUCUGACUUCAUUUGUUAUUUUUCAUGCAUUUACUAAUUAUUUUGAGCUAUAAGACCCUAAAAUUGAAAAGCAUUUCAAAUGAACUCUGAAAAGGUUGAAAGUUGGCAUGGUAUCAUCAUUUCAUCCACAUAGCAUGUGCAAGAAAGUUGAGAGGGUUACGGCAAAAACUAGAUGCACUUCGUGUACAAAAUGGACAAUGGUAUCAUACUCGUCUGUUACAAAGUUGGCAUGGUAUCAUCAUAAUAGUUGCGGGAGAAAGUCUUCACUUUUUCUUCGCUUGUGUCAUUUGCUUAUUGCACCGUAACCAUGGAUAAUCUUCAUCGUUUAUCAGGAUGCUUGGGUCAGCCUUGACUUUCAAGGGAGGAAUUUCAUGAAACUUUUCAUAAUCUUCAGACAUGUCUGUCUUGCCCUCCACUCCCACAAUGUCCCUUUUUCCUGAAAGAACUAUGUGGCGCUUUGGCUCAUCGUAUGAUGUAUUCGCUUCCUUAUCUUUUCGUUUUCUCGGUCUGGUAGACAUGUCCUUCACAUAGAUAACCUGUGCCACAUCAUUGGCUAGGACAAACGGUUCGUCAGUGUACCCAAGAUUGUUCAGAUCCACUGUUGUCAUUCCGUACUGUGGGUCUACCUGUACCCCGCCUCCUGACAGAUUGACCCAUUUGCACUUAAACAAAGGGACCUUAAAAUCAUGUCCGUAGUGAAGUUCCCAUAUGUCCAUUAUGUAACCAUAAUAUGUGUCCUUUCCCCUGUCGGUUGCUGCAUCAAAGCAGACACCGCUGUUUUGGUUGGUGCUCUUUUGAUCUUGGGCGAUCGUGUAAAAUGUAUUCCCAUUUAUCUCGUAUCCUUUGUAAGUCAAUACAGUCGAAGAUGGUCCCCUGGACAACGAGUACAACUCAUCACAAACAGUGGUGUCACCUAGACGUGUUUCCAACCAACUGCUGAAAGUUCUGAUGUGUUCACAUGUAAUCCAGUCGUCACACUGCUCCGGGUGUUUGGAGCGCAGACUGUUCUUGUGUUCAUCGACAUACGGGGUCACCAAGGUAGAGUUCUGUAGAACUGUGUAGUGUGCUUGAGACCAAGAAUAUCCGUCCCUGCAUAUUAUUGAGUCCCCUCCAAGCGUGCCUUUUCCAGUCAGUCUCCCCUCAUACCGCGAUUUAGGGAGACCUAUCUUCUUAAGGCCAGGAAUGAAGUCAACACAAAACCCAAUGACAUCCUCUAUUUGAUGGCCCAUGGAGAUGCUUCCUUCUGGCCUAGCGCGGUUACGGACAUAUUUCUUUAGGACUCCCAUGAACCUCUCAAAGGGGAACAUAUUGUGUAGAAAUACGGGCCCCAGAAUGACAAUCUCGUCGACUAGAUGAACUAGGACGUGCGUCAUGAUAUUGAAGAAGGAUGGUGGGAACACCAGCUCGAAACUGACAAGACAUUGCGCCACAUCACUCCUUAGCCUUGGUAUGAUUUCUGGAUCGAUUACCUUCUAAGAGAUUGCAUUGAGAAAUGCACAUAGCUUCACAAUGGCUAAUCGGACGUUUUUCGGUAGAAGCCCCCUCAAUGCAACCGGAAGCAGUUGCGUCAUAAUCACGUGGCAGUCAUGAGACUUUAGGUUCUGGAACUUUUUCUCUGGCAUAUUUAUUAUUCCCUUUAUAUUCGACGAGAAGCCAGUCGGGACCUUCAUACUGAGCAGGCAUUCAAAAAAGAUUUCUUUCUCUUCUUUCGUAAGAGCGUAGCUGGCAGGACCUUCAUACUGCUUUGGAGGCAUGUCGUCUUUUUCGUGCAAACGUUGCAGGUCCUCCCGUGCCUCAGGUGUAUCUUUUGUCUUCCCAUACACGCCCAAGAAACCUAGCAGGUUCACGCAAAGGUUCUUCGUCACGUGCAUCACGUCGAUUGAAGAGCAGACCUCUAGCUCUUUCCAGUAGGGUAGGUCCCAAAAUAUAGAUUUCUUCUUCCACAUGGGUGUGUGUCCCUCAGCGUCAUUCAGAACAGCUAGUCUGCCGGGAACCUUUCCAAAGAUUACGUGUAAAUCAUUGACCAUAGCAAGUACGUGAUCACCGGUAUGCAUGGUGGGCUUCUUCCGGUGAUCUGCCUCGCCUUUGAAAUGCUUGCCUUUCUUUCGACAUUGAUGGUUGGUCGGAAGAAAUCGACGAUGGCCCAGGUACACAUUCUUCCUGCAUUUGUCCAGGUAUAUACUUUCAGUGUCAUCUAGACAGUGCGUGCAUGCGUGGUAUCCCUUGUUUGUCUGUCCUAAAAGAUUACUGAGAGCGGGCCAAUCGUUGAUGGUUACAAACAGCAACACGUGCAGGUUAAAUUCCUCCUGUUUGUGCUCAUCCCACGUACGUACACCGUUUCCAUUCCACAGCUGUAAAAGUUCUUCAACUAAUGGCCUUAGGUACACAUCAAUGUCGUUGCCGGGUUGCUUAGGGCCUUGGAUGAGAACUGGCAUCAUAAUGAACUUCCGCUUCAUGCACAUCCAAGGAGGAAGGUUAUACAUACAUAGAGUCACGGGCCAGGUGCUGUGAUUGCUGCUCUGCUCCCCGAAAGGAUUAAUGUCAUCCGCUCUUAAACCAAACCAUUCGUUCCUUGGGUCAGCUGCAAACUCAUCCCAGUACUUUCUCUCGAUUUUUCUCCACUGCGACCCGUCAGCGGGUGCUCUCAACUUCCCGUCUUUCUUACGGUCCUCACUGUGCCAUCGCAUCAACUUGGCAUGCUCUUCGUUUCUGAACAGACAUUUCAACCAUGGUAUUAUAGGAGCAUACCACAUCACCUUCGCAGGAACCCUCUUCCUGGGGGGCUCGCCGUCAACAUCACCAGGGUCAUCUCGUCUGAUCUUAUACCGCAAUGCACCGCAUACCGGGCAUGCGUUCAGAUCCUUGUACGCACCGCGGUAGAGGAUGCAGUCAUUAGGGCAUGCAUGUGUCUUCUGCACCUCCAAUCCUAGAGGGCAUACGACCUUCUUUGCUGCGUAUGUACUGUCGGGCAAUUCAUUAUCCUUUGGAAGCUUCUUCUUCAAUAUUUUCAAUAGCUUCUCAAAUCCUUUGUCAGGCACAGCAUUCUCUGCCUUCCACUGCAGCAAUUCCAGUACGGUACCGAGCUUUGUGUUACCAUCUUCGCAAUUGGGGUACAACCCUUUUUUGUGAUCCUCUAACAUGCGAUCGAACUUCAGCUUCUCCUUUUGACUUUCGCAUUGCGUCCUUGCAUCGACAAUGACCCGGCGGAGAUCAUCAUCAUCGGGCACUGGUUCCUCUUGAUCUUCAGCAGCUUCCCCCCUUGCAGCAUCAUUGGGCACAUCGUCUGGUUCCUCUUGAUCUUCAGCAGCUUCCCCCGUUGCAGCAUCACCAUAUUCAGGGGGCACAUAGUUGUCAUCGUCCUCUUCUUCUUCGCCGUCUUCCAUCAUAACCCCUAUUUCUCCGUGCCUCGUCCAAACAUUAUAGUGUGGCAUGAAACCCUUGUAAAGCAGGUGGGUGUGAAGGAUUUUCCGGUUAGAGUAAGACUUCGUAUUCCCACAUGUAGGGCAUGACAACACAUAAAACCAUUCUGCUUGUUUGCCUCAGCCACUUCGAGAAAAUCAUGCACGCCCGUAAUGUACUCGGAGGUGUGUCUGUCACCGUACAUCCAUUGCCGGUUCAUCUGCAUGCAUUAUAUAUAAUUAAGUGUGUCAAAAACCAUUACAGAACAUCAUGAAUAGAUAAUUAAGUGACCAAAUUAAUAGAAGUUCAUCAUCACAUUAAAACCAAAGUACAUACAUAGUUCUCAUCUAACAACAUAUAUAUAGCUCUCCAGAGCAUCUAAUUAAUUAAACCAUACAUUGAAACUAUGUAAAACAUUGCAAUGCAAAAACAAAUGCGAUCAUAAUCGCAACCAAGGUAACAAUUGAUCCAACGGCAUAAUGAUACCAAGCCUCGGUAUGAAUGGCAUAUUUUCUAGUCUUUCUAAUCUUCAAGCGCAUUGCAUCCAUCUUGAUCUUGUGAUGAUCGACGACAUCCGCAACAUGCAACUCCAAUAUCAUCUUCUCCUCCUCAAUUUUUUUUAUUUUUUCCUUCAAGUAAUUGUUUUCUUCUUCAACUAAAUUUAACCUCUCGACAAUAGGGUCGGUUGGAAUUUCCGGUUCAACCACCUCCUAGAUAAAUAAAAUCUAUGUCACGUUGGUCGGCAUAUUUGUCAUAAACAAUAAAUGAACCAAAUAGUUAUAAAAAGAUAAUAUAUACCACAUCCGAAUCAUAGACAGGACGAGGGCCGACGGGGGCGGAUACCAAAACCAUCGCACUAUGUAAUAAGAAGGAAUAAUAAAAGUAACAAAAUUAGACAAGUAUCUAUCUAAAGUAAGAAUUUUUUUUCUUUCAGAAAGAAGAUAAGAACAAGAGGCUCACCACGGUGGUGCUGGCGACGAGAUCGGCGCGGGCGAUCGACGGCGGUGAAGACGGGGACGGGACAUGACGGACCGCUAAACCUAGACAAAUCUCGGGGAAAAUGGAGCUCGGAGGUCGAGUUUCGAGAGGAGAAAGAUUAACUAGUGUGGCUCAGACAUUUCAUCGAACACCACAUGUGCAUAGGAGGUGAUCUAGAGCACCCAAAUGCCCUCCCCUCGCCGGCCAGAAAAAACAGAGCACUGUGGAGUGCUCUGCUGUGGCGAUGGGGUAUAUAUAGGCAACUCAUUGGUCCCGGUUCGUGGCACCAACCGGGACUAAAGGGGGGGCAUUGGUCCCGGUUGGUGCCACGAACCGGUACGCAUGCCACCCUUUAGUCCCGGUUGGUGGCACCAACCGGGACCAAAGGCCUUGUGCUGCCCCGCGUCAAAAGUUUAGUCCCACCUCGCUAGUUGAGAGAGCUCGAGAGUGGUUUAUAAGCGCUGCUGCGCCCACCCUCUCGAGCUCCUCUCAACUGCAAGCUUUCGGGCCUAACCGUUCUCUUUGCCUGUGGGGCCUACUGGGCCUUCUGCGGGCCUGAAUCCUGGCCCAUGGAUGGGUUUCAAGUCGUAUUCAGGCCGUGGGGGCCCAGUAGGUGGCAUAAUUUUUUUCCCUGUUUUUUGUUUUCUCUUUUGCUUUAUUUAUUUUGUUUUGUUUCUACUUACAACAAAAAACUUAUUUAUUUUAUUCCAUUUUGUUUCUAAUUACUUAUGUAUUUUACUUUAUUUAUUUUAUUUUUAUUUAUUUUACUGCUGCUAUNNNNNNNNNNNNNNNNNNNNNNNNNNNNNNNNNNNNNNNNNNNNNNNNNNNNNNNNNNNNNNNNNNNNNNNNNNNNNNNNNNNNNNNNNNNNNNNNNNNNNNNNNNNNNNNNNNNNNNNNNNNNNNNNNNNNNNNNNNNNNNNNNNNNNNNNNNNNNNNNNNNNNNNNNNNNNNNNNNNNNNNNNNNNNNNNNNNNNNNNNNNNUGCUGCUAUUUUUAUUUAUUUUAUUAAGGUUUAUUUAUUUUAUUUAUUAUAGUUUAUUUUAUUUUAUUAAGGUUUAUUUAUUUUUAUUUAUUAUAGUUUAUUUUAUUUUAUUAAGGUUUAUUUAUUUUAUUUACUAUAAAAAAUGAACAUAGAUGCGCCUAUAGAGAAAAUUCAACCUAAAUUCAUAAUAAAUUUCUAUGAAAUUCAAAGAAAUUUACUCUGAAUUUAGGUCAAAUUCCCUGUAUAAGGGCAUCUAUUUUCAAUUUGAGAGGAGCUCAACAAGGCAGAGACGGACGGGCUAAUAAACCGGUGUGAGCGCCCUUCGGUUGGCGAGGUGGGACUAAACUCUGACCGCAACUAGGACCAACCCUUUAGUCCCGAUUUGUGGUAUGAACCGGGACUAAAGGGUGAGCCUCUGGUCCCGGUUCAAGCCACCAACCGGGACCAAUGGUGGUGGGCCAGGAGCGAGGCCCAUUGGUCCCGGUUUGUCCCACCAACCGGGACCAAAGGGGCCGGACAAACCGGGACCAAUGCCCCCACGAGGCCCGGCAGGCCCCUGGCCGCACGAACCGGGACCAAUGCUCACAUUAGUCCCGGUUCGUGACUGAACCGGGACUAAUGUGAAUAUUGCCCUGUGACCAAAGCCCAGUUUUCUACUAGUGACCAUAGCCUCUCCGAUGAUGUGUGAGUAGUUUACCAUAGACCUUCGGGUCCAUAGUUAUUAGCUAGAUGGCUUCUUCUCUCUCUUUGGAUCUCAAUACAAAGUUCUCCUCGAUCUUCUUGGAGAUCUAUUCGAUGUAAUACUUUUUGCGGUGUGUUUGUCGAGAUCCGAUGAAUUGUGGGUUUAUGAUCAAGUUUAGCUAUGAACAUUAUUUGAAUCUUCUCUGAAUUCUUAUAUGCAUGAUUUGAUAUCUUUGCAAGUCUCUUCGAAUUAUCAGUUCAGUUUGGCCUACUAGAUUGAUCUUUCUUGCAAUGGGAGAAGUGCUUAGCUUUGGGUUCAAUCUUGCGGUGUCCUUUCCCAGUGAUAGCAGGGGCAGCAAGGCACGCAUUGUAUUGUUGCCAUCGAGGAUAAAAAGAUGGGGUUUAUAUCAUAUUGCUUGAGUUUAUCCCUCUACAUCAUGUCAUCUUGCCUAAUGCGUUACUCUGUUCUUAUGAACUUAAUAGUCUAGAUGCCUGCUGGAUAGCGGUCGAUGUGUGGAGUAAUAGUAGUAGAUGCAGAAUUGUUUCGAUCUACAUGACACGGACGUGAUGCCUAUAUACAUGAUCAUGCCUAGAUAUUCUCAUAACUAUGCACUUUUCUAUCAAUUGCUCGACAGUAAUUUGUUCACCCACCGUAAAAUAUGCUAUCUUGAGAGAAGCCACUAGUGAAACCUAUGGCCCCCGGGUCUAUCUUCCAUCAUAUUAAUCUCCCGCAAACGUGCUAUUUCUAUCGCCAUUUAUUUUGCAAUCUUUACUUUUCAAUCUAUACAACAAAAAUACCAAAAAUAUUUAUCUUAUUAUCUCUAUCAGAUCUCACUUUUGCAAGUGGUCGUGAAGGGAUUGACAACCCCUUUAUUGCGUUGGUUGCAAGGUUCUUAAUUUUUUGUGCAGGUACUAGGGAUUUGUGUGUGGAUUGAUACCUUGGUUCUCAAAAACUGAGGGAAAUACUUACGCUAGUUUGCUGCAUCACCCUUUCCUCUUCAAGGGAAAACCAAUGCAUGCUCAACAGGUAGCACUGUGCUGCAUCAUCCCUUCCUCUUUGGGGAAAUACUGACGUAGUUCAAGCCGCAUCAGUAGUACUGCUCCUUGCUACCUCUUGAGCAUGCGUUGGUUUUCUCUUGAAGAGGAAAGGGUGAUGCAGCAAAGUAGCGUAAGUAUUUCCCUCAGUUUUUGAGAACCAAGGUAUCAAUCCAGUAGGAUAUUACACGCAAAUCCCUAGUACCUCCACAAACAAUUAAGAAACUUGCAACCAACGCGAAAAAGGGGUUGUCAAUCCCUUCACGGCCACUUGCAAAAGUGAGAUAUGAUAAAGAUAGUAAGAUAAAUAUUUUUGGUAUUUUUGUUGUAUAGAUUGAAAAGUAAAGAUUGCAAAAUAAACAGCGACAGAAAUAGCUAGUUGUUGGGAGAUUAAUAUGAUGGAAAAUAGACCCGGGGGCCAUAGGUUUCACUAGUGGCUUCUCUCAAGAUAGCAUAUAUUAUGAUGGGUGAACAAAUUACUGCCGAGCAAUUGAUAGAAAAGCGCAUAGUUAUGAGAAUAUCUAGGCAUGAUCAUGUAUAUAGGCAUCACGUCCGUGUCAAGUAGACCGAAACGAUUCUGCAUCUACUACUAUUACUCCACACAUCGACCGCUAUCCAGCAUGCAUCUAGAGUAUUAAGUUCAUGAGAACAGAGUAACGCAUUAGGCAAGAUGACAUGAUGUAGAGGGAUAAACUCAAGCAAUAUGAUAUAAACCCCAUCUUUUUAUCCUCGAUGACAACAAUACAAUACGUGCCUUGCUGCCCCUACUGUCACUGGGAAAGGACACCGCAAGAUUGAACCCAAAGCUAAGUACUUCUCCCAUUGCAAGAAAGAUCAAUCUAGUAGGCCAAACCAAACUGAUAAUUCGAAGAGACUUGCAAAGAUAUCAAAUCAUGCAUAUAAGAAUUCAGAGAAGAAUCAAAUAUUGUUCAUAGAUAAUCUUGAUCAUAAACCCACAAUUCAUCGGAUCUCGACAAACACACCGCCAAAAGUAUUACAUCGAAUAGAUCUCCAAGAAGAUCGAGGAGAACUUUGUAUUGAGAUCCAAAGAGAGAGAAGAAGCCAUCUAGCUAAUAACUAUGGACCCGAAGGUCUGUGGUAAACUACUCACACAUCAUCGGAGAGGCUAUGGUGUUGAUGUAUAAGCCCUCCGUGAUCAAUUCCCCCUCCGGCAUAGCGCCGGAGAAGGCCCCAAGAUGGGAUCUCACGGGUACAGAAGGUUGCGGCGGUGGAAAUAGGGUUUUGUGGUGCUCCUGGAUGUUUUCAGGGUAUAGGAGUAUAUAUAGGUGAAAGAAGUAGGUCGGUAGAGCUGCGAGGGGUCCACGAGGGUGGGGGCACGCCUACCCCCCUGGGGCGCGCCUCCCUGCCUCGUGGCUUCCUCGCUGCUUCCUUGACUUCCACUCCAAGUCUCCUGGAUUGGGUUUUUUCCAAAAAUGAUCCUCGCGAAGGUUUCAUUCCGUUUGAUAUUCCUUUUAUGUAAAACACUGAAAUAGGCAAAAAACAGCAAUUUUCACUAGGCCUCCGGUUAGUAGGUUAGUCCUAAAAAUAAUAUAAAAGUGCAUAUUAAAGCCCAUUAAACAUCCAAAACAGAUUAUAUAAUAGCAUGGAACAAUCAAAAUUUAUAGAUACGUUAGAGACGUAUCACUCCUCCGAGCGGUAGUACCGCUUGUGCACGACCUGAGUGCAUAACAGUUGGAUUCGGGAGGUCCUACAAAAGGGGGUCUUCUUCCCCAUUGAACCUUAUCCUCAAGCUCGUGUUCUUCCCCCAUUGUUGACCUUCUUCGAGCUUGCUAUCUCUCAAUCCCUCCAUGGAUUCUUGCUAGUUUUUUGGGGGGGGGAGGGGGGAGAGAGGAGAUCUAGAUCCACAUUUCCACCAAUCACUUUCUGAGUGAGGGGAACCCCUUGGAUCUUGGAGUUCUUGGUGUUGUCCUUCUUGUUCUUCCUCUUAUUUUCCUCCAUAGCAUUCGUUGCUUUGGUGGGAUUUGAGAGUGAGGGACUUGGGCACUCUGUGUGCCCUUGCCAUUACAUUUGGUGCAUAGGUUUGAGUUCUCUAGGGUGAUAUGUGGAAGUUACAAGUUGAGAAGCUAUUACUCUUGGGUGCUUGGUACCCUUGAGCUUGUUCCUCUUUGGUGCUUGGGCGUCCUAGACAGUUUGUGGUGCUUCAGAGCUCAAUCAUUGUGGUAUAAAGCUUCGGGCAAGCGUCGGGGUCUCCAAUUAGGUUGUGGAGAUUGCCCUGAGCAAUUUGACGGGUACCAGUGACCGCCCCCAAGGGUUGCCAAACUAUACGGGUUCGGUGACCGUCCCAAGGGUUGCCAUUUGUACGAGUUCGGUGACCGCCCUCAAGGGUCCCUUAGUGGAAUCACGGCAUCUUGCAUUGUGCGAGGGCGUGAGAAGAUUAUGGUGGCCCUAGUGGCUUGUUGGGGAGCAUUAUGCCUCCACACCGCUCCAAACGGAGAUUAGCAUCCGCAAGGGUGUGACCUUCAGGAUACAUCAUCGUCUCCGCGUGCCUCGGUUAUCUCUUACCCGAGCCCUUCACUUGUGCACUUUACUUUGUGAAAGCCAUCGUGUUUCAUGUUAUAUAUCUUGCUAUCACAUAGUUGUUUAUCUUCCUUAGCAUAAGUUGUUGGUGCACAUAGGUGAGCCUAGUUGUUGUAGGUUUUGUGCUUGACAAAUUAACCGCUAGGUUUAUUCCGCAUUUGUUCAAGCCUAAACCGUAAUUAUUUUAAAGCGCCUAUUCACCCCCCCUCUAGGCGACAUCCUCGAUCUUUCAACCAGGAGACGACGGCAGAUCAAAAGAUGGCAUAUUCUUUGUUUUCAAAUUAUACCAUGAGUAUAAAUUGUUCUCCUCUCCACAUUUUCUCAUUUUCAUGAUUACUAAAAUGGUAGGCAGCAGACUAGAAGUAUGCAUGUGCCUGUUCUUAUUAGUUCGAAUCAAUCAUCCUUAUCUUUUGGGAUCCAUUUAUUGUUAGACUAUUGAAAUAUUAUUUCAUGUGCUUGCUAAAUUAAUAAGUCGCCACACGAAGGGAGUUGUGCGUAUACUGGGUCGUAGUUGAAUUAGUUUAGUGUCAAUUCUAUGAACAAUGUCAACUAUGCCUUCCUAGAAAGAUACUUCUUUGGGUUGAUUUAUCAUACUUUCAGUAAGGGUUUCAAAUUUCCUACUUACAUUGGUUCAGUCCCUCUGACGGCUAGAGAAGGAAAUCCUGCAUGAAACUGUUUGACGGCUUUGAAGUAUUUAUAUUGAAGAUUAUGGAGAUCAUUUUGGUUGAGAACUAGAACUGAAUUAAGCUACAAAUACGCUACAACACUUGGUGUAGGAUUCAACAUAUCGGACAAAAUGGUAGAUGUUAGUUAUUUAAGGUGGAUGGUCCACUAAAAUUAGAUGAUUCAUUAUUGGCCAGCCGCAUGUUUUGUUAGUCGAUUGGGUAUAGGGGUCAUUCAAAAAAAUAGAUGAUAGAGGAAAAUCUUACCCUGUAGUAAGUUUGAGACAGUUUCUCUAAUUAUUUGCAAACAUUUGAGAUGCUUAGGGACCUUUAUGGGAUGAGCCCCUGUGAAUUUUAAAUAGUCAACAUUUUUGGUCAAUAUUUCAUAGCACAAUACCACACAGAUAAUUGGUCCUGCCUUUUCAUAUAUAAUUGGUAGUUUUUGCUUCAGCAGUGAACUUUUUGCCUUCUUACGAAUUACCGGUAUGCAAAUCUAGGCACGAUCCCCUUAUCUUGUAGCGGCUCGGCAAGGAUAAGUGGUCGUGUCUUGCAAUGUAAAAGGCUAGAGUGGCCGACGCCGAUCAGACUGCACUGGCGGGCAGUUCCAAGGCCCACCUAAGCUCCUCCUUUUGGUGAUUUUAGCCGAUGAGUUUUGUUGACCUCACUCUAUGAAACAAAUUAGUUAUGCAUGCUGCACCCUGAUACAUCCAUUUUGCAUCAUGUUUUCCUACUGUUAUUUAUAAUGUUUUAUGCAUAAUAAUGCUUUUUGGAGUAAUUCUAAUGCCUUUUCUCUCAUAAUAUGCAAGGUUCACAGAAAGAGGGAGAAUUCCGGCAGCCCAGGCAUGCCAUGGUGGGUUGUGCCCUCCUCGGCCCACCUCUAGUGCCUAUCUUCUAGUAUAUAAGUCAUUUUGACCUAGAAAAAAUCAGGAGAGGACUUUCGGGACGAAGCACCGCCAUCUUGAGGCGGAACUUGGGCAUGAGCACUUUUGCCCUCCGGUGGAGCGAUUCCGCCAGGGGAAAUUCCCUCCCGGAGGGGGAAAUCAUCAUCAUCACCAACAAAUCUCCCAUCUUGGGGAGGGCAAUCUCCUUCAACAUCUUCAACGACACCAUCUCCUCUCAAACCCUAGUUCAUCUCUUGUGUUCAAUCUUUGUACUGGAACUAUAGAUUGGUACUUGUGGGUGACUAGUAGUGUUGAUUACAUCUUGUAGUUGAUUACUAUAUGGUUUAUUUGGUGGAAGACUAUAUGUUCAGAUCCAUUAUGCUAUUUAAUACCCCUCUGAUCUUGAGCAUGAUUAUCAUUUCUGAGUAGUUACUUUUGUUUUUGAGGUCACGGGAGAAAUCUUGUUGCAAGUAAUCAUGUGAACUUGAUAUGUGUUUGAUAUUUUGAUGAUAUGUAUGUUGUGAUUCCCUUAGUGGUGUCAUGUGAACGUCGACUACAUGACACUUCACCAUAAUUGGGUCUAAGGGAAUGCAUUGUGGAGUAGUUAUUAGAUGAUGGGUUGCGAGAGUGACAGAAGCUUAAACCCUAGUUUAUGCACUAUUCCGUAAGGGACUGAUUUGGAUCCAAAAGUUUAAUGCUAUGGUUAGAUUUAUUCUUAAUACUUUUCUCAUAGUUGCGGAUGCUUGAGAGGGGGUAAUCAUAAGUAGGAGGUUUGUUCAAGUAAGAACAUCACCUAAGCACCGGUCCACCCACAUAUCAAAUUAUCAAAGUAGCGAACACAAAUGAAACCAACGUGAUGAAAGUGACUAGAUGAAAUUCUCGUGUACCCUCAAGAACGCUUUGCUUAUCAUAAGAGACCGUUUUGGCCUGUCCUUUGCCUCAAAAGGAUUGGGCUACCUUGCUGCACUUUUGUUACCGUUGACGUUACUUGCUCGUUACAAAUUACCUUGCUAUCAAACUACUCGUUACUUACAAUUUCAGUGCUUGCAAACAUUACCUUGCUGAAAACCGCUUGUCAUUUCCUUCUGCUCCUCAUUGGGUUCGACACUCUUACUUAUCGAAAGGACUACGAUUGAUCCCCUAUACUUGUGGGUCAUCACACCCGUGGAUUAGGAUAUGAAACUGAUGCUCCUACUAUGGUUUUACUUUCUGUUUUUUUCCUUUCAUCACGCCAUUAUUUCAGUUUGACUUUUAUGAACAACCAGAUUAAUAUUUUAGAUGCAGUGUGCAUAUAUAAUUAGCUCUCUAUCUUUAAUUUGAGUCUCUUCCUCCUUUUCUCCCGCUGCUCCACCCCCUUUUGUUGUAGCGCUUUGUUGGUAUCACAUUCUGCAUGUGCCAACGAAUACAUCUUUCAUCAGUAUUCACAUAUGGUUGAGAUGAAAGGUUACAUUUGAUAUUAUCUAGCUCCACUAAGAAAUUUCCGCUCCAGUAUUUUUUGUGCAAUGCUUGCAUUGCCAUAUUUUUUGUAACUAUUUUUGCCCCAAAGGUUUAUAAAUGAAAUGAUUUUCUUUCUGUUUGGAUGAGGUGGUCAGGCAUUUUGUUGUCUAUUUUAUAGCAAAAUCUCCUUGCAAAGUGUUGAUCGGGAGACAAAUUUGUUUCUUGUUCAUACAUGUACAUAAUUGUCUCGGAAAUCAGGGAAGUCAUAAGCGUGUAAUGUGCAUGUUUUUACGUACCAUAAAAAUGAUCCAAACUACUAUUGGAUCCUCUAGGGCUGGAACAUGUGUGGGGACAGGCUACACGCAACAAACCACACUUCCUGUGUGUUGAGAUGAGGUUGUAGGUUCUGUAUGUUGUUCAAUCUUUUUAAUAAGGUUGCUACUCCGAGAUGCAUCGGGUGAUAGUGCCAAUGGUAGCCCUUGCUCAGUUUGAUGUACUAGACGAAAAAGGUAACUGCAUAACUAUCUUUGCAAUUGUUCGUGCAGACAUCAGAGAUGCCUGAUUUCUACAAGGAUGGUGAAUAUGAGAGAUGUCCUGAUUGGUCUUCCCUCCAGUGGUAUCCAACUCCAUUUGCUUAACAUCCAUAUAGAUUCUUGAGAGUGCUAAUUGUGUUCUCAUGUCAGUGGUGCUUUCCUUUGAUUGCAGUUAUUAUUUCUGGUUAAUGAUAAUUAUUAUGUUCAUUGGUAAAUGCAUAUGAGCAAUGAGCUUGGGCAGAUUGUUAUUCUGGUGUUGGUUUGCUUGAUCUAAAUAUAUGAUUUAUUGAUCUGUUCUUUAGUUGAUACUACCUUUGUGUGGGUUUAUUAGUUCCCCUCGCAUUUGGGUCAAAUUUUGACCAUAGAUUUAACUAGCAAGAUAUAAUUUAUAUGUAACAAAAAUAAUAUCAUUGGAAAGUUCUUUCAAAUAAGACUCUACCAAUAUAAUUUUUAUGUCAUAUAACUUAUGUUUUUCUAAUCAAAUCAUAUGUCUGUGUUUGUGUGUGAGAGUGCUCUUCUUUCAAUCGUCUUGGCUUGCACGUUGCCGCUGGAGUCGUACAAGGUCAUGACUUACCUUACCUGGUGAGGUACUGGCUAGGAAGAGCACAAGCCGCCGCUGCCACGCACCAAAUGGUACCGUCAAGGACGUCGUCGUGUUGACUGUCGAUGAUCUACACGUCCAUCUCUCCUUCUCUUCCUCUCUCUCAAAUGUCAAGCUCGACUCCUUAUUUUGCACAAUGGGUGGACUGAAAGCCACUUGACCGGAAUCCCGUGUCUUGUGAUAUGACGGGCAUACAUUUGCUUUUCUUUGAUAUUUUUCUGCUUUGUAUUUGUUUAUGGAUAAGAAAAAAUAUGAUUAAGAUUGUUGCAUUGCAUAUGGUUGCAUUCCAUUGAUGAUAAAUGGCGAACAACUAUGGUAUUUUUCCGACUUAACUACAUAAUGUUGCCCUGUGCUGAGCUCAAAUACAUAUGUCACUCCAGCGUCUUCCUUUCUACUCCAUAUAUCGUUCUGGUAUGUAAUGAUGAGGCGGAAUAUGUAUAAAUUGUAGUCCCAGCACUAGGAGACUAGAUUGUUCUUACUUCAGAUGGAUGUUAUUUGAUUAUGUAUUUGUUGGGAAAUGUUUCUUCAACAGUCAACUGGACGUUGUUGUGCAAUCUAGCAAUCAUGUUCAUGUCAUCUUGGAUUUUCGAUCCACUUUUGUUUCUGAUCAGGCUAACCAAUGUCGCUGUCAAUGGCUUAUGAUAUAGCACUCCUGAUAGAAGCUUGAUUGUUAAUACUUUCAAAAAACUGGAUCAGGCACAAUGUUAAAAGGACUAUAAAUCUGAUGGUUCAGUUUCACAUGCAAUCGACUUCUGUAUUUGUUUUUCCUAUUUAUGCACUAUAUCACUACUAGGGAAAACCCUAGCAGUAGCGCGUGUUUAAAGCCUAUCAGUAGCGCGGGGUGCAACGCUACUAGUAAGGCGCUACAGCUAAAGGUUAGCAGUAGCGUGGGUUGGACCACGCUACUGCUAUAUCGACUUAGUAGCAGCGCUUUGUACUAUGAGCGCUACUGGUAAUUAGUAGUAGCGCUUCUCCUAGCACGCGCUACUACUAUUAUUCUGUAUUUCUUUUUUAUUUCAUGUUGUAUUCAUACACCUUUAUACAAGUUUUCAUACCCCAGCAAUUUAGAGAAUGAUUUUACAUCAUAAUGAGUUAUUACAUCACUAGGAGAAAGAAACGUGGACUAGUUUCAAGUGGAUGGACAUCCACUUGAAACUAAUCCGCGGUUCUUUCACCCAAUGAUAUAAUAUAUCAUCAUCAUCAUCAUAUCAUUAACAACUUAUCAUCAUAAUACAUCAUUGUCAUAUAACACCUCCUCAUGAUCAUCGUUUUCAUCAAUGAGACAUCACAUACAGGUUGGUCACUAGACAUAAUCACAACUACUACUCAUCAUCAUCAACUCUCAUAAACAUAUUGUACCUCACAGGACCUACUACAUUCUCUUAGGACCUACUAUAUUAUCUUAGGUAAAAUAGCAUAAAACAAGAUAGCCCCUGACUCUCCAUUAUGGAGAAUGGAGAUUAUCCUGUCUCCAAUUCUUGCCUUUCGCACAAUGUUGCUUCCAAGAACCUCCUUACGACUGUCCAUACAUUUUUUCCAUUCUUUGAUUCUCAUGUGUUCACCGGUUUUAGAAAUCCGGUAUGGACACGUGAGAUUCGUAGGACGACCUGGUUGUAUGUUCAAAACAUCAAGGCGACCAUUCUGAUACAUCAAAUGAGGCACACAAUCCAUCGGGAUUUUCUGUUGAAAAACAUAGUAAUAACUUCGUAGUUAGCAAUGUAGUUCAGUUUUAGAAGUAUGCAAAAGAUGCACGGAUGUCGUAAUAGUAAAAAAUCUUACCAGGAUAUCUCCAUGGAAGUUAUCGUGGUUCAACACGUGCACUAGUGGCACGUAUUGACCAUAAUUUGGAGGAGUUCGAUAAAGGCAUUGUAAUUCUCAAGAUCAGUACAAUAUGCGACCAGAUGACUUUUCUCCUGAUAAGUUAACUCAGAGCCAUCGGUGUAGUUGGUUCUGUCUACCAUCUUCCGCACAUUCUUUGAAGAAUGAAAGUAAGCUAUCAAUGGAAAUAAGUUGUCAACUAUUUUGAAAUAAACAAUAUAAAUUACUUAAUAACUAUGUUUGAGGAACUCACAUAGCGUUAGAAUUGGAAGCGUAUCAACAAGGACCCAAAUGUCCAAAUUGUCUUGGUCGAUGUCAGGAUCACGAACAUCCAUGGUGACAAACAUACCCUCUUGAAAAUCAUACAUCUUGCAAAGUGCUUCCCAACCCGAGCAACCAAAAUGGGAUACGCUCUCAGAAUUGUAUAGAUUUACCUCAAAAUCCAUACCAUGAUGGGUCCUUAGGUUAAUUUUCUUUGUUUCAUUCCUCUCAUGAUCUUCAAAACCCAUCCCCUCCAAGACAUAGCGUCUUACAUGGCAUGGGAUAUGCUAGUCGAAUUGUAAAAGACGAAAAUUACACGUUGAAGUAGUAGAAGUCGAGCUUAAUUACGAAAAAAAACUUUGCGUCGUAGCUUACCGCAUCACAAUCGAAGGCCUCCUCGAGCUUAAUGCUGAAGCGCCGACCUUCAUCCAGGUGAGGCCUAUCGCAGAAACCCCGGUUGUCGCCACACCAGGAGCACUCCCCGGGACCUUCUUCGUCCGACGACAUUUCCUAUGUUCAUAAUUCAAAGAUUAAACUUGUACAAUUAAAACUCUCAGCUUGUUCAUUAUUCAUCACGGGUUGACUAUCGGUCUGUCGAGUCUUUUCUUGAAAAAUCUCAGCUCACGUGGUGUAUAUAUUCGACCGUCGGUGAUGGUAGCUCCUCCUUUCGUUUCCGAGUGCAUUACACCAAAUUGUCUAGCACACGAGAACGAAGGAGAAGCUACCCCCACGACAACAGUCGGGAUUCUUCGUCCUCUCAUAUAUGGUGGAGACUCUCCCUCACUGAUUCCUCUCUGACAUUUGCGACCGCCGGUGAUGGUCGUUACUCCUCCUUCCCCUAGUGCAUAACAAAGGUCUAGCACCCGGAGAAGAAGGAGAAACGACCCCCACGACAACAGUCGGGAUUCUUAGGCCUCGACAGACUUAAAGCCAACCCGAAAUAUCGUUAAUUAUCUUUCUAGAAAAUCCAGGCCACUCGAUAUUUCCUACAUAUUCUAGCACAAGUCAUGCCAAAAUUCACGGAAAAUUCCGGCAUGACCUUUGCUAAAACAGGACAUAUCGAGCACCUGAAAUUUGCCGGAACGGAAAUUAAUCAACACUCCGGCAAAACAUAGGCCACUCGGAGGUGUAACCUGAACAUGACCGGCCACGUGGGCAACCACAUAUCCUAUUUGAGCAACACAAGAUAUACAUGUUUUUAUGUACAUCAUAUCUUAUAGGACUCAUAUUGACAUGGAGAUUUGGCUGGUCUCACCUCGAGGUCGGAGGGGAUCGGUGACGGGGACGACGGUAGGGAUGAUGGAGGGGCUCCUUGAUUUCUGCAAAAACAAAAACCGUAUAAGUUAUCACUAAUUACAUCCCGAAUAGUAUCAUACAGAUAGCAUCACUAAUACAACUAAAACCCUAGCGAUCGACGGGUAUCGACGACGAGGAUGCGGGAUAGGCAUCGUCGACGUUGAUGCGGGAAUAAUUGCUUAAACUAAAAAAAUAAAACCAAAUGUGACAUGUUCAACUAGUUCUAUUAAUUCAACUAGUUCUUACUAAAUAUAAACUUACUAUAAAUAGAAAUAAACUAGUUCUUUCUAAAAAUAAACUAGUUAUAUUAAUUUUCUUACUAAAAAUACAUUAAUUCUAUUAAUUCAACUAGUUCUUACUAAAACUAAACUAGUUCAACUAGUUUAUUAAUUUACUUACUAAUUAUUUUAAACACUUACUAAAAACAGUAAAAAAACUACAUUAUACAAUAGUAAAAAACUACAGUGAAAAACAGAAAAAAAAAGAGAUGGAGGGAGGAGGGGAAGGGAGGAGGAAGGAGAGAGGAGGAGGGGGAGGAGGCCGGUGGGAUCNNNNNNNNNNNNNNNNNNNNNNNNNNNNNNNNNNNNNNNNNNNNNNNNNNNNNNNNNNNNNNNNNNNNNNNNNNNNNNNNNNNNNNNNNNNNNNNNNNNNNNNNNNNNNNNNNNNNNNNNNNNNNNNNNNNNNNNNNNNNNNNNNNNNNNNNNNNNNNNNNNNNNNNNNNNNNNNNNNNNNNNNNNNNNNNNNNNNNNNNNNNNNNNNNNNNNNNNNNNNNNNNNNNNNNNNNNNNNNNNNNNNNNNNNNNNNNNNNNNNNNNNNNNNNNNNNNNNNNNNNNNNNNNNNNNNNNNNNNNNNNNNNNNNNNNNNNNNNNNNNNNNNNNNNNNNNNNNNNNNNNNNNNNNNNNNNNNNNNNNNNNNNNNNNNNNNGGGGGCGGACGAAGGAGGAGGAGGGAGAGGGGCGGUGGGAGAAGGGCGGCCGGAGGAGGAGGGGGAGGAGGGAGAGGAGGAGGGAGGAGGGAGUACCUCGGCGAGGAGCAGCGCGGCGGCGGCGGACGACGUACGGGUUCGGCGCGGGCGAGAGCGAGUGAGAGGGAGUGAGUGUGAGAGGGUGAACUGCUUCAGGAUAAGGUAAGUAAGUAGUAGCGCGUUUCAGAGAAACACGCUACUGCUACGGGCCGUAGCAGUAGCGCUGGUCAGUGGUACGCGUUACUGCUAAGUGGGGCUAGCCAUCUGCGCCCAGUACAAAUAUAGCAGCAGCGCGGUUUCGCAGAACACGCUGCUGCUAAAGUAGUAGCAGUAGCGCGGUCUAUUUAAAAACGCUACUACUAAGUAGCAGUAGCGCCCUAUUUUGUCCAGCGCUACUGCUAAGAUGUUGUGUAUAAGGUUUUUCCUAGUAGUGUAUAUGCUAUAUGACCUUGGCACGUGUUGUUACGAAAUGCAAGAUGGUUUGGUCAAAGGUUCACACCACAGUGACUGCAGGAGCAGGCUUCGCCUCAUGCGCUCUCCCCACCCCUUUUACAUGCUGAUGACCGCUUGCCACAUCAAUGCUGAGGGAGAGGGGGGGAUAUGGUGAGUGACAAUCUGCUCCCAUUUAAUUAUCUUUGGUUGCUCCAUUAUAGAUCUCCUACCCUUGGAAGUGGUGUUCUAUUGUUCUAUUCAUGACAAUUUACAUGAUUACAAGUAUGUUGGCUAACAUGAUAUAUCCUUAAGCAGAUUUGUGCAUCACAACACACAAGUAAAUUGGAUGGCAGGCGUCUCUAUAGAGAUAUCUAUGUAGUUUUCUACCAUAUAGUUUAAUGUUGUAUCGUAUAAAAGCAUGUUAUGUUGUGUAAAAACAGUGUACAUAAGUUAUCCAGAACCACCACUAUGGCGCCUUUUUUGUGUUGUACUGAACCUCUAUACUUUUGGUAUCAUGCUACACAUUUAUAUAAAAUGCAUCAAUGACGCGUAAUGAAUCUUCAUGCUUUGGACUUUUGCGUCAUGUGUAACAUAUAUUUUAAUUUAUCAGGUUGGAUAUGACAAAAUGAAGUUGCAUUCCUAUAAUACUAUAUCAUCUUACAUACCGCGUCUAUCAAAAGCCUGAAUAUGUUUCCGAUUUGUAUGUAAGACACGCUUCGUCUUACGCCUUUUAUAAGCGAGAAGCCUGAAUUUCUGCUUUCUUUUGGUAGACCCGGUAUGUAAUAACGAAUCACAUUGAUCUCUGUCUAAAUAGAUGAAACUUGGUACUGAGUUAUUACUUUAUUUACCUAUAAUAUGGUAUGUAAUGACAAGAAAGUUGAGAACUACGUAAUUUCUACUUCGUAUGUCUGUAUGUUGUUUAACUAUAUGUUUGUUGGCGAGUGUUUCUUAAAUAGUUAGCUGGUCCCUGCCGUGUAAUCUGGUGAGCCUUUUGAUGCUCUCUUCAAUUUUCGAUCUAUUAUUUGUGUCUGAAUGAGCUUACCGAUGCUGCUACUAAAUACUUAUGUACAUGGCAACUCUAAUAGAGUUUUUUUUGCGCGGUAACUAUAAUAGAGUUUCAACCUGGAUCAGGUGCAAUGUUAAAUGACUGUAAAUUCGAUUGUUUAAGACAACUACAUGUGCUAUUUUUAUAUUUGCAAUGCUUCAAUGACUGCAUUACCGGGUUAGAUAUGACUAUACCAGGCAGCACCGGCAAGCCGCACUCCCUACCUAGUUAUCACGUAUACGCAGCUCACGACAUGCCGAGGUCGUAGUUUUUCAAUCAUUUGGCGUGAAUGUCUAUUUUCAUCAUAGGUGUGACUAUCCGCGUCCAGUUGACCUACCCAAUGAAAUCCAUAAAUGAUUUCGGCAAAAGACUUGCCUAAGAGAAUCACAACUAAAUUUGAAACCAAAUGAAACUAGAGAAAUUUGAAAGAACUCUAUAGUCAAGAACACGGGAGAAGUAAAGUGAAUGGAGACAUUUUGGCAGUUUAGAAAAUACCUCUACAAGGGCUCCUCCUCCUCCUCCUCCUCCUCCUCCUCCAAGAAAGGAAGUUAGGGUUCGUGCCUCUCGCCGGCGCAGGCGCAGGUCCGCCUCGUCUUCGGUGGCCCUAGGGCCAUGGAGGCGCGGUGGAUCCUGGCAAGGGCCGGCGGGAGGGUUCCGUUUUUAGUCGUUUUAUUCAAUCUUGUUAGGGUUUGUGCCCUACUCAAGAAGGCGAGACGGCGGCGGCUCCCUGAAGAUGGAAUAAAGGUCUCCCCGCCUAGCCCCGUUCCGGCGGUGCGUCUAGCAUCGUUGGUGGGCGUGUGGAGGUGUGUCUCCGGCAGAUCUAUCUUUGGUGGAUUUGCUCGGAUCUCGUCAUUGUUCGUCUACGUUCGUGUGUCUUCGGUUUGGAUCCUUCCGAUCUACGUUAUUUUUAAUCAGCGGCGGUUCCUGCUCUGGGGUGCUGGUCCUAUGGGGUCUUAGCACGACGACUUCCCGACUGUCUACUACAACAAGUUGUGCCUGGCUCCGGUGAUGGAGGGGCGAUGACCGCGGCGCGCCUUCGGCUCGCUUCGGUGCUUGUAGUCGUCGCUAGGUGGUCUACGGAUCUGGAUGUAAUUUUUAUUUCUGGUGUUCGUUGUACUGCCAUGAUUGAAGAUCAAUAGAUUGGAAGUUUUUCUGAAAAAAAAAAGAACACGGGAGAAGUAACAAAAGAGCUGCUGGAAUGAGCUGCCCCUUCUUCCAAUUUUUCUUUAACGGGCUUCUUCAGUUUUAUCUCGUAAUCACGCUCCUUGUAAUGUAGAAACCAUAUAGUGAGGGGACUUUUUUUUCUUCCCAUUUUCAUAUAGCAGUUUUCAGGCAUUUUGGAAAAAGCAAAGUCGAAUAAUAAUCGGAAAAAAAAUCCCAUAAUAAAUCUCAAAAAGUUUUUUUUUUUUUGAGACAAUCAAAAAGUGGACCAAGCAAUACCACUUGCCGCUGCGCACAUGCAGCCCAUAACGAGAAACGAGGUCCAGUACGUAGUUCAACUCGGCCCGGUCCAGCACACGCAUAUCGGGUUCUCAUUCCGUCGCCGCACCGCAUCGUCUCUGAUCGCUGACCUCCCUCGCCGUCCAUCGCCGCAACUGCAAAACCCUCCUCGCCGUUACCCCCGCGACCAUCCAUGGCCACCUCGACCCGAGCACCGCUCCCGCCGUCCGACCCCGAGAAGGAGAAGCCGCUCGCCCGCUCCGCACCGGCAACCGCUCCCGCGUACCUCGCGAAUCCAGGUCCAAUCUCCGUAGCCGACGACCCCCUGGAGGCGCAGUUUCUUUCACCGUCUCUACCGUCUUUGAUUUUGGCGUCAUUGCAGGGAAGAAGACGCACCGCCGGGUGCCGAUGACGGACGAGGAGCGGGGGAGGAUCAACCGCCUGAAGGAGCUGCACGCGUCAGGGAUCGAGGAGCUGCACGAGCUGAUGGAGAUACAUAAGGAGCUGCGCGACUACCACGACGAGCUUCUGUUCCGGCGGAGGUGCCUGGCCGCACGCCUGGUCAGCCGGAUCGCCUUCCAGCGCCGCGACGCCGCCUAUAUCAGGCAUCAGCUUGGCCUUGGCCUGAAGGUGGGGGAUAAGCUGCCGGAGGAGCUCAAGCAGUCCAGGCCGCCGAUCUCGAUGGCCCUUUUCUUGUGGCAUGAAAUGGGCAGGGCCUUGUACAUCGGCAUGGAUAACUUCAUGGAUGAGUACAGCAACACCGAGGAGUACCGGAGAGGGAUGCUGGCGUUGGUGCCCGGGGCUGUCCCUGAUGAGAACGGAGCCCCGCCAGAUUGUGUUGCCCCCCAAGAGUAGGAAUUGAUCGAGUCUGUUUGCUUGGUGUGGAUGAGUACUUGUUUAAUCCUGAGAACGAAAUGUUGCUAUGUUCAGGUUCAGGGUGACUACUUGUUUGAUUCUAUUUUGUUGAGGAUGAUUUUUUUUAUGGCUCGAGUGCUUCAACAAAUCAUGUGGACUAGUCUUUUAGUUUUGAAAAUUUCAGUCAUCUUGUGCGCAGAUUGCUAUGUUCUGAACUUCUGAUCAUGAUUACGUAUUUUUUUUGCCUAGGAAACUAUAUGUAACUUGGCAUGAACAGUUAUGCAGAGAGAACCUCAAUCUGAAUAUUCCAUGGUGACUGCGCCGGCACGGAAGGAAGGUGCGGUGGACAGUAGCCAUCCUGCACCGCUGCCGCCGAGUGUGUCGCUCCUUGAUCCACUUCAGUGCUCCAAAGCUACGACCUACCUACGAGAUUUGGUCUUGGACACUAGGUAUGUGGCAGGAUGGCUUAGCAAAAAGAAAAUCUAAUUCGGGAAAUCAGUGAUCUGUGAAAAAUGAAGUAAAUCUGUAUGUUACUAGAGAGAAACAUUUCAGAGUUUAAAGUUUGAACUCAGGCAAACGAUUUCAGAUGACUUUAGUCCAACUGGCUUCAGAAACUGUGUUAAACCGAGACUACUAAUUAUGAUUUUCCAUCUUAUUCAGGACCUCUUUCAUGAUUUCAAAAGGAUAUGUAACUAUAUGUAACUUGGCAUGAUCAGUGAUGCAGAUAGAACCCCAAUCAAUCUGAAUCUUCCAUGGUGAGGAAGGAAGGUGCGGUGGACCGUAGCCAUCCUGCACUGCUGCCGCCGAGCGUGUCGCUCCUUGAUCCACUUCAGUGCUCGAAAGCUACGACCUGCCUACGAGGUUUGGUCUUGGACUGUAGAUACGUAUCUGGCAGGAUGGCUAUUGCAGCAAAAAGAAAAUCUAAUUCAGGAAAUCAGUGGAGUCUGAAAAAUGAAGUAAAUCUAUGUUACUAGAGAGAAACAUUUCAGAGUUUGAACUCAGGCAAAGCAUUUCAGAUGACUUUAGUCCAACUGGCUUCAGAAACUGUGUUAAACUGAGACUACUAAUUAUGAUUUUUCCAUCUUAUUCAGGACCUCUCUCAUGAUUUCAAAAGCAUAAUACAGAUGUGCUGACCUCCACCUUAUGUGUCUUAUGUGUUUCCCUUGAUGUUGAGCCAUUGAGCCUAAUCACAAGGCCAAUGCUAUAAAUAAACUACAUUUGGAAUCUCUGUGGUUUUGACCAGCCUGCUCUGUUAUGUCUUUAUUUGUCCUUUUUUUCGAAACAUGAAAGGACCAAUCACAAGACCAAUUGUCUUUAUUUGACCAGCCUACUCUGUAGUUUCCAUUUUGCUUCAAAACAAUGCUAUAAACAAAACAAAAUGAGGUCUACUUGCCAAUGAAUACCGAGUGAGCCUGCUGGAUCCAUACUAUCAAAGUGUUCUGGUGUACACCAAAUAACUGUGAAGCAAAUCAUCUUUGUUGUUGGCUUGUUGCCCAUUUUAUUCUUGUGAGACAAAUAGUUGAUUACUUAUCCUGAGCACUACAUAUAUGGCUCACAGGAAAAAGCCAUGAUACUGAACUCUGCAAUUGUGUGGUAUAUAUGUGUGUACAGUAGUACAGUAUAUAUGCCUCUUCUCCUGUCUCCAGCUACAUUUUCGUCUAUCUCUAGUCUACUGCAAGUCUGCAAUGCUAUGGCGCGACCGACCGACCGAUCAUGAUAUGGAGAUUGUUGUGAGGAUUGGUGAGGAUCAAGAAGAGGCCCUGUGCUCGAUUUUGACGGGCAGGCCAAGCAGCGGCGACGGCAUGGGGUUCCUCACGAAGGUGUCCUCCUUGCAGCAGAGCUUCCAUCUGAACUGCCUCACAAGGUGGUGCAUCGUCACCAGCGUCUCGAUCCUGGAGAACUCUAUCCCGGGGCAUAUCCUCGGGCCGCCCCCGAAGGCGACAAAGGAGCACGGCGGCGCCGCCGCCGACGCCCUUUGGUUCUCGGUCUCGAACCGGGACGGGUCGAACUUGGCCGGCUCAUGGAAGAUGCUCGCGUCCAUGUGCGUCACGUUUGCCGUCCAGAACACCUGAAAAACGUCAUAUCAAGAUUCAAGAGUUUGCAUCAGCUUUCUCGGCAAGCUGGUGAUGCUAUGAGCCUAUGAUUGGUGUGGGUUGACCUGCCAUCCUUUUGGGAUGAGGUAGCCAUCGAACUCGGUGUCCUCGAGUGCUCUUCUGAAGUUGCCGAAGAUCGGAGGGACGACGCGGAGUGUCUCCUGCGCGACCCGCCAUGUGAACUUCAUCUUCGACAGAUCUUCCCAGGUGAGAGCCUCGCCGUCACCUUUGUUCUUGGCAAUCUCCUCAUGCUCUGUGUCACGAAACGAAACACACAUCAUGACCAUGGCAGAGGUUGGUAGUACUUUGCUUCACCGGUCAGUCACUUGCCUUGGACCAUGGCGGCGAGGGUGGCAUCGUCGUUGGCAAGGUGGCGGACCAUGAACGUCAUGAGGAUGGACGACGUGUCGUGGCCGGCGAUGAGGGCGACCAUGGCGUUGUCCACGAUCUCCUCGUCGGUCAGCAGCCGCUCGCCAUGGCCGUCCGUCAGGCCGAGCAGGCAGGUGAUGAGGUCGCUGUUCCGCGACGCCUUGCCGUUGCCUUGCUCCUCCUCCGCCUGGCUGGCCUUCUUCUUCUCCCGCGUGAUCCCCUGGAGCACCCGGCGGGCCCUGCCGCUGGCCUUGAGGCUCCGGCUGAAGGCCGUGAACGGCAGGUUCACCGGGACGGCCCACAUGCCCUCGAUCAUGCGCACGAAGUCGCCGGCCAGGGCGUCCCGCACGGCGCCCCUCUCGAGCCCGAAGAGCAGCGCGGAGAUGAUGUCGAACGUGAGCCGCUUCAUGAGCGGCAGCACCGUGACGGUGGCGCGGCCGGCCCAGUUCUCCUCGAGGUGGCGCCGCACCUCGCCGUCGAUCCUGCCCACGUACGCCUUGAGCAUGUCCGGCCGGAGGAACUCGAGUAGGGCGCCGCGGACGCGCCGGUGGUCGGCGCCGUGGAGGUCCAGGAUGCUCUUCUCCCCGAGUAUCCGCUGCACGGACCGGGGCUGCCGGGUGGAGAGCGCGCCGCUGAAGAACAGGAACUUGUUGGCCGCCGGCCCGGCCAGCAGAACCGUCGGCUUGCCGAAGAGAGACAGCUUGGACACGGGCCCGUACCUGUCGAUCCGGUCCUGUAUCCACCGGCUGCCGCCGUCGCCGCGCAUGGCCCGGAGGAGGCCGAGGCUCUGGCCGAUCACCGGCAGGCCGAGGGAGCCCGGGGGCAGGUUGCCCGGCUGUGUCCUCCUGGCUCUAGCGAGGAGGUGGAUGGCAACGGACGAGGCGGUGACAACAACGAGUGCCACGGCUAUGGCCAAAUAAUCCAUUGGAGAGGGGUCGGUGUUAAGAUGACACUGACUGCUGCUACCUGAAGCUGGAGCUGAAGACGAGAUAUCGGAAUAUAUAGGCGAGCAUGAGCAGGUUGUUUCUGCGGGAACGAAAUUGCUGUCAGAUGGCGUAGUUCAACACGUAACCAUGAUGCACCGGAGAUUCCAAACAAGAAAGAAUCCGCCAUUUCCAACGAACUUGAAAACUCUGAGAUGCCAUCUUGGUAGAAGACAAAAAGGGUAUAUGCUCUUGAGGUAGAAGACAAGUCCUAGGAAGCGAUGACAGUGCCAUCAUCCGUCAAUGAUAAGAUGCACGCAUGAAAUUGGCAAUUCUUUUAGGGCACUACUAUGCGCCGCCGGACCGGCCAAGGGUUCGGCCGGUCGUAUCCAAACCGUCAGAUGUAAGAGCUGGUGGCCGUCAGAUUAUCCUUAUCCCUUCGCACAAAGUCAGCGGUCAGCUCUCUCCUUCCCACGCACGCACUCCUCGCCAGAAGAAAGAAGUGAAACGACGCGCCGCCUGCAGCCGGCACGCGCCACCAACCGUGCGUCUCCUGGCCAUGGCCGCAGCUCCCCUUUGCUGCGCGUCUCCGUUCAUGGCCGCAGCAUCCGUGCAACGUCGUGGCAGCUUUUGUUGCCGAUUGUGGCAGCUUCUCUCACCGGGCUGCUCCAACCGUGGCCUCCGCUCGCCACCACCGCACCUCCGCUCGCUGCCGCACCUGUCGCUGGCAAUACACACCCGUUGGUCGCAGCUUUUCAGCCGCCGCUCAGCAUCACAACAUCUCGGCUCACCAGUUCCAGCAAUUUCGAGUGCCGGUUCCAACAAAAAAUGUCUCACCGCCGAGCCACCGUAGCUCGUCGUGUUGCCGGUUGCAGCUAAUGGUGCUGGUAGUUGAAGCAAAUCGAGAUGCCGGUUGCAGCUCCGGCAACCCGUGGUUGUAGCAUCUGCCACCGCCCGUUCCUGUAUCCCCGUCGCAGUCGGUCCCAGCAACAUGGUCGGCUGUAGCAAAAACUGAUGCGGGUCGUAGCAUCUUGCAACACUAGAUGUAGCUCCGGCCAGCCGACGCUCGACCCGUUCACCGGCGGUUCCAGCAAAAAACAGAUGACGUUGUAGUAAAAAAUCCCGCUAGAUGCAGCUCCGCCACAUGUCACCGCUUGUUGUAGCAUUUGUCACCGUAUCUGUUGUAGCAAAACGCGCCAUCGGUUGAAGCUUUUUUGCUCGCUGGUUCCAUCUUUUUCCAGCGCGUGGUCACCGCGGUCACCGCCCGUCGUAGCAAAAAAUUCUACAGGUUGUAGCACUUUGGAUUGCCGGUCGUAGCAUAUUUUGGUGCCGGUUGUACCACCGCCAAAAUCACUGGGUUGCCGGCUGAUGGCGCCACGCCUUGGCCCAAUGUAGCACUUGGUUUGCCGAUUUUAGCACACCGUGAAGGUGGUUCCAGCAUCUCUAGUUACGGAUGCAGCACCGCGCCAGGCCAGUCCUAGCACCGCAGCCGGCCGGUUCCGGCAAAAAAACGAUGCUGAUAGCAGCACCGCGCGACACCGGUUCCAGCAAAUCCUGUUGCUGGUUGCAGCACUGCAUCAAAUUGGUUAUCCCUGCCCACUGGUGCUUCAGGACCAGCAAUGGCGGUGCGCGCGAAACACGAGCUGCAGCUCCUCCGGUCCUCACGUAGGGCGACGAUGUUCUUCGUUUGGGGAGCGCCCCUCGUACAAUAGCUUUAGCUAUGGCGUCUAAGAGAAAAAAAGAGCAGCGAGAGCAUCAGCCAUGGCGGGGAGGUAGAGAGGAAAAAGGGGACGGGAUAUGUGGACGGGUGUGCGGACAACAGCUCACGACAGAGGAUAAGAAGAAAAAGCGGGGGCAGUGCGCAGGACCCCUGGGAUGACGUGGUCUUGUUUUGUGAGCGCUACGCGUGACAUUAGCGAGCGGACCGGCCGAAGCAUCCGCCGGUCGACCGGGUGUAAACGUUUACCAUUCUUUUAGGAGUCCGGACAACUAUUGGCAGAGCAACACUACAAUCUGUCCCUCUUCGAGGAGCAUCGACUGGCGGAGGAGCAGAUGGAUGCGGAGUGCGAGUCCAUCGUCGUCGUCGUCGCAUACAUGGUUGCGGUGACCCUAGCUCAUCAUUGACGUCAACCGGGCGAUGCUCGUGUCUGUGCACAACGCUCACAUCAUCCACAACAUUGGCAGCUCCGCGACGAUGCGCAACCAGCUAUUCGAGGGACUGGAGGGGGAGGACGACAACGCUGCAGCAUCACAAUGAUAUUGCCAAAGAGGCAUCCUUCGGCAGCUCCGCCUCAAUCGCGUCGGCUGCCAAUGACGACGAAGUAGGUCAGUCCUACGCAGGACCGUCGACCUCACAUAUGACGCAAAGUUGUAGGGUUGGUUAUUAUCAUAAUUUUAUUAUAGGGUCCUUUUGCUAUGUACAAAUUAUUUCACAAAUAAAUGAAAAUUCGGUGUCCGCUUCUAUUUUGAUGACUCUAGUUGAUUUAUCUAUUUUUAAAACAAAGACGUAAGGAGGAUCUGACAUUAAAUUAAUAAAGCCCACCAACUAAACGGAGACACAUGGGUUCAUCAAAACGAAAAUAAAUCAGUUCAGAACGAUGGGGUACAUGGCCGAAGGCCCAUAAACAGAGCACAUGGGCUCAAAACACAACAGAGACACAGUUCCCUAAACGACCCCCAAAGGGGGAUGAGCGACGGGAGCUCCUAUACAGCGCUACAGGCGCCCGUUAACGAUCCGGCGCCUGCAGCGCUGCUAGCAUGGGCCGGCCCACUAGCAUGCUGCCCCAAGUUUUUUUCAUUUUUUUACGAAAAUAAAAAUAUGAAAUGAAGAAAGGUUUACAGAUUUAAAGAAAAAAGUUCAUCCAUUUGAAAAAAUACGUUCACAUCUUUAAAAAGGUUCAUAAAUUUUGAAAAAGUUCAUCAAUUUGAAAAAAAACUUCAUUCAAGUUAAAAAAAGUACAUCCAAUUUAGCAAAAGUUCAUAGAAAUUGAAAAAAAGUUCAUGUAUUUUUAGAAAAAGUUCAUGGAACUGAAAAAAAGUUCAUAAAUCAAAAAAAGUUCAUCCAUUUUUAAGACAAAUGUUCAUUAAAUUUCGAAAAAGUUCAUUAGUAUUCAAAAAAGUUCAUCAAUCUCAAAAAAGUUCACAGAAUCUUAAAAAAAAACGUCCAUCGGCGCUUAGAUGGGCCGGCCCAUUUACAGACGCCACAGGCGCCAGUUAACAAAUGCACGUUAACUGGCGCCUGUGGCGCCAAAUAGGAAAUGCCAUGAGCGACUUAGUCGAUGUGUUGAAGUUUUUCCAUCGUCUGCUGCAUUGCUUCAACAUCUCGACAUUUUCCGAACGGGGUCCAUUAGUGUAAAAAGAGAAGGUAUUUGAAUAUACAGUCAACCGGAUGAGAAGGGAACACAUACUCAAUGGUAGUUCCGAUUGAAUGACCGGUGGUCUGAAUACAUAGGAGAGCGAUCGACCUGAAAAACAUUCGGUCCAGCCCUGUUAUUAAUCUAGCCGACNNNNNNNNNNNNNNNNNNNNNNNNNNNNNNNNNNNNNNNNNNNNNNNNNNNNNNNNNNNNNNNNNNNNNNNNNNNNNNNNNNNNNNNNNNNNNNNNNNNNNNNNNNNNNNNNNNNNNNNNNNNNNNNNNNNNNNNNNNNNNNNNNNNNNNNNNNNNNNNNNNNNNNNNNNNNNNNNNNNNNNNNNNNNNNNNNNNNNNNNNNNNNNNNNNNNNNNNNNNNNNNNNNNNNNNNNNNNNNNNNNNNNNNNNNNNNNNNNNNNNNNNNNNNNNNNNNNNNNNNNNNNNNNNNNNNNNNNNNNNNNNNNNNNNNNNNNNNNNNNNNNNNNNNNNNNNNNNUACCCCUCCCCCCCGAGCGGGGCAACCAGGGCAGCCCUCUCUCCCCUCGCGCCCAGCCCCACCUCCCACCCCUCCUCCGGCCGCUGCCGGCGGCUGGCGCCGCCGGCGGUGGCGGCCCUCUUCCUCUUCCCGUCGCGGUUCCCCGGCUCGGACGGCGGUUUUCGGGGACGGUGCUCCUCGGCGGGUGGUGCUCCGGUGUAGAUCGGGCGCAGAUUCGGCGGCGGUGCGGCCCGGCGGUGGCGGUUGGCGGUGGGGAUGCCACAAAUGUACCACAAAUAAAAAUGAUGUUUUAGGAAGACACAAGUCAUGAAAGCUGCCAAUGACGACGAAGUAGGUCAGUUCCACGCGGGACCGUCAACCUUACAUACGACACAAAGUUGUAGAGUUGGAUUUUAUCAUUAUUUUAUUAGGAUCCUUUUGCUAUGUACAAAUUAUUUCACAAAUAAAUGAAAAUUCGGUGUCCGCUUCUAUUUUCAUGACUGUGGUUGAUUUAUUUAUUUUUUAGAACAAAGACGUAAGGAGGAUUCGACUUUAAAUUAAUAAAGCCCACCAACUAAACAGAGACACAUGGGUUCAUUGAAACGAAAAUAAAAUCAGUUCAGAAUGAUGGGGUAUAUGGCCGAAGGCCCAUAAACAGAGCACAUGGGCUCAAAACACAACAGAGACACAGUUCCCUAAACCACCCCCGAAGGGGGGAUGAGCGACGUAGUCGAUGUGUUGAAGUUUUUCCAUCGCCUGCUGCAUUGCUUCAACAUCUCGACAUUUUCCGAACGGAGUCCAUUAGUGUAAAAGUGUAAAAGAGAAGGCAUUUGAAUAUACAAUCAACCGGAUGAGAAGGGGACACGGACUCGAUGGUAAUUCCGAUUGAAUGACCGGUGCUCUGAAUACAUAGGAGAGCUAUGAUGCAUUGCGCCCGAAGCCUAACGUACAGUCAUGUUGUAGUCGCGUUAUAUUUUCAUAUAUUUACAUAAAGACACUUUGGGCGGCUUAAAAAAUUAGUUGCCUCUCCCCAGCAUAAAUGAUAAGCCGCUUUCUAAUUUUGUUGAGGCUUCUAAAUUAGUUAUCACAUAACUAGUUCGGAAACUUCAAUAAAUGACAGAGACGGCUUAUGAAAAAGUUAGAGAGGAGGCGUCUUAUUUUUUUAAGACGCCAAAACAACUGGCCUUAUUAUGGGUUGGUGGAUAUUUUUUGGAACAAACAACAUGUCAACAUUUUAGUCCAUUAGCUGAUCAAAGCCCAUCACGAGACAUGAGGUCCACUACGCAGUGUCAAGUCGGCCCCUCGAGGGAUCGUGGCAUACUGGCUUCGUCCUUGAUCGCUUUACCCCGCAAUUGCCGCCGCGGCCGCAAGGGUCACCUCAAUAAACGGGGGAUUUGAUAAUUUGCCAUCACUUUCUUUGGACUUUGAUAAUUUGCCACCCCUUACUUUGUAAUUAAUUUGAUGACAUUCUAUAUUUUGGACUUUGAUCUUUUGCCACUUUUCAACACAAAACAAACUUUGGAAAUAAUAGACAACAUAAGUGAACAAAAUAGAGGACUAGUAUGCCCUUAUACCUAUUUGACCAAACAUUACACAGGGGAAGGGAUGAACUCUUGCUGCACUCCUCUCUUGAACCUUUUUGCUGCUCCCUGCCGGCCCUUUGCUGCUCCUCGCUGACCCUUCUUGGCCUGCUGCCGCUGCCCCCUCUUGCUCCCCUCCUGCACCUUCUACCCUGCUGCCGUUGCCCCUAGUACUGCAGUCUCUCCUUCCCCUGCUGGUGACCCUAACCCUAGGGCCGGCCGCCGCGCCUGCCGGUUACCCUAACCCUAGGGCCGGCCGCCGCCGCCGCCGGGGAGAUGAGUGGGAGAGAGGGAUGGAACGGGACAGAGGAAGGGAGCGAGAGAGAGGGACUCACCGGGGCCGCCGCCGUCGAGUACCACCCGGGCCGCCGCCGCCGACCAGUAGCGCCAGAGCCUCGCGUGCGACAGAGGGGAUGAGAUCGAGCGAGCACUCCUCUGUUCCUAGUCAAUUGAGAGGUAAGGGUAAGUUUGUCUUUUGUUGUGGGACCCGUCUGACAAAGGGCAAAAUAUCAAACACCCAGAUAAAGAGUGUCACCAGAUCAAAUGCAAAGUAAAGAGUGACAAAUAGUCAAUGUACCAAGUAAGGGGUGGCAAAUAAUCAAAUUCCCCUCAAUAAACCUACAUCUAUGGCCACCUCCACCCGAUCACCGCUCCCGCCGGCCGACCCCGAGAAGGAGAAGCCGCUCGCCCGCUCCGCACCGGCGACCGCUCCUGCGGACCUCGCGAACCCAGGUCCAAAUACCCGCCCUCGAACCCUUGAAGUCAUUAAUCCUCGAGCACCCUUGGAGCCAGGCCAGGGGCAGCAGUUUCACCAUUCUGUGGUCUUUGAUUUUGGUACCGUUGCAGAGAAGAAGAUGCGCCGCCCUGUGCCGAUGACGGACGAGGAGCGGAAGAGGAUCAAGGACCUGAAGGAGCAGCACCGGUCAGGGAUGGAGGGGUUACGAGAGUACUUCCAGAUACACAAGGAGCUGCGGCACCACCACGACGAGCUUCUGUUCCGGCGGAGGUGCCUGGCCGCACGUCUGGUCAGCCGAAUCGCCUUCCAGCGCCAUGAUGCUGCCUACAUCAAGCAUCAGCGUGACCUUGGCUUGAAGCUGGGGGAUAAGUUGCCGGAGGAGCUCAAGAAGAUUGGGCCACCAAUGGGGGCGGCGCUCGUAAUGUGGGCUGAGAUGUGCAGGGCCCUGAACAUAGGCAUGGAUAACUACAUUACUGAGUGCGACAAUCCGGAGGCGUUCCGGGGGAGGAUGAGGUCGUUGGGGCUCAUUCGUGAUGAGAAGGGAGCUCCGCAGGAUUGUGUUGCCCCCCAAGAGUAGGAAUUGAGCAUGUUUGCUUGGUGUGGAUUAAGUCUGUUUGCUUGGUGUGGAUUAGUGCUUGUUUAAUCCUCGGAACGAAAUGUGUUGGGGAUGGGUUCUUGUUUAAUCCUAUUGUGCUCAGGAUGAUUUCUUUGUAGCGGGACUGCUUCAUCAAACUAAGUGGAGUAGUCUUUUGGUUUUGAAAUUUAUGAUCAUGUUGUGCGCUAAUUGUUUUGAUCUGGUUACGAGUAUGCAAUUUUUUGCCUAGUAAACUGUAUAACUUGGUGUGAACAGUCAUGCAGAUAGAACCCCAAUCUGAAUAUUCCACAGUUCGUGCACCGGCACUGAAGGGAGGAGGUUGACCAGUUCAGCCGAUGAAGUUACAAGUAGGACAGGUUUUGGUGCUGGCGACCAAUUGCUUGAUUGAAUUAAGAUUAAACUGGGUAGAACUUGUUCAGGGCGAAGUUAAACAGAGCAGGGAAAGCAUAUUCAAAUAUUUGAUUGUCGCAUCACAAAGAAGCCAUAUCCGAGCUUGCACUUCGUGCUAGCAUCAAAGGACCAUGUAAUUGCUGGGAAUAAGACAUUCUUCCUGAAUAUGAAGUUUUUUAUGAUUUUCUUUUGCCACGGCCAUGUGUUGCUGAGUAAUAGUAAAUCUACUGACGCUAAAAGAAGAGGUAUAUGCUGGAUUAGUUGUACUACAGGGAGAGAAUUAAACUGAGACUCAAAACCCAUGUACUCAGGGUUAGUCAGCUAUCCUUUACACGAGAAGGAACACAGAUAGCGAGAGCAGGCAAGAUCUGGCGACCAAAAUCCAUUGCAGGGCCGAGACAUGCACGCCACAGGCCACGCGUUGGGCAGUGAAGGGUAUUGAUCCAGCAGUAGCAUGAAACACUCGCAUCAAUCAAAGUAGACCCUCCUCGGGAACACCCAGCCACCCGAGAAGCUGAAGUCGCUCGGGUCUUUCUCUAGCAACAUCUCUUUCUGAACGUUCAUGUCCCUAGCAACAUCUCUUUCUGCACGUUCAUGUCCCCUGGCAACAUCUCGUUGUAGUUCUUGAUCCCCCAAAACAUACCCGUGUCAUCUGCAGACCACACAUUUCUUACCCACUCUUGCUUCAUAGUAUUAUACUGCUAUUUAACCCUGUCGAAGAUUGUGUGUUUCGGUGACGGAGCUUGACAGAGCUUGUUUAACAACUAAUUAUAUUUCACAUAAUUUCUCUAGGGUAGGGGGCCAUAGCCCCCCUUGAUCCUAUUCCACUGGUGUGCUUACUGAUGGCGCCAUACUCGUAGUCAGAGUGUGGCAGAAUGUCAGGUGGCUUUGCCUGAGGCACUGAGGCACCGAGGGAGAGUUUGCAUGGCCGCAGCUGCCCGAUGGACACCCGACGAUCAUGCUACAGUAGAAACUUGAGAGGGUCACGCAGCAGGACGGUGAUGGGACAUCCGUAAACGGCGAGUACAAGCAGAUGAUCUGCUAUGUCACCGCGCGACACCAAGCCAAGGAAGAGACAUCGCUCUGGCUCAACGCACGGCGCGUCAAGACAGUGGAUCGUUGGCAACAAGAAAGAAUAAAAUGCUUACGCAUAACUUGUUCGUGUUGCUGCUCAUCGACCUUGGACCUCGUUGUGGGCACAAUGGGGUGGGUUGGGUCGACCCUCGUCUGCGAUGAAGUCGGAGUCGCUUGCUCGGUGAUUUGGGAUGGCGAUGACGCCUCGUUGAGAAGUUAUGACAAUGACACCUCUAUGCUCUCUUGAUAAGGCUCUCUUUAGAGAGGUGUGUGUAUGGUAUCCUAUGUGUGCCACUUGGCAGGCUGUACCGGUUUUUACCCGGUUUUAUGAUAAUUAACUGAUAAUUCUCUUUUCUGCUUAAUUAAUGUGUCAGACAAAUCUUUUGCCUUUGUUUAAAAUAAUAUCACCACAAUAAGCAGAGAAGGAUGGCAGUAGCCAGAGAAGGCGAAAGCACACAUACCACGACUCACCCAUACACAGAGGCUGAACUGUUGAAUGUAAGUUAACUAGGCGCCCUGCAACUGACAUUUGUUUUGUGUGUACUUCUAGUUUGAUGCCAUGUUUGGAAUGCAGGAAUUACAAAAACCAGUUCCUGCAAAUAUCAAAAAUAUAUUUUGUAAUUUCUAAGCAGGCUUACUUUAGAAUAUACUGCGACAUGUGGAAAGACUCAUGUGUCAACCUCAAAUUUCACAUUUGCUUCAUACUACCAACAUACCGAGGCACACAUCUGCACGUUGAAAUAGUACUUUGAGGCUGAAAACAUACCCAAUCUGAAAUUUCUGAUCAUCUUGUGCGCUAAUUGCUUUGUUCUGGUUACGAGUAUGCAUUUCUUUUCCUAGUAUAAACUACAUAACUUGGUGUGAACACUGAACAGUCAUUUGCAGAUAGAAACCCAAUCUGAAUAUUCCACAGUUCGUGCACUGGCACAGAACGGAGGCGCGGCAAACCGUAGCCAUCCUGCCACACCGUGUUGGCGUGGCGGCUCCCUUGCUGGGUACAGUGUGGCAGGUGGCUACUGUAGUAAAUAGAACAAUCAAAUUUUGGAAAUCAGUGGAGUCUAUGGAAAAUGAAAGAAAUCUAUGUCACUAGAGCGAAACAAUUCAGACUGUGAACCCAGGCAACCAUUUCAGAGAACUUUAGUCCAAAUGGCAUCAGAAAUUGUGUUAAAUUGAGAUUACCAAUUAUGAUGUUCCAUCUUAUUCAGGACCUCUCUCGAGAUUUAGAAAGCAUAAUACUUUCGAAAUCUAGUGAAUAUAGAUAUGCUGACCUCCACCUUAUUUGUCUUCCGUGUUUCUAUAGACUUUGCAUUACUGAAACUAAACAAGAGAAUAAUGCUAUAAAGAAAUCAGAUCUGGAACUUGUGUGGUAGCUACUUGUGCGUCCUACUUCGUUAUGGCUUUAUUUGCCAUUUUUCUUUGUUUCAUUUAUAUUGUUGUUUCUCUAAAACAAAGCGCUCUUAUUCAAGCUCUCUUGUUUCACUGCUAACUAGGAUAUGACCUAGGGAAGAUCUUGCUUUCUUACUGUAAAUGUGUGGGAAGUCAUUCCUUUGUGCUCUCAUCUGGAGACUCGAUUUCAACCCAUUUUCAGCGAGAAGAUUUCUGGUUUAGUGCACCAAGGAAGGGACUUAUGGUUUUCUCGUUGCCUAGGUCAUUAGCCGGCCCUGUUUGUUUCGGAUUUUGGGACCAGAUUCAGCUUUACCAGUGAAGCCGAAUCUGGAAUCUGAAACAAACAGCUAUUUGGAAUCAGCUUUGCCAGUGAAGCUGAAUCUGCAUUUGGAUCAUUUUUAGUGCAAUUUUCUGAAGCACCUCAAAGUGUACUUCGGUGGCGGAGCUGAUUCCUAGAAUCAGCUUCGGCAUUGAAGCGAAUCCACAGGUGAUUAAAAUCCAAGCGAAGCUAGAACAAACAGUGCUGAUGUAUCAUUGCUUCAUGGAAAUAUCUUGCUUCUUGUCCUUGGCCUUUUUAUUGGUGCGGAAUUUUCUUGCACAGAUGUAAGAAAAACGACGGAGGAAGUACAUCACAGGAAACUGCAUAUAAAUUAGUCUUAAAUCCUAUGGUACACUAUCACCCGUCAUUUUCAGUUGGAUAAAUACAACGAUGAUGGAGAACAGAGUGACAUUGAAUCCAAAUGAUUUUGAUAAGGUAACUGAUGCUUGGUUUAUUUUUUUUGGUGUGGACGUAAAUGGCUAGCUAUUACCACUAAGUGAAGAAAAUACAUUGCGCAAUGACAAGCCAUUUAUCAUGAGGUUACCGUGCUGCUCUGACUUUGUUCAGACUAACAGACUAUUAUUAUGUCAUCCAGACAAAAUUGCCGUCACCUGGAUUGCAGGUCGAGGUCAUUCUGGUAGAUUACGGUGGUCCAAAACCACCGAAACAAAACCCAGCUGAUGUAUCCGCUGUUGAGAAUAUAUGAUGAUGAUUCAUGUAGGUGCACCAGCGCCAAAGAAAGCAGUGCUGCACCCGUAGAGCCCAACAAAGAAGCUGGAAGUGGUGAUAAGAGCAACUCCGACGCAGUGAUCCAAGCGGACACGGAUUUUGUUCGUUUUUUUAUCCGUUUGGGUUAUCUGUCCGUCUAGCGGACAUGCGGCAGACAUGCGAUGCACCCAACGCGAUACAUGCAGCGGACAAGCAAAAUAGCAGGCAAGCGCACAGCAGCAGCAGCACCAAGCGAGCCGGCCUCGCGCACGACAGGCAGUGCCCCGGCCCCGCGCCAGCGCCGCCGGCGGCCCGAGGGCGCUGGCUCGCCGACGUCAUCAGUCCCCCUCCACCCUUCUUCUCCACCGCAGCCACUACGAUCAAUCUGGCGCAGAGGAGCUGCUCCAAGAACCAUUUGCUUCAGGAGCUGGUGCGCGGGAGAGGCCCGACCAUGCGCCGCCGCCGACGAGAUCUGCAGUUCCCCGGGUCUUCCCGACGCCGCGCCGCCCGCGUGCAGUUCCCGGCCCCAUCGGCUCGGCUCAAAACGGGAGGCGGCAGCGGAGAUCUCCCCGUCGUCCUGGACCACGGCAUGGGAUGCAGCUUGCGCCACUGAGCGCGGCGGCGGGCCUCGAGGACGGCGGAGGAGGCGGGAAGGAGGACUGGGUGGGGAUGGCGGCGGCCUGCGCCUGUGAGCGGGACGGUGGAGAAGGUGGUGAAGGAGGAGUGGGGACGCCAGCUCGUGCGCGCUCACUGCUAAAUGGGACCAAGGGUAUGUCCGCUUCGUACCCAUUUGUUCCUAGAUUUGGGCCAAGUUUGGGCCGGGGACGGAUAGCACACGGACACGGACGUCCGUUUAGGUCGCUCCGUUAGGCAAGUUUUGUGUCCGGAUAACUCAAACAGACAAAAUGGGUCGCCCCAUUGGAGUUGCUCUAAGGAUGAUGCUAAGACGGAUCAUCCAGGGGCAGGAAGGAGAAGAGCGGUGGCCAAGGUCAGCAAAUUCAGCCAUAGCUUCUGAAACAAGCUUUUGCACAGAAGUAGCCAUCAGCAGCUGCUAGCAGAAUCGAGAACAUAUCAGCAUGAGCUAGUUAAGGCCAUUGCGCAGAUGCUCCCUCGGGUUUCUCAUUUGGAGGCGAAUAGGCCUUUCGUUUGUCAAGUGUACAGCUUCGCUCCCCUGGGACCAUGAUGGAAUGCCACUUCAAAGCAAGAGUAGCAAAGUUGAACAGAAGAACUAGUUUAUUUUUGAAAAUGUUACAACUUGACUAGUUCUGACCAGUGCAGAUGAAGAACAGGUAUAUGUUGAGAGACAGAACGUGAGAAAAUAGCUUGAGUCAGAAAGGAAGAAACAUGGGAUAGUAGUAUACUGUAGACAGCAAAGAAGGUGCUACACAAAUCACCAUAUAGAAGUGGAUUCCAAAACCACGAGUGGUCCACGAGAACAGAUCACAAGAUAAAUCUCCUAAUUUUAAUUUAUCAUUCCAGGCAUGCAGUUCAGAUAUAUAGGAACUUCAAACACAGUACUGGAUACUUGGAUGGUUUUCAGAACGACCAGACAAAUGUUCACACCACUCAUUUUAACAUAGGAGUCACAUGAUUGGCAGCUAGGCCUUGCAGGCACCCGACUGUCCAGACAACGCUCAU
rnacentral:lncRNA from 1 species